rnacentral:lncRNA from 1 species
AUCUUAGUGACUCUAAAUACCUGGCAGAAACUCCGGAUUUCUCAAGGGUCACCAAUCUUAAAAUGUUGAGUUUUGAAGGUUGUACACAGUUGCAUAAAAUUCACUCGUCUCUUGGAGAUUUGGACAAACUCUGUCGCUUGAAUUUCAAAAACUGCAUAAAUCUUGAGCAUUUUCCAGGCCUGGAUCAGUUGGUAUCCCUUGAAGCUCUCAAUCUCUCUGGUUGCUCAAAGCUAGAGAAGUUUCCGGUUAUCUCACAGCCCAUGCAUUGCUUAUCCAAGCUCUGUUUUGACGGGACUGCUAUAACAGAACUCCCCUCCUCAAUUGCUUAUGCCACCAAGCUUGUUGUGCUGGAUUUACAAAAUUGCGAAAAGCUCCUGAGUCUUCCAAGCAGCAUUUGUAAAUUGGCACAUCUUGAGACCCUUUCUCUUUCUGGCUGCUCAAGACUUGGAAAACCUCAAGUAAACUCAGACAACUUGGAUGCUUUGCCAAGGAUCUUGGAUCGACUUUCUCAUCUACGGGAGCUUCAGUUGCAAGAUUGCAGGAGCCUUCGAGCAUUGCCACCACUUCCAUCAAGUAUGGAACUUAUAAAUGCAAGUGAUAAUUGCACAUCACUUGAGUACAUCUCCCCUCAAUCAGUUUUCCUAUGUUUUGGAGGCUCUAUAUUUGGUAAUUGCUUCCAACUGACCAAGUAUCAAAGUAAGAUGGGGCCUCAUUUACGGAGAAUGGCAACCCAUUUUGACCAAGAUAGAUGGAAGUCCGCUUAUGAUCAAGUAAGUCCUCUUCUGGUUUCAUGUCAUCAUGAUUUCCAUUUGCAAAAAAUGUUAUUUGAAACACAAUUUUUUUUUUAUAUUACCCAACCAAUGAAGAAAUGUUUAAAAAGAAUUAAAUUUGUAGUUCAAAAAAAAAAAAAAUAUAUAUAUAUAUAUAUAUAUAUAUAUAUAACGACAUAAUAUUAAUUAAUUUUUUAGUAUACACCUUCAAUAUCCUAAUCAUGAAUAUUAUUAGCAAAAAAUCACCACUGCACACAAUUGACUUCUUCAUGCAUGUUAUUACCAUUGCAGACGAUUCAUCUGAUAUGUUAUCAUAGAGACAGUCGCCAAAUAUAUUUGUAAAUAAAGUGAAAAAAACAAUUGAUUUUUUAUUACCAAAAAUAAUAGGGCGUGUAGGUUUCUCUCAGCAGCAUCAUGGUUUUUGUUGUGCAGCAAUACCCAAACGUUCAGGUGCCAUUCAGUACUGUUUUUCCUGGAAGUACAAUACCUGAUUGGUUCAUGCAUUAUAGUAAGGGGCAUGAAGUCGAUAUAGAUGUAGAUCCAGAUUGGUACGAUAGUAGUUUCCUGGGUUUUGCACUUUCUGCUGUUAUAGCACCCAAGGAUGGGUCCAUUACAAGGGGUUGGUCCACCUACUGUAACUUGGAUUUACAUGAUCUUAAUUCCGAAUCCGAAUCCGAAUCCGAAUCCAGUUGGGUAUGUUCCUUUACUGAUGCUCGUACUUGCCAACUUGAAGAUACGACAAUUAAUUCAGAUCAUCUGUGGCUGGCCUAUGUACCAUCGUUUUUGGGCUUCAAUGAUAAGAAAUGGAGUCGCAUUAAGUUUUCAUUUAGUACAAGCAGGAAGUCCUGCAUUGUGAAGCAUUGGGGAGUUUGUCCAUUGUACAUUGAAGGUAGCAGUGAUGACAACUAUAACCGUGAUGGCGAUUAUUCCAGUGGGAGAUGCUGCUUGAAUGAGGGCCUUGGAGUGCAGACUAGUAGUGACAACAACAUUGAUGAUGAGGGGAAUGCUUGUGGAAGUGUCCUUGAUGAUCUACGUGAAUGGGGAUUAGAAGAUAUCAUAAUCAGGAGAAGCCCUGAAGAUGACCAACCCAGUGGACAGGUCUAUGAAGAUGCGAAUGGCACACAUGCCUGGAACCAAGAAAGGCUUCGGAUGCAGCCAAACCCUCUCAUAGCACAGACUAGUUAUGGCCAGUACACUCAUGAAAGGAAUCCUGCUAAAAGUGUCCUUGAUUAUCGCUAUGAAUCCACAUUUGAAGAUGGCAUAGUCAGGAUGAGAAGCCUUCUUGAGGAGUACCCCGGAGUAAUUGGUUUCUCUCCUACUGACUCACACUCCUGGGACCAAGAAAGGCUUGGGAGGCAGCCAAACCCUCCCAUAUCCAACAGUGAGACUGGGUUUUGGAUUUGUAUCACUAUUUUUAGCUUCUUCUUUCUUGCUCACAUUUUCCAUUCCGCUUCAUUUCGGAUCUCGCCACUUCUCGGCGUGUUACUCUUGCUUUUUAUCUUUAGUCGGCUAUAGGAACCAGAUAAAGAAAAAUAAUGAUAAUAAUAGUAAUAUUACACGUGGCAAAGCCCAUGGGCUUCACCUUUUAUUAUUGUUUUAUUUGUUCUAUUUCUCUAAGUAUUCCUUCUUGUCCUAAUAAUAAUCGUCUUCUUUUCCAUUUGGGGUAGAGUUUUUGUUCAGGCAGACCUUUGCUUAAGAUACUUCUUGUGUGAUGACCCAACCGAAGUCUAGGGAUACGUGAUUUUAUUUAGUUAGUAUUUAUUUCAUAGGUGGGUUAAUAUUCAACAUAUGAUGGCCUAAAUUACACUACAAGAAAAAAGCCUUUCGUUGACAGUUUUUCACCAUCAAGGUAGGGUAUAUCUGUCAAGGUAUGUUACUAUUUAUAUAUGUCAUCUAUGCCAGUAUCAAGAAAAGUUUAAAUCUACCUUGACAUUUACAUAUGUCAAGGUUGUUUCUAUUUUUACCAAUGAUCAAAUCUUUGUUACUAUGACAUAUGUCAAUGUUUCUUUCACUUUUGUCAAGGUUCUCGGACUGAAAUACCAUUUUUCCAAACUCCAAAUCCAAUCUCCACUGUUAGAAUGAAGAUCAAUGCGUCCUAAACGUGCGCCUAAAAUUGCAACUCAAUCGGACCACGAAUUGACCUCGAUCAAAGCUAAUGAUCAAAACAGUUCGGAGAGAAAAGCCCACCAAAACAAAGGUUCUAUUUUUGGCCGAAAGAUGACUUUUCAAAACUCUAAAUCCGAUCUUCACCGUACAAAUUGAAGAUUAAUGAGUUGUGAACCUCUCCUCCAAAUUUUAGCUCGAUCAGACCAUGGACAAAGUGGCAUCGUACCUUUGAUGAAAUCUGGGCAUGAUGUAAAAAACCUGCGUUUUUCUCUCUUCUCCUCUUUCUCUCUAAUGACUGUCCGAAACUCCAAAUCCAAUCUCCACCGUUCAUAUUGAAGAUACAUAAGCCACGAACCUCUCCUCCAAAUUUCAACUCGAUCCGACCACGGACGAAGCGGGAUCGGACAUUUGAUGAAAUCUGGGUAUGAUGAGAAAAACCUGCGUUUUUCUCUCUUCUCCUCUUUCUUUCUAAUGACUUUCCAAAACUCCAAAUCCGAUCCUCACUGUUCAGAUUUAAGAUGAAUGAGUCAUUAAACUUUCCUCCAAAUUUUAGCUCGAUCGGACCACGGACGAAGUGGGAUCAGACCUUUGAUGAAAUCUGGGCAAGAUGAAAAAAAACCUGCAUUUUUCUCUUCUCUUCUUUCUCUCUAAGAACGGUGGCUCUCUCCCUUCUUUCUCCCUUCUUUCUUGUCUUCCAAAAGUUAGGGUUUUCAAUGGAGAGUGAAAAUUUAGGGUUUUCAGUAAAGAAAAUGGUAAAGGCCUGUUGAAGUAUGAAAUAUGUCUUUCCGUCCCUUCCUUUCUCUUUUUAUAGGACUUUAUAGCAAAUUCCAAAAUACCACACAUGUCCUUUUUCAAUAAAUUAAAAAUAGUAUUCUUUAUUUCAUCUUCCAAUAAUAAUUUUUAUAUAUUAAACUCAUAAUGAAAAUUGAUAUUAACAUUACUAAAAAAAAUUAUUAAAUAUUAACUUCCUUAAUCAAAAUUGAUUGUUGUCACUUCAAUUUAUAAUACUUAGUAAGUAAAUUAGAUAUACACAUAUCAAACAAAUUAUUAUCAUUAUUGCUUUUAUUUAAGUACCUUGAAUACAUUGACUUAUAAAUUAUCUGUCAAGAUUCUAUUAUAUAAGUCAUGAAAGAAUUCAACAAAUUUUAUAUAUGUCAUUAUUGGUUUAAACAAGUUAUAUAUGUCAUAGUUGUUCAUUAAAAUAAGCAAAAUUGACACAUAUCACCUUAAGUCAAGAUAAUAUAUGUCAACAAUGACCUUUUUUCUUGUAGUGUUAUUAUUAUUUUUUUUUUAAUUUUUAUUUGUGGGCCUCGUGAUAGUUGAGUUUUUAAGCCAAAGAAGAAGCAAUUGAAGAGAAUAUUUAUGGUGCCCUUGAGAUACAUCUCUUCUUCUUGGAUCUUCUUCUUGUACAUCCUUUAUUCUUCCCUUGGAUUUCUUUUUCGGCUUCUUCUAUCUUUUUCUCUUUCCACAACAUCGUGGGGUUCUCUUUUUCCUUGGAAAUGGACUUCAACUUUUGCCAUAUAUGGGAGGCAUGCUUCUAAAAAAUCUCAAAGAAAGUGAUUGAUAGCUCAUAGGUGAAUUAUUGAACUGCAUAACAAGCACUCCACUAAUAUUGUGUUGUUGAGUGUAGAGAGCAAUAGACACGUACACAUACGGUUUUCAAAAUAUGGAUGGCUAGUUUAUCAUGAUAUGUUUUACUCAUUAAGCUAAGUGCCGACAAAAGAAUGUUGUCCAUGAGAAGGAAUAUUAGAAAGAGUAAAUAGAAGAGGUUGUCCAUGAGACGAAGUGUUAGGUAGGAUUUCACUGAAAUUAGGUAACCAACUGGGUGCGAGUGAAAAAAGGCUGGUCAUGACAUUGGUUAUUUAAAUUGUAAUCCAAAGUAUAAAGUUAUUGGCUUGAUAUACCUAUUAGUCCAAUAGCUAACUUAAAGUGUGAUAAUGUUGGAGUCUUGGCCAGCCAAAAAAUGUACAGGAAAGUGCUGGAAAAAGCCUAAAACUAAUGGGUUCCCCAUAUUUUCUUUAAUCAAGUUGAGAAAGAAUGGAAUAUUGAAGGUGAAAAACAAAGGAAGUGGAAUAAUUACAAAGAUGAAAAUUAACUCCAAGCAACACAAAGAAGACUCCCCCUUUCAGGACACCCUCCAAGUUUUUACAGGGACCUUCCACCAUCGGAAAUUUGAGGCUUUAAGGAGUGAGGAGACCCCAAUUCCAGGCAACCCACCUUCAAUCGACCUAUUACUUGCUCAUGGCUUUUUGUAACAGUUCCCACGGACAACACUAGACUGUUGUUGCUUUUUGAUAGGAUUGUGCAAUUAACCCGUAAGGUGCAGAUGAGGCGGCUUUUAAGUACUGUUCGUUCUUGGCAUCUGAGUCUACUACUUUGCUCAUCCUUCAAAGCUAGAAAAGAAACUAGGGUAGAGGUCCCAAGUUAAUUAGUUCAAAACCUCAAUAUAAAGACAAUAAAGAGAAAGAAAAAGAAAAGCACUUUGUUUUUUAUGAAGUUCCAAACCCAACACCCUCCCACCCCAUUCCACUCCCUGUAUGAAAGAAGGGUCAUUUUAAUAUUAUUUUCGAGCAUGGUGAGCUAUGCUUACCUUUGGUGGCUGCAAAUGUAGUUCAGUUAAUAGAGGUAAAGUGUUGCUCUUGUAAAGUGGUAGCAGGAGAAACAUGUUGUAGGUGGUUUGGCAAUUUUCCCUAUUAAAAUAUUCCUAGAAAAAAACAAUUUAAAUUUGAAAAAAUAAAAACAAAUCAUUUUCCAAAGAUUGUCAUCUAUAAGAGUCAUGCUCAUUUUGCAACCUGAAACUACACAUUUGGCUUUUCUGGGAGCAAUAUAUCUUCAUUCAUGAAGCUUGUAAAAAAUACAUAAAUCAGGCAAACAUUCUUCGUUUGAAAGAUUAUUUCAUUUUAUUUUUUAAUAAUAGAUAAGUGAUAAAAAUUAAAGGAUCUAAUUUAUUUAUAUGAUCAUAUGUCACUACCUAUAAGGAACAUUAAUCAGAGCCAUGUAUACAAUGUUGAAAAGUUAAACUUGUUUAGAAUCUAAGAAGGAAAAUUAGUUCUAGCUAUGUUAAAAAUAAUAUUUUAUUUUGAGUGAUGAGUGAAUUCCUAUAUUUUUUUUUCAGAGAUUUUAUUUUGUUCGAUGUAAGUAUCCAUAAAUAAGACAUUAUAUAAUAUUUAAACAAGAAUACUAGAAGAUAAUAGACUUUUAAGUCUCUUCAACUAUUUAUCCUUCUUUAUAUAACAGUUUGUAUAUAUAUGUUUCUUUCAACCCUAUUGCCAUAACAAAUUUCCAUCAAAGUCAUAUGAAAAAAAAUGAUAAGUGAAUAUCCAUUUCCGGUCCCUAUCUAAUUAAACAAAGACAAUUGUGAUAAAUAGAGUAUCAAUGUAAAUGUUUUACUUGAUUUGCAAGAUGCAUGAGAGGUUGUAGAUAAAGGCUAUAAGAAGCCAAAAGAUGAAACCGCAUUACCCCAAAAUAAGAAGCCUUAAGAGGAAACCAUGCUAUGACAAAAUCAAAGGAAUCUUUUGAAAUAUAUAAGAAAGAUAAGGAAACUUUUACCCUCAUCUAUCAAAUAAUGGAUGAAAGUACUUUUGGGAAGAUUUGAAGUGCAACUAUUGCCAAAGAAGCAUAAGAGAUAUUACACAAAGCACACAUAAAGCAGUUGAUAAGGUACAAAAAGUUUGUCUUCAAACUCUUAAAGGAGAUUUUGAAAGUUUAAGUGUGGAAGAAUUAGAACCAAUAUUCGAUUAUUUUUCUAGAGAAUUGACUAUUGUAAAUUUAUUAAAAAGAAAUGGAUAAAGAACUACAAGAGAUCACUACUCCCAAGUUCAUCAACUUGUGAAAUUUCAACAAUAUCAUCUUCAUUAGAAAUCUUAGGCCAAAGGAUACCAUGCAUGAUUUAGGAGUCUACAAGAUAUUUAUGAGGUAAUGAAAAAUCAAAACAUUGUAACUUUCUUUUGUCCUUUUUAAAAUUGUAAAGCAAUAGAUUUUGAAAAAAUAAUUCAAGAUAAAAGAUGGAAAGAUGCAAUGAAUGAGGAAAUAAAAGCAAUAAGGAAGUAUGACACAUGAGAACUAUGAUAACUCAAAUAAUUGAAAAAAAAAAUUCAAGUGGAUGUGAAAUCUACUUUGUUAAAUGGACAUCUAAAGAAUCCAUGGGUUAUGUGAUAAAAGGGGAUGAGAGCAAAGUUCUAAAAUUGAAAAAACCUUCUAUGGACUAAAUCAAACACUAAGCAUGGAAUAAUAGAAUUGACAAAUAUUAAUUUUAAGACAAUAAUUUUAUUAAGUACCCUCAUGAACAUGCUCUCUACAUAAAGGUGAACAAAAAAAAGUAAUAUAUAUAUAUAUAUAUAUAUAUAUAUAUAGUUGUCUGCUUAUAUGUGAAAGAUUUGAUCUUCACUAAAAAAAAAUUCAACCAUGUUUGAUGAGUUCAAAGAAGUAAUGACUUAUGAGUUUAAGACCGCCAAUAUUGGUCUCAUGCUGUAUAAUAUCUUGGAAUAAAAGUCAAGCAAACUAAAAAGGUGUUUAUUUUUUCAAGAAGACUGUGCAAAAGAAAUUUUCAAGAAGUUUGACAUGAAUAUUUGUAAUUUGAUUAACAAACUAAUAAAAUCUAGAGUUAAAGUAUAAAGACAUGAAAGAGAAACUAUGGAUUUAAUAAAUAAAUAAAUAAAAAAAGCUUAGUAGGAAGCCAAUACUAUUUGACUAGUACAAGGUCAGACUCUUUUUUAGCAUAUAAACUUGCUAGUCAUUAUAUGAAAACACUAAUGGUGACUUGCAUGAAAAUUGCCAAAUGAAUUAUUCACUACAUCAAAAGUACACUUGAUUAUGGUUUAUAUUAUCCACUCUUUUCAAGUUUGUUGGAUAUGGUGAUGGUGAUUGGGAUAGAGAUUAAACGAUCGAAAGAGAAUAAUUGACUUUAUGUUUUUUUAUGUGUGGGAGAUGUUACGUUCACUUAUACAUCAAAGAAACGGCCUAUUAUGAUCCUUUUAAGCGGAAUUUAUUUUAACAACAGUGCAUAUAUAUCAUGCAAAUUGGCUUAAAAAUUUGUUGAUUGAGCUUAAUUUAUCACCACAAAAACCACAUUAAUCAAUGAUUAUUGCAUUAUCAGAAAAUCCAAUUUUUUAUGAUCCAUACAAACAUAUAGAUACAAGAUAUCAUUUUUUUUAGAUAGUUGAUUACUACCAAAAAGUGCUAUUUUGUAGACCUAAUUAUAAUGGUUUUAAGCACCUUUGAGUAGUAAUCAUAUUCAUUUAACCCAAUUAAUUCAUUAAGGUCCUUAGUAAUUGAUUUUAACCAUUUUGUGGCAAGUUUACAUGUUUUUAUCAGCUUAUAAAUCAAUUCAAGCAUGCCAAAUGAUGGAGGAGCUACUAGGACAAGUCAUGGCAAAGCUUUUGGAAGCUCAAAUUCAUGAAGAACCAAGCUUUGGAGCUCCAUAGCCCUUUGCCAAAGUCGUUCAAAGUAUGCAAGGAAAGAACAAUGGAGAAGAGGAAAACAGAGUGAAGAAAACAGAGGAUAGCAGCUGCAGUCUUCUUUCGCACUUUUGGAGCACUUCCCGAAGUCCAUUUUCUACAUGCUAUAUACCAUUUCAAAGCUCAGGAAGUCAAGAAUCCAACGCUUCAAACCGUGUAUAAUUUGGAGCUGAAAUGAGGAAGAUAUGGCCUUCGGAAGAUAACUGCUCCAGGCUUGUGCGAAAAUUUCGCACAACACCUUCCAAAUUCGCACAGCUCAUGCGUGGUGCGAAUUUUCCUCUGUUUUUGCCGACUCCACUUUAGAUAUUUUCCUAUGUAUUUUUUGAUGUAAUUUCCUUUCUUAUCCUUGUAACUAACCAAUCACAAGCUUUUGCUUUUGUAAAGACUAUACAAGGGGUGGAGAUCACCUCUUGGAACAUAUAGAACAUAGGUUACGUUUUACACUUAGAAUAUAUACAGAGCUCUCUCGUUUCUCUUUUCUCUUUACUAUUUUAUUUUCUUGGAAGCCAAACAGUCUCUGAGGGCUUUUCCUCAAAGGAUGAUUGGCUAAAACUUUUAGUUUCUCAAAGUAUGGAUGUUAUGUGAUGGGUUGGAUGCAAUCCCAUGGAAAUUUCUCGCACCCGGAAGGUAAGGUAGUCGUUUUUCAUUAAAGGUUCAUUAAUGCAAAGUUUGGUUUUUAUUUCCUUUGGACAACUUCCAAUGGUCAAUACUUGAUAAGCUUUUGAAUUUCUAUCCAUUAGUUAUCUCCUACGAGCUAUUGGAAGGUGAGGUUUUCAAUUCCAAGUUUUGCAUUAAUCCAUUAGAACCGAUUUCAAUGGCCAUUGAAAGGUGAGUUUAUCACUUGGAAUGACUUUGAGUUGCCAAUAUUUGGUAAGCUUUUGACUUUAGACCAUUAGUUAUUUCUUACGAGCCAUUCAAAGGAAGUCUAAGGUGAAUAACCAUUUAUGAAAUUCACUACCAUCUGUUUUGUCAUUUUAAAGGAUUAAAACUUGAUUUGCUAAAUCCAUACCGGUUCGGGAAGCAAGCAUCACCAUAGUUGCAACCCCAACGCGAGGAGCCUAUCCUGAGAUUUCCAAUUUGCAUAAGAGCUAGAGCAUAGUUAUCCUAUCUUUGAGGAACUUGUUUUUACACCCUUUCAUUUUAGUCUUUAAUGUUAGUUUAGAUUAGUUUAAAUCUUUCUAAAACAUUUACAUCUUCUUUUAAAGCUAACAUCCUUAAGAAAAUCACCUAUUUGCCUAAUUUGAAUAUCACUUGUGUUUGCGAAAACCCUUCCCAGUGAACGAUCCUAGAACCACUAUGCUAUAGUAGCUUGGCUACUUUAGUAAUAGUAUUCAAGGUAUAAAUUUUGUUGAUACGCCUUUAAAGCUAAGCUACCAUGAGUCGAAUCAAUAGUCAUUAAGAAAAAAAAGUACAAUUAAAAUUUGCAAGUCCCAUGAUCAAAUUGCGAAUAUUUUACAAAAGUUUGAAGAUUUUAGAACAUUAUGGAUGUUAUUUGAAGUUAUAAAUCAAGUUUAAGAGGAUAUAUUGAAAUCUUAAACUUAAUUUAAGAAGUUUUUUUUAAAAAAAAAAAAAUUGAAUUAGAUCUGGUUUUUAAAAUUCAAAGAGUAUUUUAUGUGAAAGGUUCAUUGAGGUUUUAUAUUGUUGUUGUUAGGAGUUUCUAUUUUGUUAGGUAUUAAUAUCUAUUCAUAAGAUAUUAUGUACUUUGAUAUUUGAACAAGAGUAGUAAAAAAUAAUUUUUUAAUUCUUCUUAAUUAUUUAUCUUCCUUUAUAUAAUUGCUUGUGUUUCUUUCAAACUAAUUACUCUAAAAUACAACCACAAUUCUACCAUCCUAUACAAUAAAUAGAUCCAUAUACAUUCAAACAAAAGCUUGAAAUGAUUUUAACAUUAAGAAAGCAAGCUUUGUAAAUAAUUCUCCACAUUGUCCAAUCCACAGAGCUUCUUCACAACAGGCAUUGUUGCUGGGACCUCCAAUUGGAAUGUUGAAUCGGACUUGUUUAGCCCUGUCCAACGAAGAAGCUGUUGUCGGGCUUCUCUAAUAGCUGCCCUUGUAGCACAGUGGACUGAAACUGCUAGAAGUAAUGGUGGUUCACCAGAAGCUGCACAACACACAUUCACCUUGCUGAUUAUGAUUCAUCAAUCUAUAUAAAGCAGUGCGCUGGAAUUAUUACAAUGGAGGUUUUCUAGUCAAUUGUACUACCAGCAAAUAAAGCAAGUUUUUUCAGGUAGUUACAACAAUAGCAGUACAAACCAGCUGCUACUGCAGCUACUUCUCAUGCUAUUGUAACGAGUUACUAAUUAUUCAUGUUACUCUAACACAGGACAGUUAAUGCUACCCCAGCAGUGAGCUAUUUCACUUCUACCUUUAUUUUUGCUUAUAUUUUCCUACAUUCCCAUUUAGGCUGAAUUAAUAUGCUUUUCUUGGUUUAAAACGAGGUCAACAACACUUCCUAUCAAAACCUUCCCUAAGGGGCCACCUGCUGACGUUCUAUAACCCUUAAAUUACUUAACCUUGACAUGGUAUCUUGACGUUGAAACACCUAGUAGAGUUGGAAUCAUGGCUGUGGGGAUCCAAUACUGGUCUUAAUCACCUUGGUUGUAGAGCUUUCUCUCAUAACAUUAGAUACAUUGCAAGUGGAUUAAAGAUUGUGGUUCAAUGGCUAGGGUUAGAGGUCCACCAUUAUGGGCAUUAACAUGAAUCAAACACAUUAGCCAUAAUGAAAGGAAGGGUAUCUAUCCCUGCCUCACAUGCUAUGAAUUAGAGAAUGCAGAAGGAAGAGAGAUCCUACCAAGAUUUAUAAGAAAACAGUCUGCCUCACAUUGUGAUUAAUUAGAAUUACUUUUUAUGAGCAUUAUAAAACAUUAGACUUGCAUAACAAGGCAAAAAAAAACAUUAGAGCUUAACUAGCAUAUCAUUUCAUUGAGAUCAGUAAGAGUUACUUCUAAUGAAUACUGCAAAUUACUUCAUUUGUAUAAAAUUCAAGAAAAAGAAAAGGCAAAGCCUCCUGGAUUGUCAAUAUUCAAAGAGAAUUUAGCAUUUUUCAAUAGAUAUAUAUUCUCUUCAACAACCUCCCACCUUUGGCUUCUCGCCCUUACCUUUACUCCACCACCCCCAUCUCUCCCAACUUAUACCCUUUCUCAUUUUUCGCAACAGGAGAGCUCCUCAUAUGAGAUCUUCCUUGAAUAUUUCCUUAUUCUACUGGGAAAUCUACUAACAUAAAGAAAUAAGGAAACGAGAAUUUUGUUUUACAAUAUUCUAUUUUGAAAGGAAUUAUCAUAAAUUUAGUAUUGGAACCAAAUUUAGAUAUUGAUACUUUUCAAUAAAACUCCCCAAGCAAUCAUACCAGUGCAUUCGUCAUGUUUUUCCAUUUUCUUUUUCCUAUUGUAUGGUAAUCAACCAAAUCAUUUUUUAAAAUUUUGUACAACUCGUCUUGAAAAUGAAUUAAAUUAUGUAUAUUUUAUGCAAUUUGGAUGAGAAAUUUAUUUACUAUAAAUUAGAAAAAUUGUUAUUAAGAAAAACAAAAUAUGACUUAAGUAGAUUAUGUUUUUAUCUAUUUUUCCUCUUGUUUCUCAAAAUAAAUUAGAUCUAAAUUUUUUUUGAGUUGUCAUGUUACUCGAGCAAAACUAGCCACAUAAAAAUUGCUAAAUUUGGAUGAAAAAUUAAUCUAAAUUAAAUCAACAGAAUUUGAAAACUAAAACUGAAAUUCUACUACAUACAACUACUAUUUUUACCCCACAAUUCAUUCAAUUCUCAGUGAAAUUACCUCAUUCAAAUUUAAAAAUAGCACCAUUAAAAUCAUAUAAUUUGGAAUAGAAAUACAUUUACUACAAAUUUCAAAAUUCUGCCUUCUAUCGUACAAUUUCAAUGAACAACCAUCAAUUCCAGUUAAAUAUCCAAUGAACAUAACCAAAAUAUACCAUCAUUUAUACUAAUCAAAUUUUUUUUAUUAGAUUUCUAAAACAUUCACAUUCAUUUAAAUAUCAACUUGAAUAAAAAUUCCUAGUUAUUUUUCUAAAAAGAAAAAGCUAGGAUUUCAUACUCUUUCCCAAAUGAAAUUUCCUAAUAUUAAUGAAUUAAUUUUAAUAAUGAAACACCUAUUUCCAUCACAAAAUCAUAAAUUCAAAAAAGCAUCUCACAGAAACAAGUGCUAAUUAAUAAGUUAAAUUACUACUUUUUCAUUAGAUUUCAAAUUAAAAUAAGAAAUAUAAUAAUUAAUUUUAUAGAUGUUUUAAACAUGCAAAAAUAAAUAGGUUUAAGGCUUAACAAUAUUAAGAUGAAAAAAAAUCAAAAAUAGAAAAGUCAAUAUGACAACCACCCUCCAACUUCUUCAAUAAUAAAUGGUUGUGAUGAAGAUGAUUCUUUUGAAUGUUAAACAUCAUGCAUGAGUAAUCCUAAGUUUUGAUGAUUAUAAAACAAGGAUUAUGGGACAAAUAGUUGAAUUUUAUUUAGGAGAAUAGGUUAUCAAGAUCAUAUUAAAGGCAAUGCCAUUAUUUAAAGAAAUUCAAGAGAAGGCCUUAAAGUUGAAGACCAUGGAAAGCUCCCAGGAUGGGUUUGUUUUUAGUCUUUUCCUCCUAUAAACUAGUACUUAUGAAUUAUUUAGGAUGAAAAAUCUUAACCUAGCUUAGGACGCCACCAAUGACCCUUCAUCUUCAUGAAAAAUCAUUAAAGAAUACUUAAAAGUCCUCUUGCCAAAACUGAGCUUUAAACUUUAAAAAAUCUCCUUGAAAUUCAGGCAUUGUAGCUUAAAGACAUGGUCAAAUAGAUGGAAUCAAUUUUGGACCAUUGUGGAACCUUUUUAGACUAUCCAAGCAUGAAAUGCCUCAUUAGGCUGACAGAUCAACAUAAUCAGCAAAAGAAAUGAUAGAUUUGCAAGUUCAGCUGCAAAAAAGUUGUGGUUGAGGAAACUCUUAAUAUGGUGGAUAUACCUCCACGCUUGGGAAGAAGCAGGAAAAAGUAGAUAUAGGCGGUUGUCAAACUACCAUAAAUCAUUGUUUGCAAUCUCUCAUACCCUCUAUCUCCUUUUAUUUUGCAGAAAUUUGCAUUUACGCUUUAUUAUUAUUAUUAUUAUUAUUAUUAUUUUAUAGAUAAAAAAGACGUAUAUAAAGCAAAAAGGAAGUACCAAAAGCAGUGCCCUCGGAGUAUACAGGGAGCAUACAAAAGAUGCCUCAAGGCUCAAACCGAAGGGGAAGGGAAAGAAACAAAAAAUAUCACCUACCUUUAUUUAUAGCCUAAUCAAUCAAUGAAACUUACAAGUGAAGAAGAGCUCAAAACUAUAGACACUCUAACCCAAGACCAAAGAUUACAUACAAAAGGAUUUUUCAAUCUUUGGAGCCAAAGUUCCUCAUUACCAAAUGCUAACAUAUUCCUUUCCUUCCAGACUGUCCAAAAUAUACAUAAAUCAUUUGCCAACCCUUUUUACGAGCUUUCCCCACAAAAGCCCCAUGUCACCCAAGAAGAGUUUCCUUCACUAAACAAGAGAGAAUCCAGGCCACACCAAAGAGGGAGAAAAGAAGAUUUCACUGAAUCCGAGUCUUUGCACAAUGAAGUAAAAGGUGAUCCAUUGUCUUUACUUCAAAGAUGCAUAGAAAACACCUAUUUGCCAACAAGUGCCCCCUUCUUUGAAGUUGGUCCAAAGUUAAAACUUUACCCCAAGAAGCCUCCUAAGCAAAGAAAGCCACCUUAGGAGGCACACUCGUCCUCCAAAUACUACCACUAGGGAACAAAGAAGAAUCUCUCGACUCCAAAAUAAAAUAAAUAGACUUGACUGUAAAGGUGUCACACCUCGAAACUGUCCAAAUCACUCUAUCUUUCACCUCCCUUUGCACCCUAAAUGCUUGGAUCUUUUGCAAAAAAACGCUCCACCAACUCUACCUCUCAAUCAUUAAACGCCCAUGAGAAAAGAGGGGUCCAACCACCCCCAUCACCAUCAGGGUUCCAAACAUCCAAUACCCAAGCUUCCUUAGACAAAGAAAUGGAAAAUAAGGAAGGGAAUGACUCACAAAGUGGCUCAUCACCACACCACUUGUCUAUCCAGAAACUCACUCUCUACCCAUUACCCACUUGGUAGGCUAACACAAUCCCACACCAUACCUCUCACUCACUGCACAGGAGCUCCACCCCCCAUCCUCUUCACCAUACUUGCGACUGAUGACUUGCUUCCAAAAAGCCUCUCUUUCAUUGGCAAACUACCAAUUCCACUUACUUAAGAGAGCUAUAUUCAUUAGAGCAAGAUUUCUCACACCUAAACCACAUUUCCUUUUUACCAAGCAAACCAUGUUCCACCUAACAAGGUGCGGUUUUUGCACAAGAGCUCCACCACCCCAAAGAAAAUCCCUCUAAAUCUUCUCCAAUCUAAACCUCACUUUUCUUGGUAUGUAAAAUAGGGACACAAAAUAGAUAGGCAUGCUAGAUAAAGUGUUUCGAAUUAGAGUGAGUAUCCUUUCUUUUGAGAUAUACUAUCUCUUCCACAUUGCUAGGCUUUUUCGAAAUCUCUCUUCAACUCCAUCCCACACAACCAUUGAUUUGAAGGGAUCCCCCAAAGGCAAACCCAAAUAGCAGGAAGGAAGACCACCCACUUUACACCUCAACUCCAAGGCCAAGUCCUCUAUAUCAUGCACCCUACCCAUCAGAAUUAACUCGCUCUUCUCCAAAUUGAUUCUCAAACCUGAGCAAGCAUCAAACCACAUGAGAAGUCAUCUUAGAUAAGUCAUCUGGUCUUGAGACGCCUCACAAAACACCAAUGUAUCAUCAGCAAAUAACAAGUGCGAGAUUAGAAUCCUCUCACCACUCCUAUCUCUCACCCUCCAACUAGAUAAGUAGCUCCCACUAAUAGCCCUCCUCAAUAAACAACUAAACACCUCCAUGGUUAUCACAAACAAAUAAGGGGAGAGGGGAUCUCCUUGUCUCAAUCCCCUCGAACUUUAGAAAAAAUCGGAAGGAGAACCAUUUACUAAAACAAAAAAUUUCACAGUAGAAAUGCACCAUUCUAUCCAAUUUAUCCAUUUCUCCCCAAAGCUCAUCUUUCUAAGCAUUGCAAUCAAGAACUUCCAAUUGACAUGAUUAUAUGCCUUCUUUGUAUCCAACUUACACAACACACCACCUUCAUUGCUUUUCAACCUUGAGUCCACAACCUCAUUUGCAAUCAAUACUGUGUCCAAAAUCUGUCUACCCUCCACAAAGGCAUUUUGAGACUCCGAAAUCACUUUGCCCAUUACCUUUUUAAUUCUAUUAGCCAACAACUUGGUCAGCAACUUAUAAAAGCUACCCACAAGGCUAAUUGGCCUAAAAUCUUUCAGGUCUUCUGCACCUCCCUUCUUAGGGACUAAAACCAGGAAAGUAGCAUUCAAAGACUUUACAAAUCUGCCACUCUCAUGAAAGUCUAUAAAAAAACCCAUAACCUCUACCUUCACAACAACCCAACAAAAAAGCCAAAAAUCCAUGGCGAAGCCGUCCAAACUUGGGGCUUUGUCCUUACUUAGAUCUGAGAGUGUUGCAAACACCUCUUCUUCCGAAAAAAGAAUCUCCAACCUCUCAGCCUCGCUGCUAACUAGUCCCAUAAAAGUCAGCCCAUCGAUACAAGGACACCACCCCCCUUCUUUUUAAUACAGGUUAUGAAACACCCCCACCAUACUAUCUCUUAAAUCAAUAUCCUCGGUAUGCUAGUAGCCAUUCACUUUCAACUUGGACAAUCAGUUUCUUGUACUAAGAGCAUUCGCCAUCCUAUGGAAGAAUCUAGUGUUAUUACCUCCCUCCUUCAAUCACACUUCCCUAGACUUCUGUCUCCGAGAGAUUUCAUCUCUCAGCACCCAAGUCUUAUAAGACUCCCUAGCCUCCUUUUUGGCUUCACAAUCUUCCAGAUUCAGAGCUAAACAUUUCUCCUUUUCGUCCCAAUACACAACCUGGCUAAAAGCUUCUCCCUUUUUAGCCUCAAUGAGACUGAACACUUCUUUAUUCAAAGUCUUCAAAAUAGCUUUUAAGGCUCUCAAUUUUGCAUCUAAAACAAAGUUGAAGGUCCCAGUAAAAUUGAAGCUCCCCCACCACAUCUUCAUCUGAUCUUUGAACCCCUCUUCAUACCUCCUUCUAGCAAAAUGGAAAAGUGAUCAGAAACUGGUCUAGGUAAAACAACCUGCAUAGACCCAUUAAACAAAUUGCCCCAAUUAUCUAUCACUAAAAACCGGCCAAGCCUAGAUUGGGAUUGGUUAUUAAACUAACCCCUCUAAUUAAAAGGACCCCCCUGCAAAGGAAAGUCCCUCAGCUCCAAAUCCUCUAACACUUUUGAAAAUCUCCUCAUUGAUGCAGAAAGCCCUCCUCCCCUACUACGUUCCUCUAGAAAUCUGAUCAUAUUGAAAUCCCCACCUACACACCAAGGGUCACUCCAUAAACCUCUUAUUGACCCAAGCUCCUCCCAAAAGUCCUCUCUAUCCCUACUGCACACCGGACCAUACACACCAGUAAACACCCACACAACCCCAUCCACAUAGUUCUUAAAGCAACAUGAAAUUGAGCUUUCCCCUUCUUCCAAGUCAACCAACUCAAACACUCUAUUAUCGCAAAACACUAGAAUGCCUCCAACUGCACCCCUUGAAUUGACUGCACUCUAGUCUAGAUGUCUUCCCACCCUAAGACUACGAACAAGCCCCGUAGUCAUUUCUUUAAUUUUGGUUUCCUGCAAACAAACCACGUCCACCCUUUGAGAUUUUAUCACUAUCUUAAUUAUCUUUUAUCUUUGUCAUUUUCCCCUCUCACAUUCCAGGAUAAAAUUCUUAUCUUCAUUUGCACCCCGACACUGAAGCCCCUUCAGAAAUACCCAGACUUGUAUCAACCCUAGUUUUUUUAUAGCUCACUGUCCACUCCAACUUCUUAAGUUCCCUACUAGAUUUAGAAGGCAGUGAUUUCAUCUUUCUAGACACCUCAUCUUGCCCCUUUUGGUCAAUUUUCCCCUUCAUCCUCCUCAAGAGAUACAAAAUAUCCUCUUCGAACCCUUCCGUCGGCAUACCAAGGCAACGAAUGAACUUUGCAAGACAGCUAAAGUUCCACUCUUCAUCUUGUCCCCCCUCUUCCAGUUGAAAGUCAAUCCUCUCCACUAUUGGACUCGCAAAACCUGAUCCAACUGGGACAAUCGCUAGCUCAAUUGCACCAACACUGCCAACCAAACCCCAAGAAGGCUCUUUCUGGUCAUUGAGGACCAAGAAAUCUUCAAUUGGCACUACUCAUAGAGGAUCCCAGUCCAUCGCCACUACCACUGAGCCUUCCGACCCACUAGAAGCCCCUUCCGACACCAACAAAGCUUUGUCAGGCCCUAAGAAAGGAGUAGAAGAAGAAUUGCCCGAAGCCCCAAAGAAAAAAGAGAGCAGUUGUGAGAAAUGGGAUACCUGGAUGUUUCGUCCAUCAAUACCUUGUCGGUGAGCGUCGAUCAACUAGGAAGCAACCCCCCGGCAUUGAAGUCUUUGUCGGCCAGCACCACCUGCUCUAGCCCUAAUGCUCCCACAACGGACUCAAGGGGAGCCUUAGAGGAAAAGAGCCGCCCAAAAAGAAACACAAGGGGAUGGGCCUCUUUUAAAUUGGGCCCAAAAGGCCCCUUAGAGCUCUUAACCAAGCCCACACCCAUAGGGCUAAAGGGGUUAGAGCCCACAACCCAGCCCACUCCACCCGUGGGUUUUUCAUGAACCCACUCACUUGAGUCCAACGUUUCUUUUCCUUUAAACUACUCCCAGCCUACUGUCAUAAGCCCAAGCCCACUUAAAACUAAGUCCAAAUCAAUGCCCUUAGCCGGCCUACCCACUACACCAACUGCACCCCUAUUCCUUCUACCACACUCAACCUGCUCCUCUGACCCUCAGCUCUGAUCACCAAGUUGAGUCUCCCGCACGCUUUCACCAGCAUGUGCACAACCCACACCUUCAUUCCUAACCUCACGCCCUGCACUUUUGUAAAAUUCAGACCUAGGCAUUACCUGAGAAACCCAUGGAGGUGUUUCCCACCAAAGAUGAACCGCACAAUAAGUAUGCCUGGUCACCACCUGCAAUGACCGUGGUAGAUCCUUCCCAGUGGCUCUCACCAAGAAUAAUAAUAUUUAUCUUUGUUCAAAUUUUUACUAAAAAGUUAAGAAUUGGUCAAUUCCCAAUUCAUAACCCACCAUGUAUCUCUAGGUUAGGUCAAGUAGAUUUCACCUUUAAACCUAAGGAGCCUAAUCCUAAUAUUAAGUCCACAAAGAAUGAUAUGGUCCCAAUUUUUCCUAAGUGAUUUUUAUUGUUUUAUGUCAACAAUCUUGUCUCAUCUUAAAUCAAAGUCUUUUUAUUGAAUGUGAUCUUUAUCAACAUUGGUAAAAAGCAAGUCAUACGAAAUAGGAAGUCUUAAGAUCUUAUCAACCUGCACCCUAGACACUUAAAAGUGGUUGGAAAUGGGUGUAUAAGGUGAAAAGCUAAUUUCGUUUACCAAAUGCCCCCUAAUUCAAAAUUCUAAAAACGACAAAAAUUACUAGUCUUGCCACAAUGUUCCAUAUUCAAACAAAUUUUUUCUCAUUAGAAUAAUAGGAAUUCUACCAAGAAAAUUAGAAGGGUGCUUAAGGUUUUGAUUUUUAUUAAUAGAGUAAAAAUAAAAUGGUGGAAUUUGGAGAGCCCAAGCUAAAUGAUGCAAUGUCAUUCAUAAUUUUAUUUUACUUAUGAUUUAUGCAAGGAAUGUUAUAUUUGUUCCAGUCGAAGAAAAUCAGAAAUUAAUUAUUCAGUUUUUUUCUCUACAACUAGGAUGCAUUUUCAAUGAAGAGCUGAAGAGAAAUACCUUUAGAAGAAAGAACACGUUUUUUAUGCUGUCCGCUGUUCAUUAUCUCAACAUUGAACUGCUUGGGUAUGGUGUCAACUGUUGGGAUCUUGUAUGUCCAUGUGCCUUUAGUGACCACCAGUCCAUCUGCAUUAGUUGUGUAUUCCUCAAGCAUAAAAAACCCAAUUCCUUGAACAAAAGCUCCUUCUAUCUGUAAAGCAACUCAGAAAGAAUGUUAGAGCCACAUGGAUCAAAUAAACCAAUAAUCAAUUAAAUAAACACAAGUUUUAAGAAUAGGGAAACAUUGAACAGUUAUAAACAUCCUAUAGUAUUCUCAAAUAAAUAAAAAAUUGACAGGUGGACCCAUGGACAAGACACACCUAUCCAGAUAAAUUUGAUUUUCAUUGCAUUAAUAUGUGGAUGUGGAGACCAAAAUCAGAGAAGAGGUUAAAUGCCAAGGCUUAGGGGAUGGAAAAGAAAAGGAAAUGGAAGUAAAAAUUGAAUUCAAGUUGUGAUUAAUCAAAGCUUAGGAAUAGAAAAGCAGAGAAGGAAACAGAAUAUUUUAAGAUUGUAGUUGGGCUGACCUGUCCUAAAUCCACAGCAGGGUUGAGGCUUUGCCCACAGUCAUAUAUAAUAUCAGAUUGCAAAAUUGUGGUUUCUCCAGUGAGAAGAUUUACUUCCACCUGUGACACCCAAAGUUAAAUUAGUAUAGUAAAACUUGGAGCAUGUUUAAGCAUGGAAGCUAUAGUCUCCUCCAAGUUUACCUGAAGAAUACUAAUUUAAUUUUAACAAAAGCACUAAUGAAAGCGAUUAAGGUAAUCUUGAAAAACUUGCCUCACUCACUGCAGCACCAUAGUUUAGGUAUCGCAUGGAAGAAAAGUCAGGGACAUAGUAAGAACUUGCUGAUAAGUUCACAGCUUGACUUUGUGCCUGGAUUUUGAUAAAGUAAAAGAAUCAAAUGGAAAAGGUCUUCAACAUUUAAUUUUGAGCAAGUACGAAAAAAAUGAAAUAUAUAUAUAUAUGUAUAUGAAAUUCUGCUACACAUUGUUGAAAAAUAUCAACGAGAAUACUUUGCCAUAAGCUCAAUGCCUAGGAAUACCUCUCACAAAUUAUAUGAUCUUGUAGUCAACUCAACCCCAAUUUAGUUCAUCAACUGUGAAUGCAAGAUGAUCAAUGUUGUCCUAUAGUAUCACUAUAGGAGUCAUAGUUCUGAAUAUGGUCACUGUAACUUGAUGCCUUUUUUCCUCUUUGAGAUAUUACUACUGAUGACUUGCAAAAUAAAUAUCACAUAAAUCAGUGGUAUAUAUCCAGAAAAACGCUUCUCUAAAGUGCAAGACUCUCCCAAUAGUAUCAUAGAAGGCCAACUUAGAUAUGAGAAGCACAUGCAACGGUUAUAUGCUUUCAGUCAAAGCAAAAGCACCUUCAUUUCCAGUUGUAGGAUUGCAAAAAAUCUAAUAUCCAACAAAUAAUCAAAGGAGUUAAGGAAAAAAAAUUGUAUUGACACCAGUUUAACCCAAAUAAGGUGGAUUAGGAGUUGAGAAAAUAAUUAUGAUAUCAAGAUAUAUUGACACCAUUUAGAUCAAGUAUACAUACGCCUACAUCUAUUUCUUUCCAAAAUGGAUUGAAUAAAGCAAGUCAUUUCAGUAUUAGAACCCCACUCAAAUGCAUUUCUACCAUCAUUAUUAACUAAUAAUUUUAAGUACUAGAGACAAACUUAUGUUUGCUUUUCUUUGCAUUUUGGACCAAGCACUAUUAUAUAUCUCCACAUUAACAUCUCCUUUCAAUUCUUUGGGGUCAUUGCAUAUCUCCUACCUUUUGAAAGAGUUUAAGAUGUCAAAUAGUUUAUGAUGAACCAAAUCCAAGGCCAUUUAUAAGUUUAUCUAAUCCAUAAUCACAUACAUACUCAUCCAUGACUCUAAAUUUUGAAAGCUGUUGUGCUAUCUCUUUGUUUUCAUGCUGAAAAGCUAAAUACUUAUAUGCCCAUAGAUGGGACACAUUCAAAAUGGGAUUUUUCAACCAUUUUGGAAGUUUACACUCUCCAUAGUUGAAGAGCAUGAUGAAAAGUCACUGACUCAACAAAGAUUGGAGGAUAUUCUCUCCGUUGAUAUGAAGCAGCAUGCAUCUGCACCAUAACUUAAUAAAGGGAGCAUGACUUUAUCAAGUCAUUCAGCACUGAAAGGCAAGGCAGCAAAGAAAAUGUAAAAUAUUCCAAAACUGCACAUAACAACCUGAAGAAUUAGUGUGCUCCAUUUAACAGAACCCAUUUGCUCCUGCAAUUUUUCCUUGAUAGGAAUUAGUCUUUCAACCAACAUAUUGCAGCAGAGUCUAAUAGCUUCACAUGUGGACUCUGAUGUCGUGCUUCCAGCAGUAAGUCCUCCUUGUAUUAAGCUUAAGGUAUCUGAUUGUAUGACCCUUACUUUCUCCAAGAAGUCUCCCAUUCCAUCACACUGAAUUGAACUGAGAGCAAAUGCAGCCAUCUGUUUCACCUUUGUCCACAGCCCCUGGCCCAAUUCAAUGCCUCCAACUUCAACAGCAACAGAUCCAUCACUAAGAAUGCUUACUUUCCCUGGAGUCGGUCUUAAUGAAACUUCAUGCACAAUUGGUACUCGAGAAAUACCCCUUUUCCGCCAUUUAUUGCACAUAUUAAACUGCUUUAUCUUUUCAGUCCUUUCUUUAAAGCUUGAAGAUGUAGCCAACUUAUCCCAGAUUGAAGGUAAAGUGUACUCAAAAGGUUCACCUGCACUGCCCUCAAAGAAAAAAAUGAGGCUGUUGAAAGUGUGGAGGUUUUUGAUUCUCACAGAGUCCACAUCCACAGAAAGAGUAGAUGCAAUGUGUUCAAUUACAGCUUCAGAAAUAAAUAUAGCUUGUGCCUCCCCAGGGGCACGCAUUGCUGAUUUAGACGAAUGGUUUGUUUUGCACAACUUUAUAUCAAAAGAUAAAGCACCCCAAUCAUAAUUUUUAAGGGCUCCCAGCAUGUGCUGAGGCAUAACUGGGCUUACGUCUACAGCUAUUCCAGCAUUGAUUAAUAUAUCAAGGUGUAAGGCAGUAAUUUUGCCAUCAGAUUUGAAUCCUACACUGUAGGUUACUUUCAUUGGAUGUCUUCCUCCUGCUAUUAUCAUAUCAGUUUUGUGAUUCAUAUAUAUCCGGACAGGGCGGUGUAAUUUGUAUGCUGCAAGUGCACAUGCUGUAGCAACCUAAGACAUCAUGAGUGUUUUCACUUAGAAGCCAUUGUUAAGGGAAAGAAACAGUACAAAAGAUAGGCCAUCAGAAGAAACAGAAUCAGAUCAAGGACGAACUAUGUGUGCAUAUGUGUGUGUGUGUGUGUGUGUGUUUUCCUUUGUAUUUUCCUUCAAAUGUCCUUGCUCUUAUGGCCACAUGGACACAAACAUGCAAAGUAAUCAUCAAUUAUACUCACAGGCAUUGCUCUUAUGGCCUUUCCACCAAAACCACCUCCAACCCUUCUUGUGAUCACACGUACAUUAUGUUCAGGAAUACCAAGACAUCUUGCAAUCGCACCAUGUGCAUAUUCAGGGCAUUGUAUUGCACUGUAAACCACAAUGCAGUUAUCUUCAUCUGGAACUGCAAGGGCAGUUUGGGUCUCCAUAUAGAAGUAAUAUUGUGACCCAAGUUUGAUCUGGAUGUGACAAUUUAGAAAGUAUUUAUCAUAAAACCAAAAAGAGAAAGGAAAAAAAUAAUAUAAAUAGGAAAAAAAUUGCAUAACAAGUAAAUGAGAAGUACUUCAGCAGAGAGAAUCUUGUGAUCAGCUUCAGCCAUUCCUUUCGAGAAAUCACCAACCUGUUUUGGUUUAAGGAUAGAAGGAACCUCAAAAAAGCUUGACUUCCUAACAGCCUCUUCAACAGAUAAAAUGGGUGGUUCCAGAUUUUCCAUGUCAUAAUCAACCACUGCAAGGUUUGCUGCCAUAUCUGCAUGUUUCUGUGUGUCUGCAACCUAUACACAUAUAUCAGUGACCAAGUUGGGAAUCUUAGUUCAUAAAGUAAUCAAAUAUCUUUGUAUGCUAUGCCUAUUAAAAGCAAAUUUAUAAUCAACCAAACAGAACAUAUAUAUAUAUAUAUAUAUAUAUAUAUCUAUCUGUUUGUGGACAAGAAAGACAGAAUCAUGGUAUUACCACAAAAGCAAUAUACUGUCCGGCACAUCGAGUGAAAUCAUCAGCAAAUAAAAAGGUUCAGUACCAAAUCUAUUCUUAGUGCCUAUGUUCUCCCCUGGGAUAUCUUUAAAAGAAAUAAGUGCACUGACUCCAUCCCCCACUGAUUUAGGCCUAAGUUUGAUACCCUUUACUUGAGCGAAAGGCUUCGUACUAUAAAUGAAAGCCCCAUGAAGGCAAUUAGUUGGAGAGGGAAUAUCGUCCACAUAAACAGCCUCACCUACAUUAUUGGUUAACUCAUGUAAGUUGUCUAAAAACAGAAAAAAACUAGUAGGUUUAUCAUCAGUAGCCUGCAGUAAUGGAUAGAUAUCUGUAAAAGGAAAUUUGGGGAAAAAACAAAAAAAGAAAAGUAGGAAAAAUAAAGGCUCUUUUUGGAUCUUGGAAAGUUCGGGAGAAAGUAGGAAGGAAAGAAAAUAGAAGGGGAAAUGGAAGGCAAGAAAAAAUGAAGGAAAAUAAAUAAUAAAUUUGAAUUUAAUAAAUUUUUCCAACAUGUUUAUCAGAAUUUAUUUUUCUUCUUUCCUCUUCUAUGUAAAGAAUGGCGAAUUUUAAAAUGUAUAAAUUCUUCAUAAUUUUUCAUGAUAUUUGAUAUUCCUUCAUAUGUUCUAUAACCCAAAUGGUGCCAAUAGGAAUUUGUGACCAACACUAAUCAUUAUCAUGGAUUAUAAAAUAACACAUGGCCUUUUCCAGCCAUAAAUGUCCUAGCAGAGUGGUAAUCAGUGAAUUGUACCAUGACAAAAAGCACAAACAGAAAGUCAAAGAAAGGUCAUCCACAAGGCAGGAAAGAAAGCAUCAAUUUUAUGAAUAUAAAGCUCGGAUUACAAGUAAAUUCCCUCAAAAGAAACAUCAGAGACCAUAAUAUCACCAAUAUGAUCUUGAUCAUAAAAAUGAACAGAAAAAUAAACUUAAGCAUAUAGCCAAACAUUCACUACUAGAAAUUAAAUUGCUCCAUACUUCUAGGCCAUCAAUAAAAUCAAUUAUCUUUAACUAGUUUCAUGUCUCCUGCCAUGUCAACCACCAGCAGAAAGGUAAUUGUAAAAGUAAAAUAAAAAUUAAAUAGAAAAUUAACUUAUGAAUGUCAUAAUAUGAAACCAAGUUACAUAUAACAAACCAGAAGCUUGGAUCGCAGCUCCAGACUUUUCAAUUGGAUCACCAACUGGAUGAUACUGUCUAUUCAAUUCCACUCCCUGCUUUGCAGAAGAUGGCAAGGUUGGGAUUUUACCAUGAUCUAACUGCUUUGCAGGAGACAGCAAAGUACUAUAUCCAUUCAUACAACCAUCAGGGGAUUCAGCAUUAGCCUCAAGCAAAUGGCUAAAGAACUCGAAAAGAAAACUGACAGCCAAGCUUGACCUAUAAGCUGGACUUGAAGUGCCAUCAUCGGGUACCACAAUGCCUUUAAGUAAUUUAACAGCUUCACAAAGGACACCAACACUUAGCACUUUUCCAGUUAAAAAUUCUUCAACUUUUGUAGCUCUCAUUGGAUGUUUUGUCCCAUAAGCACCAAAAGCAAACCGGCAGUUACUUACAAUAAUUCCAUUAGAAGUUGUACAGCGAGAAACUUUAGCCAUUAAAGCAGCAUUUAAAUAGGGCAAUGCAUUUCCUAAGGGUCGUGGUGCAGCUCGAUACGUUUCAAACAGUAAAUUCAUCUUAGUCCCUGAAGAAAUGCCCAUGAUCCUAUCCCAAUCUGGGAUUUUGAUACUUAUGAGUAUACUUUUUGAAUCUAACUCUGGCCUUCUCAAGAACUCCUCCAAUGUAAGCUCUUCACUUUUGAGACCAGUAAUUAUAUUUACAGUUGAACCUACUGCAAGCAGUACUGUAGCAAUGUCAGAGGGGAAAUGAUUCCUUUGUGCCAUCACCAGAUUUCCACCUAAACUAGCUGAGUUCUGGAUGAACCCUGAAGCAACUUUUUCCAUAUGGUCAGCAAUUUUUUUAUAGACCAUGUCUUCUUCUGUGUGAAAUCCACUUUGGUUGCAUUCCUUUAGCGCUUCAAUAGCUUUAGAGAUGGUUACAGCUGCUCCAAUGCUUAUCCCAGUAUUAUCCCUUCUAAUCACUGACAGUUCAGGGAUGUAUCUUAGAUCGAUAUAUUUGUCAUAGUUUUCCACUUCCUUGUAAUAACCCAUACCAGUGUUACCAACAACUACUUUAACCCGAGUCCCAUUUCCAUCCUCAACAAAACCCAAUAAGCUUCGAAGUUGCUCAAUGGUAACAGGAUUAUACCAGGAAUAUCUACUAGAGUCUAAAAGCAAUGUAGACCUAGUUUCAUUUUUCAAGAACUGAGGAAAUGUACAAAUCUCAUCACUAUGGUUAUACAAGGGUAAGCUGAUUAGUUUCACUUCUUUACUAUCACCCUUUCUCCAAAAGGAAUUAAACCCCAAAUCCUCCAUAUCAACAUCUGCUGCAAAACUUUUACAGGCAUCAGCAAUGGGGCAAUACCCAGUACAGCGGCAGAGAUUUCCUGCAAUAGCCCUUUCCCCGCUUCAGAAACUUUCAAUUUGGAGAAUCCCAGUGGGGGCUCUGGCCUGAGGAUUUUCUCAGCAUUGACAAGAGCAGAGAAGAGUGACAUGCACAUUCCAGGAGUACAAAAGCCACACUGAGAAGCAUGGAAUCCAGAGAACCUUUCAUGAAUUGGGUGGAACCCAUCUUUCGUGUUCCCAAGGCCUUCAGUUGUUGUAAUUGAACAUCCAUUUAUACUACAAAGCAGGGUAAGACAUGAACUCACGGUAAAAUCAUCCACCUGGUCAAGCACAGGAUUAUACUUGGAAAGUAGGACAACGCAAGCACCACAACCACCUGAAACAAUAAAGUUAGAAAACAUAUCAAGAUAUCAGCAACCUUCUUUUUUUUUUUAGGGUUUUGAUGGGCUAUACAGAAUCAUAAUCUUGAAUGUGUAAAAAAUUUUAGGAAACAAUUGAAUAAUGAGACUAUUCAAAUCUGUAAUACUUGAACCACAUAAUCAUCAGCAUAACCAGUAGUGAGCAUAAGAAAAUGAAAUUUUCUUAUAGCAAGGAAUCAAACCUAAAUAUAGCAAGGAAUCAUAAAAUCAAAUCCUACAACCAAAUACAGAAAAAAUAAAUCGCAGGCAAUACAAUCAAAAUCAAGCAAUAGAGAGAACCAGAUAAAGAAUAUUAUACAUGCAGAAGAAGAAAAUACAUCUAUCAUUGACGAAAAAGAAACCUAGAUUGGGAAUCGAAGAACUAUUAAGAAAGAGAGAGUGAUAUGACUGCAGCUCAUGUGUGUAUAUAUAGAAAAUAAACAACACAAUUAAAAACGAGCAAUAAAGCUUUAAAGCAAGCAAUAAAGAGAAGAUGAUAAAGGAAAUUCAACACAAAGAAAAACCCCUAUAUACCCAUCAAAGAAAAAGAAAAAACCAAAUUGGGAAAAGAGAGAAGCAUAUGACCAAAGCAAUAUAUGCAUGUACAGUGAAGCAAAAACAAGCAAGAGUGCAGAGGUGAAAGAAAGAGAGAGACCUUCACCGCAGCUGAGCUUGGCACCUUUGAAAGGAGUGUGAGAACGCAAGAAUUCAAGCAAAGUAGUGGAAGGGUGGAUGGUGGAGACCUCAAACCUUUUCCCAUUAACAGCAAAAACCAAACUGUUGUUUACAGUUGAUUCAGACUGCUCCAUUUCUCCACUGCAAGUCUGCAACUCAACUCACUGCUUUCUUCAUAUCAACAGCAACUCACAGUCAAAGACUGUCAGAGCACAGAAAUGAAUAUCUCCUUACGCCACUCACCUUCUGAAAUAAAAAAUAAAAAAAUUUAGCCAGUAAAAAACUACCCUUUAAAUAUUCAAUCUCGCCAUGUUCACUUUUUUCCUUUUAAAUAAAAAUUUUCAUGUAAACGAGUCUUCAACCUCCUAAUACCACUCCUUCCAAAAACCCAAUCUCAUUUUUCUCCUUCUUUUCUUAAUUUUCUUCUUUCCCCUUUCAUGUAAAUUUAAGUUGUUUAAGGGUUUAAGAUAAAUACACUUAACCAUCAUAAGUUUAAACUUUUAAUAAAUACUUAAAAAUAUAAAUAUAAAUAACAAAUAAAAAAUCUGAAUAUUUGAUAAUACUUCAAAUUAUUAGUAAUUAUUAAUGUUUUUAUAACCAAAUCGAUUAUUAAACUAAAAAAGUUAUCGAUUUAUUGUUUAGACUAACAAUUGAAUUACAAUCAAAUUGAUGACAUCAUGUUUAUAUUAUCAUAUAUUAUUAAAUUUUAAAAUAUAUAUAUAAAUAAAUUAAAAAUCAAUAGUAUUUCAUUUGUGUAGUAUGUAUAACUAUAAAUAUAUUAAUAUUUUAAAUUUUAUUAAAUAAAAUAUUUAAAUGUAAAUAUAUUGAAAAUGAAAAAUAAAUCAAUUAUUUAAUUUUAAUUAAUUUUAUAGUUUUGAAAAUAUAUUAAAUUAUUUUUAUUUAAUAUUACAAUUUUUUUAGCAAAAAAUAUAUUUCUUUUGUUUGUUAUAUGAAAUAGUAAAUAUAGCCUAGUGGUUUAGUAAUUACCUAUAUUUAGUUAAAACUUUGACGUGUGAAAUUAACUCUAAAAAUUAUUUUUAAAAAUAAAUAAUUUUUUUUGUUAUAAGGGUUUUAGAAGGUGUUAUGCAAUGAUCCGUUCUUUGGGUUUAAAAAGGUUUUGUGGAGGGAAGGAAUCCCUAUAUUUUUCGUUUUCUAUUUUUUAUUUUUAUUAAUAAAAAUUUUAUAUAAAAAAUAUAAAAAAUCUUAUACAAAAAUACAAAUUUAUUUUAUAUCUUUAAAAAAUUACUUUAAAUUUUAAAAAUUUAUAGUAAAAAUAUUUUAAUAUCUAAAUAUUUAUAUUAAUUUUUAAAAAUCAUUACAUUUUUAAUGUAAAUCUUUAAAAGAUUUUAUAUUUUUUAUAGAAAUUAUUACAUAAUUUAAUUGGUUACCUUGUUUAUAAAUACAUUAUUAAAUUAAAUAUUUCAUUCUUCAGAUUUUAAAAAAAAAAAAGAUAAUUCAAAAAAAAUAAAAAACAUUUAAAAAAGAAAAAAGUAUUCUAUAAAAAAUGCCCUUAGAUUUAGAAAUAGUUUUAAAAGUGUUAAUUUUAAUAAAUAUUUUUACAAAAAUUUCUUAAGACGCAUUCUUCUCAGUGAAGCCGAAGAACUUCAACAAAAUAAUAAAUUUAAAAAAAUGGACAAUCAUUUCCCACUUGUCCAUUUCUGCCUCACACUCUCGAAGAGACACUUUGGGAUAAGGAGUCAAUCUCUGCCUGCCACUAACCCUCUUUGGCAGUUGAGUAUAAGAAUUCUUAAAUAAAAUUAUUUUGAUACCUUGUGUACUUAAAAACAUUUUUUAAAAUUUAAAAAAAAAAAAAAUCAUCUCCUCAAAUUUUUAAAACUUGGAAAAGAUUUAUUGAGAACAAAAAUUAAAUUUUCAUUUUUGAAUAAGAGUGCUUAUAUUUUAUGUAGGAGUUUCUAUUUUUAAAAAUAAAAAAUAGAAAAUUUAUCCAUAUACUACCUUAAUUCAUUAUGACAAUUAUAAUAGUGUUUUUUUUUCUCACUAUUUCAAAUUUAAUAUAUGAAACUAAAAGAAAAAAGGCAAUUUUUUAAUUUUUCUUUUUGUUUCGAAAUCAAAUUCAAUUUUAUGUUGAAUAAAGUAAGAAUUUAGUACCAUUAGUGAUUUUACCAUUUGUUUUGUCUUUUUUCUACAUUUGUCACCAUUUUGUUGGUCUUUUCCAUUAUUCUACAAGAGCCAUCUCCAUAAUCAACUUAACUAUGAUUCUAAACUUAAAGAACUUACAUAUAAAAGAAUGAUCCUUCACUUACCUCACUCCGGGACUUUUCUCCUUUCUUCUUAUUGGUUUUUAAUGAAAAAUAUUUACCCUUUUAGGAGCAUGUAUCACAAGAGGGAGAGUAAUGGCAAAGCCAUUAGAUUAUUAAAGUGGCAUUUGUUAAACCUUGGAGAUAUUCAUUAACCAUUAAUUAAUUCAAUUUGUUUGUUACUAAUUAAUGAGAGGUUGACAAUUGGUGAGGGUUUUGAUCAUGGGUCUUUCUUCUAUUAGGAUAACAUUUGCUAUCGCUUAGGUGGAGGUGUACUACAAUUUGUAGUGGGGAAUGUCUCAUUAAUGUAAUGAUGAAGGUGAUCAACUCAUAUUCAAUAUGCUAUGAUAGGAGGCUAUGACUUAUUAAAACGGCAAGUGGGCAUCUCAAAUUAAUAUGUCAUCCUAGAUUAUUCCACAUGUUAGUAGAUUAUCUUACCCUUACAUUUGCCCCCUAUUUUUCUAGAGAAUUUUUAAUAGAUGAGUUGGGAAAUAUAAUUUUAGGCAACACGUUUUUGAGCUAAGUAGGCUUUUUGGCGUUCCCAAAUGUCACAACCAAAUCAAUUGUCAUCAGUUUCUUAUGAAAGACCUUUUUUCUUCUAACAUCACUUUUUCAUUUUUUUUUUCUUUUUAUGUAGCUCCUUUUCUUAAUCUUUCUCAACCUUCUUUACAAGGCAUAAUAGUGGAUAGUAAAGCUAUCAUAGACAUAAGAUUGCAUUUGGACUUUAAAAUCAUUACAUACCUUUAAUGAAACCACAAGUUUCUUCUUUAAACUUAUUCACUUAAAAGACAUGUUAUUAAUCUUUUGCAGUUUAUCCAAGCAAAUCAAAAUAGUAAGAGACUUAAUAUCAUGCUCAUCAAUCAACUCAUGUAAAUGAUUACAUCUUAGAGCUUUUGAGAUUGUAAUGAAUCAAUCUAACUCUUAUAAAAUGACAAGCAAAUCACUCACUCGAACUAUCAAUUAUGAUUAAAAAAACAAAUUAAUAAUAGGAACAAAAAAAAGAAACAUCACCAUAGUAACACUUUGGAAAUUGGGAAGACACUUAGGACUCAAGGAUAUUCAUGAUGUCUUAGAAAAGUUCUAAUGGCAAUAAAUUGAAAGUACACAAGCCAAUGGUGCUCCUAAGUUACUUAAACCUAGAAAGCUCCAAAGGUUUAGUAAAAAUGUUAACAAUUUAUAGGAACAUACAUUGAUGAUAUUACAUUGUCUUCUACCAAGUUUUGAAUAAAAUAAUGUUUGAUGCUGAUUGAUGCUAUAAAUUGCAUGGUAAUGAGGGCAAAAAUAAUAUCUUUAAGCUUGAUUAUAGCAUUAAAUACAAUCUCAAAUUAGUUAAUUGUAUGUUAUCUUUCAUAUGCUUGAUUUUCUCAUAUUUUUCAUUAGUUUUUUAUCUUUACUGCCUCUUAUGAAUAAUGAUGGUCUUGGAUCCUCUUUGGGAUAUCUUAGAGGCAAGGCAAGAUGAGAGUACAAGUAGAGAUAAUGGGUUAAAGUUGAAUGAAGAUCAAUGACACAAUUUUAUUUUAACCAAUCAACAAUUUAAAGAUCGUUGAGGAGAUAUUCAUAUGCUAAAUAUUUUUAUAUGCACCAUUCAGGUUUAACAAAAACUGUUUUUCUAUUACUUAGAGCAGCACUUCCAUCAACAAAUCCUAAGUCCUUCUUAUCAAAAUUUAUUUAUUUAUUUAUUUAAGAAGCUAUGUAGUUGAGUGGUGAAAGCAAUAGACAUACAGUUUUCAAAAUAUGUAUGAAAAGUUUAUCAUGAUAUGAUUUUAUUUUAUUUAUAAAUCCAAGUGCCUAUAAAAUAAUGUUGUCCAUGAGAAGGAAUAUUAGGAAGAGUAAAUAAAAGAGGUUGUUCAAAGGUGGUAUUUGUUUUUUAGUUAAUUUUUUAUUAAGAUAAAAAUAACCUAUUAAUAUCAACUAAUAUAAUUAAAUUGAACUUAUUGAUAAUAAGUUCAAUUUAAUUAUUUACGAUGAUAUCAAAGUAAAAUAUUUUGGCUUUUUUUAUUCAACCAAAAAACAAAUACCAUUAAAGUGUUAGGCAAAUUCAUUGAAAUUAGGUAACUAACUAGGUCCGAGUGAAAGAAGGUUGGUUAUGACAUGGAGGAUUUAAAGUUCAAUCUAAAUCAUUAUAGGUAAUGGCGAAAUAUACUUGUUAGUCUAAUAGUUAAGUUGAAGUGUAAUUAUGUUGGUAUCAUGGCAAUGGGAAAGUGCAGGCAGAAGCCUAAGCUAAUGGGUUACACCAUUGUCGUGUUUUAAACAGAGUUAGAGAAAGACAAAGGGAAGUGGAAGAUCUAAAGUUUUCUAAAUAAUUCCAAGCAAUUAACGCAAUGACACAACUUAAACAACUGAGUUAAACAUGUAAAAAUAACAUCACAAAAAAGACUUCCCUUUUCACGACACGCUCCAAGUCUUCAUGGGAUCUUCCACUGUGGGAAAUUUGACGCUUAAGGAGCGAGAUACCUAGAUGCCAUGCCAAGUAGCCCACCUUCCAUCUAUAACUUGCUAAAACGGUUUCCAUAGACAACACCAGAUUGUUGUGGUGCUUUUUAACAGGUCGUGCAACCAACCCACAAGGUGCAAAUGAGGUGGAAUUUAAGCAUUUGGUUCUUGGCAUUUGAGUAUCCUACUUUGCUCAUCCUUCAAAAAUGGAAGAGAAACUAGGGAACAAGAGGUCCCAAGUUUGGUUCAAUACCUUAAUGUAAAGACGAUAACAGAGAAAGAAAGAGGAAAACACCUUUUCGUUUGAUGAAGUUUGAACCCUAACCCCAACACCACCUAAAGCUAACGUUAAUUUUCUAGCAAUACAUCUUCAUCCGUGAAGCUUGUAAAGAAGACAUAAAUAAGUCAGACAUGCUUUGUUUGAAGGAUUUCUUGAUUUUAUUUUUCCAUAAUAGACAAGUGAUAAAUAUUAAGAUAUUUAAAUCUUUUAAACUUUUAUAUUUAAUUAAAUAAUAGUGAAUUAAUAAUAAAACUUGUUAUAUUAUAGAAAAUUAUUGAAUAAAAAGUUUUAUCACUCAUUUACAUUAUUUAUUUAAACAAAUUUAAAUUUUAUUAUGAAAAUUACAACAUUAUUUUAAAAACAUUAAGCUUUUGAUAUAAAAUUUAUCAAAAUGAUAAAAAAAAAAAAUUCUGUUGAGAUUUUAAUUAUUUUGAAUUUUUUUAAAAAUAUUUUUAGAACAAAACUUAUUUUUCCUUUACUUUUUUUUAUUAACAUAAAAAAUUGUAAGGACAAGAUUUGAAAUAUUGGUAAAUACAAAUAUAUCAAUAUUUGGAUUUUAUAGAUAUAUUGAAAAUAUCAAUAACAUGAAAAUUAUUAAAAAUUUAUGAAAAUACUUAAAAAAAAUUACAAAAUAAGCAAAAAUAAUUAUUUUGUAAUGGUAAUUAACAUAGGUAUGAUCAAAUAUAAUGUUUAUCAAACUUUUUAAGAAAAUAUUAAUUUAAAUUCCUUUAAUAUAUUUGUAUUAAUUUAUUUUAAAAAUUAAAAACUAUUUUUAUUAAAACAUGUUUUAUUACAUUUUAAAUGAAAAAAAUAUAAUUUAUUUAUAUAAAAUAUUUUAUUUGAGUUUUCAUUUCUAAAAUUUUGUUACAAAUUUGUGGUGAUAAUUUUUUUCUAUUAACAUUAAUUUAUUUAAAUAAUUAAAAGUAUCAAAAGUUAUACUAAUAAUUUAUUUUAUCAAAUUAAUUUUAAUUUUAAUUUAUAAAAUAUAAGAACUCAUUAUUUUUUUAUUUUAGCAAAUUUUGAAUAAAUUUAUAUUUUUAAUAUUUUAAAAUAAAAACAUUUAAAAUUAAAUAAAAUUAGAAGGAUAAAUAUAAAAAAAAUUAAAAUAUGGUAAUUUUUUAAAAUAUGAUUAAUGAGAUAAAUAUGAAAAAUAAUUAAAAAUAAAAUGAUAAUAUAAAUUGUGGAACGUGUUGGGUAGUAAGUAACAGUAGCACAAUCAAUUGUGCGGAACUUCAACUGGUUUAGGCACUAGUAGAUUGGUUGCUCAAGUGGUUGAUGUUCUACCUCCAACAGUGACCUUUAAUUCUCUAACAUGUAGUCGAGAGUUCUUGAACUUCAUAUAAAUGUUUACAACUGUCGAAAAUCAUUCAUCUCUUUAGAGAAAAGGGCUUUUACUUUGUUCUUUGAGUGCAUUUCUUCAAAGGGUUUAAUUUAUUUAUAUGAUCAUCCGUGCCUGUGAGCUAGGAGCAUUCUUUAGACCAAUGCAUAUAUACAACCACAACUUCUACCAUCAUAUACAUACUAUUAUAAACUAGAAACAUAUGGAUUCAAUCAAAGGCAGGAAAUGGUUUCCAGCAUUAAGAGAGCAAGCUUUGCAAGUAACUCUCCACAUUCUCCAGUCCACAGAGCUCCUUCACAACAGGCAUUGUUGCCGGGACCUCCAACUGGAAUGUUGAAUCACACUUGGUUAGCCCAGUCCAGGAAAGAAGCUGUUGCCGGGCUUCUCUAAUAGCUGCCCUUGUAGCACAAUGAACUGAAACAGCUAGGAGUAACGGUGGUUCACCAGAAGCUGCGCAAAACAUAUUUACCUUGCUGAUUAUGAUUCAUUGAUCUACAUAAAGCAGUGUGUUGGAAACUUGGAAUUAUUACAGAGGAGGUUUACUAGUGAAUUUUAUUCAAAAUGAAUUGCAUAGUGAAUUGCACUAGUAGCAAAUAAAGCAAGUUUUUGCUGAUAGUUAGCCAGUACUAAGCUGUUACUACUACUGGUAUGUCUCAUGCUAUUGUAACGAGUUACUAACCAUUCACCUUUUUGGUUUAAAACCAUAUCAACAACACUUCUUAUCUAGUUGGCUGCCGACCUUCCGCAGGGUAUAAACCCCUAAAUUUACCUAACCUUGACAUGGUAUCUUAUGUUGAAACAGCUUGGAAUAUUUGCUGUGGGGAUCCAAUACCGGUCUUAAUCCCCUUAAUUGUAGAGCUUGCCCUCAUAAUAUCAGGUAAAUUGAAGUGGGUUAAAGAUCUUGGUCUAAUGGUUAAGAGUUAGAUAGAGGUUCACCACUAUGGGCAUUAACAUGAAUGAAACACUAACCAUAAUGAAAAGGAAAGGUGUCUAGCCUUGCCUCACAUGCUAUGAAUAUCAUUCCAUUGAUCUCAACAAGAGUUACUUCUAAUGAAUACUGCAAAUUACUCCAUUUCUAUAGAAAACCCAAGAAAAAGAAAAAGCAAACUCUUCUAGAUUCUCAAAGAUUCAAAGACAAUUUGGCAUUUCCCAACAGGUGUGCUUUUGAUCUGAAUUAUUCUCUCCAACACCCUCUUACCUCUAACUCCUCACCCACACCUUUGCUCUACCCUUUCUUGUUUUCCAACAAGAGAGCUUCUCAAAUUAAUAAUGAAACAUCUAUUUUGGUCACAAAUUCAUAAAUUCGUAACAUCUCAUAGAAACAAGUGUUAAUUAUGCAUUAUUGCAAGCAGGUCUAUUGCUUUAUGUAUUCGAUACAAUUUUGUAACAUUUUCUUAGCAACCAUGUAAAAUUAGAAAACAAAUUAUCCAGUUUCUUCUCCAUAACUAGGAUGCAUUUUCAAUGAAGAGUUGAAGAGAAAUACCUUUAGAAGAAAGAACACGAUUUUUAUGAUGUCCGCUGUUCAGUACCUCAACAUUGAACUGCUUGGGUAUUGUGUCGAUUGUUGGGAUCUUGUAAGUCCAUGUGCCUUCGGUGACCACCAGUCCAUCUGAAUUAGUUGUGUACUCCUCGAGCAUAAAAAACCCAAUUCCUUGAACAAAAGCUCCUUCUAUCUGUAAAGCAACUCAGAAAGAAUAUUAGAGGCAUAUGGAUCUAAUAAGCACAAGUUUUAAGGAUAAGGAAACAUUGAACAGUUAUAAACAUCCUUUAGUAUUAUCAAUGAAAAAGUUCCAUUGCAUUAAUAUGUGGAUGUGGAGAAUAAAAUCAGGGAAGAGGUUGAAUGCCAAAGCUUAGGGAUAGAAAAGUAGAGAAGGAGAUGAAAUAGUUUAACAUUGUAGUUGGGCUAACCUGUCCUAAAUCCACAGCAGGGUUGAGACUCUGACCACAGUCAUAUAUAAUAUCAGAUUGCAAAAUUGUGGUUUGUCCAGUGAGAAGAUUUACCUCCACCUGUGACACCCAAUGUUUCAUUAUUAUAGUAAAAAUUGAAGCAUGGUUAAGCAUGAAAGCCUAGUCUCCUCCAAGUUUACCUGAAGAAUACUAACUUAAUUUCAAUAAAAACUCUAUGGAGAGGAAUUAAAGGGAUCUUGAAAAACUUGCCUCACUCACUGCUGCACCAUAGUUUAGGUAUUGAAAGGAAGAAAAGUCAGGGACAUAGUAAGAACUUGCUGAUAAGUUCACAGCUUGACUUUGUGCCUGCAGUUUGAUGAAGUAAAUUGCUAAAUGGUAAGAGAUAUUCAACAUCUAACUUUGAGCAAGUCUGAAGAAAGUAAAAUGAAAAAAAAAAAAAAAUUCUUUGGAAAAGAUGGCAAAUGUCUUUAAUAUUUAAUUUGGAUUUAAACAUAUGAAGUUCUGUUACAUAUUGCUUUCCCAUAAAUCUAGUUUAAGAACUCUUUUAGUGGGAAAAAUAUCAAAAAGAAUACCAUAAGGUCUAUGCCUUAAGUACCACUCAGAAUUUAUAUAAUCAUGGAUGGAAUCAACUCAACCCCAGUUUAGUAUGAUCAAUGUUGUCAUAUUCUUCGAUCAGUACUUUUAACUAUAGGAGUCAUAGUUUUGAGUAGUUAUUGUUUCUGAAGUAAUGCUUUUUUUUUCUUUGGAGAUACUAAUACUGAUGGUUUGAUUUUGAUUGUUUCUGAAUUCCUACAUAAUGCUCUUUCAAUACCCAAAAAAUGAUGACCAACAUGAAUACAAGAAGAAUUAAUUGUAAAACAAUAAAUAUCAUAUGAAUUGGUGGUUUACAUCUAGAAAAAGGUUUCUCCCAAUAGUAUCAUAGGAGGCCUUUUAUGGAAUUAGACCAUUAUUAUUUUGGUGACUCAUCCUUAAGCUUCUAAUUUGUAGAGAAAACAAAAGAGGGUUAGAUCACUUCGAUUUUCUAUUCCCGUACAUGAACCUAAAAGUUUUGAAAGAGCAAUUCAAAACAAAUUAAUGAUACAAAGAUGUUAUGGAUGAGGAAAUAAAAGUAAUAAGGAAGAAUGACAUAUGAGAACUAGAAUCUCUUCCAAAAGGAAAAGAGGUAAUCAGAGCAAGACGGGCAUACAAGGCAAAGAAGGAUGUGAAAGGAGAAAUAGAGAUAUACAAAGCAAGGUUCAUGACUAAGGGUUACAUGCAACAAUAAGGUAUACACCAUGUGAAUACGAAAUCAACAAUUGCAUCAUAAAAAAAAUCUUGUUUUUCAUGAUUGAAGCAAGUACAUUGAUAUAAGAAAUCAUUUUAUUACAAAGUGCGUUAUGAAGAAGGAAGUGCAAUUACAAUUUGCAAAAUCUCAAGAUCAAAUUGCUGAUAUUUUUACCAAGCUCUUAAGUUUGAAGAUUUUAGACAAUUAAGGAUGCUACUUGGAGUUACAAAUCAAAUUUAUAAGGGGGUAUGUUAGAAAGUUAAACUUUAUUUAAAAAGUUUCUAAAGAUUAGAAUUAGAUUUGGUCAAGUUAAAGAAAAAAAAAAUUAUUUUGAGUGCUGCUUUAUUUUCUAUAUUUGAGUAGUUAAGUCCUAGAAAGUUUUUAAAUUUUAUGAUUGAAAGUUAUUGAUUUUAUUAUCUAUAAAUAAGAGACGUGAUAUUUUAAUAAGAGUGAUAGGAGAUAGUAAAUUUUUAAUUCUACCCAAUUGUAUGUUCAUUUAUUUAAUUAUUUAUACUUCUCUUUCAACCCUAUAAUUCCAACAAAGGCAGCAAAAGAAAAAAAAUGUAAAAUAUACCAAAUGUGCACAUAAUUACCUGAAGAAUCAAUGUGCCCCAUUCAACAGAACCCAUUUGCUCCUGCAAUCUCUCCUUGAUAGGAGUCAGUCUUUUAACCAACAUAUUGCAGCAGAGUCUAAUAGCUUCACAGCUGCACUCUGAUGUAGUGCUUGCAGUAGUCAACCCCCCCUGUAUUAAACUUAGGGUAUCUGAUUGUAUGACCCUUACUUUCUCCAAGAAGUCUCCCAUUCCAUCACAUCCAAUUGAACUGAGGGCAAAUGCAGUCAUCUGUUUCACCUUUGUCCACAGUCCCUGCCCCAACUCAAUCCCCCCAACUUCCACAGCAACAGAUCCAUCGCUAAGAAUGCUUACUUUCCCUGGAGUUGCUUUUAAUGAAAUUUCAUGCACAAUUGGUACUCGAGAAAUACCCCUUUUCUGCCAUUUAUUGCACAUAUUAAACUGCUUUACCAUAUCAGUCCUUUCUUUAAAACUUGAAGAAGUAGCCAACUUAUCCCAGAUUAAAGGUAAAGUGUACUCCACAGGUUCACCAGCACAGCCCUCAAAGAAAAAAUUGAGGCUGUUGAAAGUGUGGAGGUUUCCGCUUCUCACAGAGUCCACAUCCAUGGAAAGAGUAGAUGCGACAUGUUCAAUUACAGCUUCAGAUAUAAAUGUAGCUUGUACCUCCCCAGGAGCACGCAUUGCUGAUUUAGACAAAUGGUUUGUUUUGCAAACCUUUAUAUCAAAAGAAAAAGCACCCCAAUCAUAUUUUUUAAGGGCACCAACCAUGAGCAUAGGCAUAGCUGGGCUUAUAUCUACACCCAUUCCUGCGUUGAUUAAUAUAUCAACGUGUAAGGCAGUAAUCUUUCCAUUCGAUUUGAACCCUACACUGUAGGUUACUUUCAUUGGAUGUCUUCCUCCAGCUAUUUUCAUGUCAGUUUUGCGAUUCAUAUAUAUCCGGACAGGGCGUUGUAAUUUGUAUGCUGCAAGUGCACAUGCUGUAGCUACCUGAGGCACCAUAGAUUGAGUGAUUUCACUUAGAAGCCAUUGUUAAGGGAAAGGAACAGUACAAAAGAUAGGCCAUCAGAGGAAACAGAGUCAGAUAAAGGAAGAACUAUGUGUGCAUUUGUGUGUAUGUGUGUUUUCCUCGUAUUCUCCUUCAAAUGGCCGUACUCUUUUGGCCAUAUGGACACAAACACACAAUGUAACCAUCAAUUAUAUACUCACAGCAAUUGCUUUCAUGGCCUUUCCACCAAAACCACCUCCAACCCUUCUUGUGAUCACACGGACAUUGUGUUCAGGAAUACCAAGACAUCUCGAAAUCGUAGUAUGUGCAUUUUCAGGGCAUUGUAUUGAACUGUAAACCACAAUGCAGUUGUCUUCAUCGGGAACUGCAAGGGCAGUUUGUGUCUCCAUAUAGAAAUAAUACUGUGACCCAAGUCUGAUCUGGAUGUGACAAUUCAGAAAGCAUUUAUCAUAAAACCAAAACAAGAAAGAAAAACAUUAAUAGGAAUAGAAAAAAAUUGUAUAACAAGUAAAUGAGAAGUACCUCAGCAGAGAGAAUCUUGUGAUCUGCUUCAGCCAUUCCUCUAGAGAAAUCACCAACCUGUUUUGGGCUAAUGAUGGAAGGAACCUCAAAAAAGCUAGAUCUCCUAACAGCCUCUUCUACCGAUAAAAUGGGUGGUUCCAGAUUUUCCAUGUCAUAAUCGAUCACUGCAAGGUUUGCAGCCAUAUUUGCAUGUUUCUGUGUGUCUGCAACCUAUACACAUAUACGACCAGUGACUGAACUGGGCUUCUCAGUUCAUAAACUAAUCAAAUGUGUUUGUAUGCUACGCCCAUUAAAAGAAAAUUUAUAAUAAACCCAACAGAAAGCAAAAUAUGCAUAUAUAUAUUGGUGGACGAGAAAGACAGAAUCAUCGAAUUACCACAAAAGCAAUAUACUCUCCAGCACAUCGGGUAAAAUCAUCUGCAAAUAAAGGUUCAGUACCAAACAUAGUUUUACAGCCUAUGUUCUCCCCUGGGAUAUCUUUAAAAGAAAUAAGUGCACUGACUCCAGCUGCCACUGAUUUGGGGUUAAGUUUGAUACCCUUUACUCGAGCCAAAGGCUUUGUACCAUAAAUGAAAGCCCCAUGUAGGCAAUUUGUUGGAGAGGGAAUGUCAUCCACAUAAACAGCCUCCCCUACGAAAUCGUUUAACUCAUGUCAGUUGUCUAGAAAAAGGAAAUAUCAGGAGCCUAUGGUAAUGGAUAAGCAUGUCUAAAAGGACAUGUGGGGAGAAAAACAAACAUAAAAAGUAGGAAAAAUCAAGGCUCCUUCUGAAACUUGAAAAGUUUGGGAGUAGGUAGGAAGAAAAGAAAAUAUAAGGAAAGAAAAAUGAAGAAAAAAAAAAACGGAUGGGUUUAAAUUGGAUAGAUUUUUCAUUUAUGUUUAUCCACAUUUUUUUUCUUCUCUUUUAUAUGAAGAGUGAAGAAUUUGAAAAUGUAAAAAUUUUAAUUAUACUUGAUAUUUAUUCAUACUUUUCCGCAAUAAACCAAACAAGAAAAUUUAGAUACCUUCCUAUUUCUUUCCUUUCCCUAGAACUUUAUAUACUCCAAAUGGUGCUAAAGAUAUAUGUGACCAAAGGUAGUCAUUAUCAUGGAUUAUAUAGUAACACAUGGCCUUAUUGAGCUACAAAUGCCCCGCCAGAGUGGUAAUUGGUGAAUAAAAUAGAGUAAGUGAGAUAAAUUGAAUCUAGCGUGGUUGUAACAUGACAAAAAGCACAAACAAAAAGUCAAAGAAAGAUCAUUCACAAGGCUGGAAAGAAAGUAUUGAUUUUUUGAAUAUAAAGUUUUGAUGACAAUAAAUUCCCUUAAAAAAGAAACAUCACACACCAUAAUAUAACCAAUAUAAACUUCACCAUAUAAAUGAACAGAAAAUUAAAUUUAAGAAUGUAGCCAAAUAUUUUACUAUUUGAAAAAUAAAUUGCUCUAAAGUUCUAGGCCAUCAAUAAAAUCAAUUAUCUUUAACUAGUUUCAUGUCUCCUAUUGUUAGCCCCUUGACUCAAGUGACACAGUGCCAAGGGUCUCAUGGGUAGGCACCUUGCACCCAUAAAGACCCUAGGAGAGUGAGGCAAAUUGAAACCAAGGUUCAAUGCAUCAUAUGCGCGAGCUUGGUGGUACAACACAUGAGCUGGCACGAUGAGGUGGCAAGUAGCACGUGACACAACAGGUGUCGCAAGCUAGAUAGUAGGUACUGACACAACAGGUAUCACACUUGACAUAGCAAGUGCCACACACAACAUAACAGGUGCCACAGGCAACAUAGCAAGUACCACACGCUACUUAGGCCACUACCACAUGCAAUGUAGUGGGGUGUUGCAUGCGAUGUAGCAGUUGUAGCCCAUGGCUUAGCACACAUGCACUAGGUGGCAUGACCUAACUCGGGUAAAAUUCAAGUGUUGAAUUUUGACAUGCUUAUAUUUUUCCUUUGAAGAGGAACCUUCAAAAGGGAGUCUCCAAGUGGAAUUGUGGCUGUUUGGAUUUUCAUGAAUUAAUGAAAAAUCAUUAUGCCUCCUUAAGACCCUUGGUGUCUUAUAUUGGCACUUUGGGAAUGGCCUAAAAUGAUUGUUAAGGAGGGUGGAUGCAUGAUUUAAGGCAACGUGGCUUAAUCUUGGCCACACAAAGGGGGUAUGAUGCAAAGCCUCGGACAUGGGCAAGACACUUAGGUGGGCCUUGCUAGAACCGACACAUGGACUCAAUAACAUGUGGUGGUGUGCAACCUAUGACCACAAUUCCUUCUGCUACAUAUUUUUUUUCCAAAAUUUCAGGGGGGAUGUUUGCCCCUCCUAGGCACAAGGUGGCUCCACCCCUGCAUUGUUGCAUUGAAGUGAGAAUUGGGCAUGGCAGGGUGCUUCUGCAACAACAAAAGGCUGCCUCAGACAUGGUGGUGCAUGGUUGAUGGGAGGCAAGAGUAAGGGUAUGGCAUGCUGACUCGUGGCCUGUAAGGCAAGACCUUGCAGGGGGCUGUCCCAUGGGCGCCUAAGACAUGGGCAACAACUCCAAUGUUCCAAGGGCAUAAGUAGACAACCUGAUGCAUGGACAUCACAUGGUGGGCUAAGGCACACAGAUGCACAGAUGGGCUGAACAUGCAUUGACGAGCUAGCAUGCAUGGGUGGGCAGACUUGCACACAUGGACCACAUUGAUGUGGGCUGACAUGCAACUUGGGAAAUAACUCCAAUGCUCCAAAGGCAUAAGGAGACAAACCUGAUGCAUGGACAUCACAUGGUGGGCUAAGGCACACAGAUGCAAUCAGAUGGGCUGAACAUGCAUUGACGAGCUAGCAUGCAUGGGUGGGCAGACUUGCGCACAUGGACCACAUUGAUGUGGGCUAACAUGCAACUUAGUGGGCUGGACAUGGCAUAAGGGCUGAUUCCAUCAGAGGGUAGGUUUGAUUGGUUUCAUGGGUGGUUACUUGGCACCUUUUAGGAAGAGAAGGCAUCAGAAGGCUUGUGAGUGAUUGUGUGGCAUAAAGAGGCACCUCAAGGGAAGAUGGUCUCGUCAGUUGGGUGGUUUUGUAACUACCCCCUACCAACUUGAAUUCAAAUGAAUUGGAAUUCAAAUUAAAUAUGAGAAUGUAGCCUCUGGGUAUAAAUGGUGGUAGGGGGUUGUGGGGCUCUUCUAUUGCCUAAACAGAGACACACGGUGAGGUGUAUGAGAUUGGGGGGUGGGGGUUGGGGGUGGUGCCGCUCAUUUCAGAAAACAGGAAAAAAAAGAGCCUUGUUGCAAAUUUGUGCAUGUGACACCUACCAUAUCCAUGAAACCAACAACAGAAUGGUACUUGUAAGAGUAAAAUAAAAAUUAAAUAGAAAAUCAACUCUUGUUUUUCAUAAUAUAAAACCAAGUUAGUGUAACGAACCAGAAGCUUGGAUGGCAGCCCCAGACUUUGCAAUUGGCUCACCAACUGGACGAUACUGUCUGUUCAAUUCCACUUCCUGCUUUGCAGAAGAUAGCAAGGUUGAGAUUUUACCAUGAUCUAACUGCUUUGCAGGAGACAGCAAAGUACUAUAUCCAUCCACACAGCCAUCAGGUGAUUCAGCAUUAGACUCAACCAAAUGGCUAAAGAACUCAAAAAGAAAACUGACAGCCAAGCUUGACCUAUAAGCUGGACUUGAAGUGCCAUCAUCAGGUACCACAAUGCCUCUAAGUAAUUUAACAGCCUCACAUAGAACACCAACACUUAGCACUUUUCCAGUUAAAAAUUCUUCAACUUUUGUCGCUCUUAUUGGAUGUUUUGUCCCAUAAGCACCAAAAGCAAACUGACAGUUACUUACAAUAAUGCCAAUAGAAGUUGUACAGCGAGAAACUUUAGCCAUUAAAGCAGCAUUUAAAUAGGGCAAUGCAUUUCCUAACGGCCGUGGUGCAGCUCGAUAAGUUUCAAACAGUAACUUCAUCUCGGUCCCUGAAGAAAUGCCCAUAAUCCGAUCCCAAUCUGGGAUUUUGACGCCUACAAGUAUACUUUUCGAAUCUAACUCUGGCCUUCUUAAGAACUCCUCCAAUGUAAGCUCUUCGCUUUUGAGACUAUUCAUUAUAUUUACAGUUGAACCUACUGCAAGAAGUACUGUAGCAAUGUCGGAGGGGAAAUGAUUCCUUUGUGCCAUCACCAGAUUUCCACCUAAACUAGCUGAGUUCCGGAUGAACCCUGAAGCAACUUUUUCCAUAUGGUCAGCAAUUUUUUUAUAGACCAUGUCUCCUUCUGAGUAAAAUCCACUUUGGUUGUAUUCCCUUAGAGCUUCAAUAGCUUUAGAUAUUGUUAUAGUUGCUCCAAUGCUUAUCCCGGUAUUAUCCCUUCUAAUCGUUGAGAAUUCAGGGAUAUGUCUUAGAUCAAUAUAUUUGUCGUAGCUUUCCACUUCCUUGUAAUAACCCAUACCAGUGUUACCAACCACUAAUUUAACCCGAGUCCCAUUUCCAUCCUCAACAAAACCCAAUAAGCUUUGAAGUUCCUCAAUGGUAACAGGAUUAUACCAGGAAUAUCUACUAGAGUCUAAAAGCAAUGUAGACCUAGUUUCAUUUUUCAAGAACUGAGGAAAUGUACAGAUCUCAUCAUUAUGGUUAUACAGGGGUAAGCUGCUUAGUUUCACUUCUUUACUAUCUCCCUUUCUCCAAAAGGAAUUAAACCCCAAAUCCUCCAUAUCAACAUCUGCUGCAAAACUUUUACAGGCAUCAGCAAUGGGCCGGUAUCCAGUACAGCGGCAGAGAUUUCCUGCAAUAGCCGUUUCAGCUUCAGAAACUUUCAGCUUGGAGAAUCCCCUAGGGGGCUCUGGCCGGGGGGUUUUCUCAGCAUUGACAAGAGCCGAGAAGAGUGACAUGCACAUUCCAGGAGUACAAAAGCCACACUGAGAAGCAUGGAAUCCAGAGAACCUUUCAUGAAUUGGGUGGAAUCCAUCUUUCGUGUUCCCAAGGCCUUCAGUUGUUGUAAUUGAACAUCCAUUUACACUACAAAGCAGGGUAAGACAUGAACUCACCGUACAAUCAUCCACCUGGUCAUGCACAGGGUUAUACUUGGACAGUAGAACAACACAAGCACCACAACCACCUGAAACAAUGAAGUUAGCAAACAUUUCAAUGUAUCAGCUGCCUGAUUUUUGAGAUUUUGAUAGGCUAUACAAAAUCAUAAUCUUCAAUGGCUAAACUAUAUUAGGAACUAAUUGAAUAAUGGGACAAUUAUUUAAUAAUUGAACGGCAUAAUCAUCAGCAUAGGCAUUAGUCAAAUAGUUAAAUUUUCAAUCUUAUGUUUCUUGCCGUUCAUCCUCCCAAAAAACAAAGAGAAAGCCUACACCACUACAAGAGCAAUGGACCCCAUUACCCCCAUCGAUUUAAAUAUAGGUAGGAACCAAAAAAUAAAAUCCGACAACAAAAUACAGAAAAAUGGAAUCACAGGACAAUACAAUUGACAACAAGCAAUAAAGAGAACCAGGAAACAAAAAUUAGACACGCUGAAGAAGAAAAUACAUCUAUCAUUGAAGAAAAGGAAACCUGGAUUGGGAAUCCAAGAACCAGAGGAAAGACAGAGUGAUAUGACAGGGUGAUGUAGAAAAUAAAGAAAAAUUAAAAGGAGCAUUAAAGGGAACAUGAUGGAGAAAAACCCAACAUGAAGGAAAAAGGAAUAUCCAACUUUAUCCGUCAAAGAAAAAAGUAGCUCAGAUUGGGCAUCCAAGAGUGCAGAGAAACAGAGGUUCAUACGAUUACAGGUAUGUGUGUACAAAUAUAUACAAAAACAUGGACAACAAAAUUAAAAGCAGAACAUGAUAAAGGAAAGUCAACACACAGAGAAGAAAAACCCGUAUACCCAUCAAAGAAAAAGAAAACCCAAAUUGGGAAACCAACAAGCAGAGAGAAAGAGAGAAGCAUAUGACCAAAGCAAACAUAUAUAUGUACACUGAAUAAAGUACAAAAAAACGCGAGUACAGAGGAGAAGAAAGAUAGAUACCUUCACCGCAGCUGAGCUUGGGACCUUUGAAAGGAGUGUGAGAACGCAAGAACUCAAGCACGGUAGUGGAAGGGUGGAUGGUGGAGACCUCAAACCUCUUUCCAUUAACAGCAAAAACCAGACAGUUGUUUACAGUUGAUUCAGACUGCUCCAUUUCUCCACUGCAAGUCUGCAACUCAAAUCACAGUCAAGAUUAUGUACAGAUAUUAUUCUAUCCUGUAUUUGGGGACGGGGGAAACUAGGAAACUCACUCACAACUAUACGAUUUCCGACGUGUCCAUUUUUGACUUAACACUCAACCAGACAAACAGAAGAAAGAAAUCAAUCUCUGCACGCCAUUGACCGAUUUGGUGCGUCUUUGCUAAUACGUAAAAACGUUGUCUUUAAAUAUUUUGUCCUGUAAAAUUAAGAAUUAAUUAGUUAAAAGGGGGGGUAUUCCUUGUAAUUGUGAAUCUAACACUUUCGAUAUUUUUAUUCGAAGAGUAGUUCACAUUACUUGGAAUCCCGAGGAAUAGAAGAAUCAUACAGGGAUUUGAUGUAAAUGUUUUUUUUAAUAUUUUAAGUAUAUACAUAUAUAUUUUUAAAAAAUAAAUUAUUUUUAUAAGAAAGAAAUAAAAUAUUUUUAUCAAAAUAAAAUAAAAAAAUGAUAAAAAUUUUAAAUUUUAAAAUAGAGUUUUUAAUGAUCCUUUUAAUCGGAAAAACCUUAAAAUUAAUGUACUCUUCGAGUACAAAUUAUUAAGUUAAAAUAAAUUUUUAAUGAAGGUUUAGAUGCAUUUUUUAUUUUUUUAAAAAUAAAAAAUUUUAUAUAUAAUCUUUUAUGACAUUUCCCUUUUUUUUAUAUAUAUAUAUACAAUAUCAAAUUUCUUAGAUAAAAAUGGGUAGAUACCUUGUGUAUUUAAAAUUGUUUUUUAAAAUUUAAAAAAGUAAAAUAUUGUAAGUUGUUCAAAUUUUGUAAUUUUGAAAAGAAUUUUUUAGAAGGUUAGGAUACUUUUUUUAAGAAGAGCUAGUUUUUAUUAAGAUAAUUUUUUUAGCUACUUUUUAUACAAAGUGUUUCUACACCUUAUUUCUUAAAUUAUGAUAGUUAUAAUAAUGUUUUUUUCCUUAUUAUUUUAAAUUCAAUGUGCAUGACAGCAAAAGAAAAAGUGAUUGUGUUUGAUUUUUAUUCACAGUUAAGUGAUGUAGCUGACUUUUAACCUUGGGAAAAAAAAUUCCCAAAUCAAAAGUAGUUAGAAAAUUCGAAUCCAAGGCUACAACUAUUGAAAAAGUAAGGAAAAUGACUCUUUAAGUAAUGACAAACUUGUAGCAUCCUUUCAAACAUAUUAAAUGUCCCACUUGAUUCUCAAAAGCCAUAGGGACUUGCCUUCAAAGAUUCUAAGAAACUUAAAUAUACUAUUAGAGAUCACCAAAGGUAAAAAAAAGUUGAAUACUUUACAACUGUGGUAGGUUAUGACACAUAGUUAGUGAUUGUCUUGAUCAUCAUGAUAGGUUUCUUAUGGUGAGUGCACAAGUAUAUAUGGUUACAUAUUAAAUAAGACUUAUAGUGAAUCAUGACAUUGGCUAUUGAAUAGUCAUAUUAACCAAGCUACUAUGCCAUAUGAGAUCUCAAUCUUGAGAGUAUUGAGGUAGUGUUAAGGUCUUCAAUGUCUUUAGCCUAUGGGUCAGACUCUAAGGCAGUUAUAUAUUCCCUUAGGAUUAUGUCACUUUUGAUUAUGGUAAAUGACAACAAGUAUUCUUAAGAUAGGCAUCGUGAUAUCUCAUUGGUUUGAGGUAACAUGUUUCCUUAGGUAAUCCUAAGGGCAUAUGAUCAUGAAACCUAUGUCACUUUUUGUCAGUUUACUUGUUUUAUUCAUGUUGAUUAUAACCUAUUGUGUUUCUACAUGUUUAGAAUAUAUAUAUAUUUGUGAUCUAAUUUAAAUGAUUCAAUUUAUAGAUUUACUUAUUUCAUUAGAUCAUGUUGUACUCUAAGAUAACUUAACAUUCAUUUAAUUAUAUAUAUAUAUAUAUAUAUAUAUAUUUGGGAUUUUUGCAUCAUCGGUUUACUUCUCAAAUACAAAUAAGAUAGAGUGUUUUAUCCUCUAGGAGUUAAAACCCAGGGAACCCAACAAGACUUCUUAAAAAUGAUAAAUUCUAAACAUGUAGAAACACAAUAGGUUAUAAUCAACAUGAAUAAAACAAGUAAACUGACAAAAAAUUCAUAUAUAUUGAGUAUAGUGUCCAAAAUACCAAGUCUAAAAUCAAUCGCUUUAAAAAGAACACUCUUGAGUAGUUGUGUUACUAUUCAUGGUUGGAUACUUGGAUCACCAUUGUUGACUUUACUAAGAUAUUAUCUCAAAAAGGAUUACAUUUGUAACGACUUGCACCUAGUUGUGUAGAUAUUGUUUGUUUUGAACCCAAAGGAGCCCUCAUGACUUUAAAACAUGUCUAUAUGAUUAAAAAGAGCUUAUACUUAUAUAGUGUUAAUAACUUUUUCUACUACAUCACAAACACCCCCCCCCCCCCCCCUCCCCCCUCCCCAUGCAAACAGAACAAAGACAGUAUGUCUUAUGAGAUUACGAGGCCAAAUAGACAAACAUCCCUCAUAGGCCCAAAGAAAUCCCCACACCAAGGUCGGGAAUUGGGUUUGAUACCAUUUAUAAUGAUCAACACCCAACCGUGUAAAUAUUGUCUAUUCUGGAUCUAAAGAAGUUCUCAUGACUUUAAAAUGUGUUUACAUAAGAGAAUUUCAUACUUAUAUAACACCAUAAACUUUCUCCUCUAUUCGAUGUGGGACAUCUUACGAGGUCAAAUAAACCCAUCCACACCAAGGUCAAGGAUCAACUUUAAUACCAUUUGUAACGAUCCGCACUCAAUCAUAAAAAUAUUGUCUACUCUACACCUAAAAGGGGACUCUCACGACUUUAAAAUGUGUUUACAUAAGAGAAUUUCAUACUUAUAUAACACCAGAAACUUUCUCCUCUAUUCGAUGUGGGACAUCUUACGAGGUCAAAUAUACUCGUCCACACCAAGGUCAAGGAUCAACUUUAAUACCAUUUGUAAUGACCCGCACCCAAUUGUAAAAAUAUUGUCUGCUCUACACCUAAAGGGACUCUCACAACUUUAAAACACUUCUACAUGAUUAAGAGAAGUUCAUACUUAUAUAGCGUUAGAAACUUUCUUCCUUAUCCAAUGUGGGACAUCACAACAUCUGCUCCAAGGAAAGUGAUUAUAAACCUCAACCAAUCAUGAUAAGUUUUAUUUUUCAUAUUUUAAUUUUCAUUUCUUCAUUGUUCAAAUUUUGUCUUUUACAUUUAUAUUCUGGUUUGCUUGUUUAGUGGGGUGACCUUAGUUAAAGGAUAAUUUUCAAUAAUUAUAUUCCAAUAAUUUAGAGUUGCUAGAUCUCAAAUUUCUUCAGAAUAACUACAUUUCAUUUUUUAUUGAUUCACAGAUGAAAUAAAAUUGUUUAGUUUCAUCUUUUCCACCACUAAUAGUUACUUAUACAAUUUUAUACUAAUACAACGAGCUAGGGUGUUAGGUAAAUCAACUUAAUAACUUAAUAUGACUUAAUAAUUUAAUUUAAGAUAUCAAAUAGAAUAAACAUAUUUGAUGAAAUAAUUUAAUAUCACAACUUAGCGGGUAUUUGAUAAAACUUAAUAUUUAUUACUUAAUGAUUUAAGUUGACUUUAAAUUGAAUUAUUCUUAAGUCAUUAGCUAAAAAAUUAUUACUUAGUUUUUACUUUAAAUAUUAAGAUUGUUCGGUAAAGUGAAUAUAAAUUUAAAUAAUCAAAUUGGUAUAUUUACCUUCGUUAAUUUUAAGAAAUAUUUUAUCCUUAUGUAGUUUAAUUCAUAUUUAUUUUUUUAAAAAUACAUGUACGUAUAAAAUAUUUAUAUUUAAAUUAUUAUAGAUAUAUAAAAUAACAAUAAAAUAUUUAUUAUAAAAAAAAUGAGUCAUGGGUGUGGAAUUUAAUUUUAAAAUAUACUUUUACUAAUAUGGGAAAAUGAAUCAAAAAAGAUUUGAGAUUAAGAAUAAACUAAUCAUUUUAACUUAAUACUUAAAGUUAAAAAUAACUUUAAGUUAUAACAUUAAAUUAUUUUAUCAAACAAGGUUAAUCUAUUUAAUAAUUUAAAUGAAGUUCUUAAGUCAUUAAGUUGAUUUAUCAGAUACUCUCUUAAAAUCAAAAAUAAUUUUAAGUAUAAAAUCAAAAUAGUGAAUUUAUUUUUAAUCUCAAAUCUCAUUUUCCUUAUUUGUUUAUGUCCAAUGAGAAUAUAUUUUAUAGUGAUUACUCCAUAUUCAACCGCCACUUUUAAUAGUAAAUAUUUUGUAGUUAAUUAUCUUAUAUAUUUAUAAUUCUUUAAAUAUAGAUAUGUAACAAAUAAGUUUAUUCCUUAAGAUUAGUGAAAAUAUAAAUAUUAAUAAAAAUUAACGAGGGAAAAUAUGUUAAUUUUGAUUAUUUAGAAUAUAUUUUGAGUUCACUUUAUCAAACAACCUUAAUAAUUAAAGUAAAAAUUAAGUAAUUAAGUAAUAAAUAUUAAGUUUUAUCUUAAAACUUAUUAUUUGAAUUUUACUUUAAAGUUAUUUAAUAAAGUUAAGUUAUAAUUUUUUUAAAUCAUCAAAUUGACAUAUUUACCCUCAUUAAUUUUAACUAAUAUUUAUACUUCUUAAACAAUGAAUUUAUUUAUUAAACAUCCAUAUUUAAAGGAUUAUAUAUGUAUAAGUGUUGUAAAUACAAUGGCGAAUGACCACAUUGAUGGUUAUUUAUGAACUCCAUUUACUCAUCUUUAAGAUGAGUAAUGAGAGUUCAUAUUGUGAAGCCUAUAAAAGGCUUCUUACACCCCAUGUCAGAAGCAUCCCAAGCAAAAAAAAGAUAUUCUCUUAUUCUCAUUCCCUCUCUCUUUUUUUCAUUCUCUCAACAUUUCUCUUCUUUGAUUUCUUUCUCCCCUAUAUAUAUAUAUUAUUAAAGUAAUACAAAGUCAUCUCUACUUUUAUUUGAGUCACAUUUAUUCUCAUUUUACAACACGUUACCAGCAUGAAUUACUCUAAAGGUAAUUCUUAUAUCUUAAACUUAAAGUUAUUUAUAUAGAAUAAAAUUUUACAUAUUUAUAUCAUUGUUGAUUUGUUUUGUUACAAAUUGUUAAAAGUUAUAAACAAAUUAUUUGAUUUUGUUUAUAAUCAAAGUUAUACCAAUUCUAUCAAGUUAUUAUAAUUGAUUCUAAUAAUAUUGUUUUGUCACAUAUAUGAAGUUAUUUGACAAUGUCGAAUAUCACAAAACUCGAAUUUGUGGCACUUGACAUUUCAGGAAAAAACGAUCUAUCUUGGAUCCUUGAUACUGAAAUACAUCUUGAUGCAAUGAACCUUGAAGCUACGAUCAAAGAAGGAAAUCAAGCAUCCCUGUAGGAUCGCGCAAAAGCAUCGAUUUUCCUCCUCCAUCACCUCCAUGAAGGUUUAAAAAAUGAGUAUUUUAUGGUAAAAGACCCUUUUACUCUAUGGAGUAAUUUGAAGGAAAGAUAUGACCAUUAGAAAACUAUAAUUCUCCCAAAAGCUCAAUAUGAUUGGAUGUACUUCAGGUUUCACAAGAUUUUAAAUCUGUUAGUGAAUACAAUUCCGCACUUUUCAAAAUCAACUUUCAAUUAAAGUUGUGUGGAGAAAAAAAUCACAGAAGAAGACAUGUUAGAGAAAACUUUUACUACGUUUCAUGCCUCAAAUGUGCUUCUACAGCAGCAAUAUCGAGAGCGUAGAUUUACAAAAUAUUCUGAAUUAAUAUCAUGUCUUCUUGAUGCUAAACAAAAUAAUGAACUUUUGAUGAAAAAUCACCAGUCUCAUCCAACUGCAUCUGAACCAUUCCCUGAAGUGAAUGCAAUAUCGUCCUAAACUCGUGGACGAGGACGAGGACGAGGACGAGGACGUGGUCGUGGUUGUGGAAGAAAUCCAUGAUACCAUGAUUCUUAUAGUAAUAAUUCUAAGAAAAUGAAAGCCUCAUUGCACCACUAGAAGUAGAACAAUACUGAGACAAAACAAGAAAAUGGGAAGCGUUUACAAGAUAAACCUCCUAAGAACCAUGAAAAUAAUUGUUAUAUAUGUGGUAUGAAGGGGCAUUGGUCGCAUACCUGUCAUAGGCCCAAACAUUUGGUCGACCUUUACUAAGCAUCAAUAAAAACCAAUAUUUUAAAAACCGGACAUGACCGGCCUGUUCGACCGUCGACCAGUCACCAUUCCAGUCCGGUCCGACCAUUUGGCCCGUAAAGAAGUUGAGCCGGAAUCGAACCAGCUGAACCGACGAUCGAACCGCCGAACUAGCCGGUUCCCUCCAUCGCCGACCACUCAACUCCCCCCUCCCCCGCGGUUGUUCCCAUUGUCGCCGACAGUGUUUGAAAUAUCGAAAAAAUUUGGCGAUAUUUCUCAAAAAUCAUGGAGUUAGGGUUUGUGAAAUUUAAAUCCAUUGGCAUAAAAGCAAAGAGACCCCUAGAACAGAUCCGGAAAACACAAGGAGCAAAAAAAAUAGCAAUUUUGUUGGUUUUCCUUGGGGGUUUUGAACGGAUUUUCUCAGAAAUCAAACGAGGAUGAAUUUUCCUGGAAAUCAAAUGGGGGAUGGAUUUUCUUGGGAAUCAAACAGGGGUUGCAAAGAAAAAAAAUCAAAAACAUGAUUAGAUUAGUAACUGCGAGGAUUGAGAGUGGCAGAGGAAAGUAGGGCUUUUUACCUUUUACUUUUAGGGAUUGUGUCGUCUGGAGGGCACCUUCAGAGAAAACUGAAAAGGGCUUCUUUGCCUCGAGUGCGAGAAUUCCUCUGUAUAAAUAAUUAUUAAUUAUUAAUAAUUCAUCUUAAUUUUUAUUAAAUCAAAACCGUGCUUGAGUUCAAUGCAUGCUACCAUUGGACUAGUCUUUGAUAAUAUAUAUUUAAUUUAAAUUUGUUAAGGUUCAUCAUUAAAAAAAAAUUUUAAUUUUAAUUAUUUUAUUUUAAAUUAUUUUUAAUCUAUUAAUAAAAAUAUAAAAAAUAAUAUUAUAAAUUAUAUUUUAAUUUUUUUUUAAUAAUAUAUAAAAAUAUAUAUUUAUGACGUCACCGAUUCAACCGCAGUUCGACCACUGGUCCGACCAGUGAACCGUGAACCGAUAACUUUUCCGGUUCAAUGACCAGUCCGGUUCUGAAAACAUUGAUAAAAACAAAAGAAAAAGAGAUAGAAAUGAACUUUACCGAUGGUGAUAGAUUGGACCUAACCUACUAUGACAUUGAUUUUUUUUGGAGGUCCCAAUGAAAAAACAGACCAUUUGAUAAAUGAUGAGAAAAUUAACAUUAAUUGAUGUUACUUUAUAUAUGAAAUAAUAUAUUAUUAUGUCUUAUAUUUACAUAUGAUUUUCUUUUGUUAUUUACAUUAUGCCUUGUUUUUUUUUUUUUAGUUAUAUCUGAAAUCCAUGUGUUAUUUGAUCUUAAGAUGAAUGAGCAUGAUGUAUGUCUCACAGAUUAUGCGACUACGCACACAAUUCUUUGAGAUAAAAGAUAUUUCAUCGAAUUGACAUUAAAAAAGCUAAUGUAAGUACCAUAUCUGGUACUACAAACUUAGUUGAAGGCUUUAGAAGAGCAAACAUAAUGUUGUCAAAUGGAAUUAGAUUCCAUAUAAAUGACGCUUUAUAUUCUAGCAAAUCUAGAAGAAAUUUGUUCAGUUUUAAAGAUAUCCGUAGAAAUGGAUAUCAUAUUGAAACUAUGAAUGAAGAUAAUAUAGAAUAUAUUUACAUUACUUCCAUUAUAUUUGGCUAGAAACUUAUAAUGGAAAAACUCUGGACUUUCUCCUCUGGGUUGUAUUAUGCAACUAUAAAGCCUAUUGAAUCAUAUGUUGUUGUGAACCAGAAGUUCAACGACCUAAAAGUUUUUGUCAUUUGGCAUGAUAGGCUAGGUCACCUAGGGUCUUCAAUGAUGCAUCGAAUAAUUGAACACUCAUAUGGGCAUCCACUAAAGAACCAGAAGAUUCUUUCACCCAAUGAAUACUCAUGUGUUGUCUGCUCACAAGGUAAAUUAAUAGUCAGAUCAUCUUUUACUAAAGUCAUAUCUGAGUCACCAGUAUUUUUAGAAAGAAUAUAUGGGGACAUAUGUGAGUCUAUCCAUCCAUCAUGUGGACCAUUCCAUUAUUUUAUGUUCUUAAUAGAUGCUUCUACUAGGUGGUUAUAUGUUUGUCUCCUUUCUACACGUAAUGUUGCAUUUGCUAGACUCCUUGCACAAAUAAUCAGAUUACGAGCACAAUUUCCAGAUUAUCCAAUUAAAACAAUACAUCUUGAUAAUGCUGGCGAAUUUACUUCUCAAAAAUUCAUUGACAAUUGCAUGUCAGUAGAGAUAAAUAUUGAGCAUCCUGUUGCUCAUACUCAUGCCCAAAAUCGUUUAGUAAAAUCAUUCAUCAAAUGUCUCUAAUUAAUAGCUUGACCAUUACUAAUGAAAACCAAAUUACCUACUUCUGCCUGGGGACAUGCUAUUAUGCAUGCUGCUACUUUAGUCCGUAUUCGACCUAUAACUUACCAUGAAUACUCUUCUUCACAACUUGUUCUUGGAAAACAACCAAAUAUCUCUCACUUACGAAUCUUUGGUUGUGCAGUAUAUGUACCAAUUGCACCUACACAACACACUAAAAUGGGUUCCCAACAAAGACUUGAGAUUGUAAGUUUUGAUUCUCCAUCUAUUAUAAGAUAUCUUGAACCUUUGAUAGGCGAUGCUUUUAUAGCCCGCUUUGUGGAUUGUCAUUUUAAUGAGAGUGUUUCCCGUCAUUAGGGAGGAGAAAAGUCGAUUCCUGAAGAACGAUGAGAAAUUAAUUAGAAGACAUCUACUAUGACCCAUCUUGAUCCUCAUACAAAUCAAUGUGAACUAGAAGUUCAAAUGAUCAUUCAUUUGCAAAAUCUUGCAAAUCAAUUACCAGAUGCAUUCAUUGAUACAAAGAAAGUGACAAAGUCAUAUAUCUCGACUACAAAUACUCUAGCACAGAUUGAUGUCUUGAUGUCCCUAUAGGACAAUUAACAAAUGAAUCUAAGAUACGCUUGAAGCAUGGUAGACCUGUCAGCUCAAAUGAUGUAAUUCCCUAGAAGAUGAGAACCCAAGAAAAACUUGGCACUCUAGAAGAGGCCAUCAAAAUGACUGAUUAGUUUAAAAUUGAUAAAUAUAUAACCCUAGAAGAGGCACAAAUAAUGCCGAAAGCCCCUGAAGACGCACAUAUUGAACAAAUGACGCUUUAUAUUCUAGCAAAUCCAAAAGAAAUUUGCUCAACUUUAAAGAUAUUCGCAGAAAUGGAUAUCAUAUUGAAACUAUGAAUGAAGAUAAUAUAGAAUAUAUUUACAUUACUUCCAUUAUAUUUGGCCAGAAGCUUAUCACGGAAAAACUCUCGGCUUUCUCCUCUAGGUUGUAUCAUGCAACUAUAAAGCCUAUUGAAUCAUAUGUUGUUGUGAACCAGAAGUUCAACGACCCAAAAGCUUUUGUCAUUUGGCAUGACAAACUAGGUCACCUAAGGUCUUCAAUGAUGCAUCGAAUAAUUGAACACUCACAUGGGCAUCCACUAAAGAACCAGAAGAUUCUUUUGCCCAAUGAAUACUCAUGUACUGCCUGCUCACAAGGUAAAUUGAUAAUCAGAUCAUCUUUUACCAAAGUCAUAUCCGAGUCACCAGUCUUUUUGGAAAGAUUACAUGGGGACAUAUGUGGGCCUAUCCAUCCACCAUAUGGACCAUUUCAUUAUUUUAUGAUCUUAAUAGAUGUUUUUACUAGGUGGUCACAUGUUUGUCUUCUUUCUACACGUAACGUUGCCUUUGCUAGACUCCUUGCACAAAUAAUCAAAUUACGAACACAAUUUCCAGAUUAUCCAAUUAAGACAAUACGUCUUAAUAAUGCUGACGAAUUUACUUCUCAAACAUUCAUUGACUAUUGCAUGUCAGUAGGGAUAAAUAUUGAGCAUUUUAUUGCUCAUACUCAUACCUAAAAUGGUUUAGCAGAAUCCUUCAUCAAAUGUCUCUAAUUAAUAGCUCGACCAUUACAAAUGAAAACCAAAUUACAUACUUCCGCAUGGGGACAUGCUAUUAUGCAUGCUGCAACUUUAGUCCUUAUUUGACCUACAACUUACCAUGAAUACUCUCCUUCACAACUUGUGCUUGAAAAACAACCAAAUAUCUCUCACUUACGAAUCUUUGGUUGUGCAGUAUAUGUACCAAUUGCACCUACACAACACACUAAAAUGGGUCCCUAACGAAGACUUGGGAUUUAUGUAAGUUUUGAUUCUCCAUCUAUCAUAAGAUAUCUUGAACCUUUGACAAGCGAUGUUUUUACAGCCUGUUUUGUGGAUUGUCAUUUUAAUGAGAGUGUUUUCUCGUCAUUAGGAGGAGAAAAGUUGAUUCCUAAAGAACAACGAGAAAUUAGUUGGAAGACAUCUACUAUGACCCAUCUUAAUCCUCGUACAAAUCAAUGUGAACUAGAAGUUCAAAUGAUCAUUCAUUUGCAAAAUCUUGCAAAUCAAUUACCAGAUGCAUUCAUUGAUACAAAGAAAGUGACAAAGUCACAUAUCCCGAUUGCAAAUACUCCAGCACGGAUUGAUGUCCCUGUAUGACAGUUAACAAAUGAAUCUAAGAUAUGUCUGAAAUGUGGUAGACUUGUCGGCUCAAAGGAUGUAACUCCCCAGAAAAGGAGAACCCGAGAAAAACUUGGCACUCUAAAAGAGGCCAUCAAAAUGACUGAUCAAUUUAAAAUUGAUAAAUCUAUAGCCUUAGAAGAGGCACAAAUAAUGCAGAAAGCCCUUGAAGAGCCACAUAUUGAACAAAAAGCCUCUCAAGAGAUACAUAUUAAACAAGAAACCCCUGAAGAGCCACAUAUUGAAUGAGAAGUUCCUGAUGAGGCACAGGUACUUGAAAAUUGUGAGAUCUCAAUAAGUUAUGUACACACGGGAGAAAAAUGGGAUCAAAAUAAUAUUAUUAUUAACAAUAUUUUUCCUUUCCAAGUGGCCUUUGAUAUCAUAAGAAAUGAUGAAGAUCCCAAACCACGAAAUGUGGAAGAAUGUUGACAUAGAAAUGAUUGGCCAAAAUGAAAAGAAGCUAUACAGACAGAGUUAAACCCAUUAAUAAAACGAGAAGUUUUUGGACUUGUAGUCUAAAUACUUGAAGAUGUAAAGUUUGUUGGGUACAAAUGGGUAUUUGUAUGAAAGCGCAAUGAGAAUAAUGAGAUCAUAAGAUAUAAAAUGCGAUCAGUAGCACAAGGUUUCUCGUAGAGACCUGGUAUUGAUUACGAGGAAACAUAUUUUCCCAUCGUGGACGCAAUCACAUUUCGUUUCUUAAUUAGUUUGGCAAUCUCAGAAGAACUGGAUAUGCAUUUCAUGGAUGUUAUUACAAAAUAUUUAUACAGAUCCAUGGAAAAUGAUAUAUACAUGAAAAUCCCUGAAGGAUUUAAAUUUCCAAAAUAUUUAUACAGCCUCGUAGCAUGUACUUAAUCAAGUUACAAUGAUCUUUGUAUGUAUUAAAGUAAUCUGGACGCAUGUGGUACAAUCACCUUAGCAAAUUCUUGCUAAAAGAAGGGUAUGUGAAUAACCCUAUAUGCCCAUGCAUCUUCAUUAAGAAAUCAAAAACCGAAUUUGCAAUUAUUGCAGUGUAUGUUGAUGACUUAAAUCUUGUUGGAACUCUUGAAGAGCUCAUAAGAACAACAAAUUACUUGAAAAAUGAAUUUGAGAUGAAAGGUUUUGGAAAAACAAAAUUUUGUCUCAACCUACAGAUCAAGCAUUUUCCAAAUGGAGUUUAAUAUAUCAAUCAACAUACAUUAAGAAAGUUUUGAAGCGUUUUUAUAUGGAUAAAAAGCAUCAUUUAAGUUCUCCAAUGGUUGUUCGAUCACUUGAUGUGAAAAAUGACCCAUUUCGUCAUUGUGAAAAAGAUGAACAGUUACUUGGUCCUGAAGUACCAUAUCUUAAUGCAAUUGGUACACUUAUAUAUCUUGCCAAUUAUACACGUCCAAACAUUCCUUUUUAUGUCAAUUUAUUAGCAAGAUACAACUCUGCUCCAACUCGAAGACAUUGGAAUGGUAUCAAACAUAUAUUGCGUUAUCUUCGUGGAAUCACUGAUAUGAGUUUAUUUUACUCAAGGGAAUCAAAACAACAAUUGCUUGAACAUACAGAUGCAGGAUAUCUUUCAGAUCCACAUAAAGGUAGGUCACAAAUAGGGUAUGUGUUUAAUUGCAAUGGUAUUGCUAUUUCAUGGAGAUCUGUCAAACAAACAAUGGUGGUCACAUCAUCAAAUCAUUUAGAAAUACUGACAAUUCAUGAAGCAAGUUAUAAAUGUAUAUGGCUAAGAUCUAUGAUCCAGCAUAUUCGGGAAUCAUGUGGACUUUUCUUUAUCAAAUGUGACCCGACAAUAUUAUUUGAAGAUAAUGUUGCAUUCAUUACACAAAUAACAGGGGGUUAUAUUAAAGGAGAUAGAACUAAUCACAUUUCACCAAAAUUCUUUUAUGCACAUGAACUCCAAAAGAGUGGUGAAAUUGAUGUGCAACAAAUAUGCUCAAGUGAUAAUCUAUGAGAUUUAUUUACAAAAUCAUUGUCAAUCUCAACAUUCAAGAAGUUAAUACACAAGAUUAAAAUGCGUCAACUCAAUGAUAUCAACACGAGGGGGAGUAUGCUUGUAAAAAGGUGUUAGUGUACUGUACUUUUUUUUUCUUUUAUCCAGGUUUUGUCCUACUGGGUUUUACUGGCGAGGUUUUUAACAAGGUAGUCCUAACAUACCAAGAAAAGAAUAUUGUACUAUUUUCUUUCGCUAGGUUUUUCUAUUAGGGUUUUUUACUAGCAAGGUUUUAAUGAGACAUAUUCUUUUAAUAUGGUGAUCAUCCAAGGGGGAGUGUUGUAAAUAUAAUGGUGAAUGACUACAUUGAUGGUUAUUUAUGAACUCCAUUUACUCAUCUUUAAGAUGAGUAAUGGGAGUUUAUAUUGUUAAGCCUAUAAAAGGCUUUUUACACCCCAUGUAAGAAGCAUCCCGAGCAGAAGAAAGAUAUUCUCUUCCUCUCAUUCUCUCUCUCUUUCUUUCAUUCUCUCAACAUUUCUUUUCUUUGAUUUCUUUCUUUUCUCUAUAUAUAUUAUUAAAGUAAUACAUAGCCAUCUCUACUUUUAUUUGAGUCACAUUUAUUCUCAUUUUACAACAAUAAGAUAACUAUCAAAGUAUUUACUACAAAAAAUGAAUUGUAAAUGUAAAGUCAAGGUCAUAAAAUAUGCUCUCAUUAAACAUGAACAAAUGAGGGAAAAAAUAUUUAAAAUUAAUAAUAAGUUAAUUAUUUCGACUUAAUAUUAGAGGCUAUUUUUAUUUUAAGAUAUCGUAUUAAAUUAUUUAGGGGUUCUUUGAUUAAAAGAGUAAUUGAAAACCCAGAUUUUGAAAUUUAAUUGAUACCGUUUUUUGUUCAUAAAAAUAUCCUUACUUUUUUUUUUUUUGGUAAAAAUAAUCAUUUUUUAACUACAUGUAAAUACUUGAAAUUGUAAAAAAUAUUUCUAUUAAAAAUAUGUUACUUUUCAAAUAAAAAUAUAAAAAGGGUUAGAUUUAUAAAUAUAAGACUUAUUUCAUAUUUUAAUCAAUUAAUUCUUAUUUUAGCAUGCUUAUUAAUAAGGGGAGUAAGUUGACCCACCAAAUAUCCUCUUAAAAAUAAUUUAAUUAACUUAUGUUCGCUCUACCGCAUCACUUUUAUUUGGUUUUUAUUUUCUUUCCUUUUAUCCAUCCACUUCAACUUCGACAAUUCUAGAAUUCCUAUCAUUUAAAGUUAAAUGUAUCCUCUUUUCAUUUCCUUAAUAAUUCAAAGAAUUAAUUUUGGUUUUUUAUAUUUUAUAAAUUUUAUUUAUUAUUUUUUUCCAUUUUUUUUUCAUGAAUUCUUCCUAAUAUUCAUAAUUAUGUACCUUCCUUUUUCAUCUCUCCAUUGCUUCCAUCGCUUAAAAUUACAAUAUUGAUCAUUGACUCGAAGAAGUUCCAAGACAUAUUGGAAUCUUGAUUUGAUAACAAAUUGAUAUACAAAAUAAAAUAAUUAUAAAUUUGAAAAAAUUAUAAAAAUAUUAUAUAAAUUAUAAAAACGUAGAUAUAAUUAAAUAAACUUAAAAUAUUAAUAAGACAAUUUUUUUUGGAUUCAAUUCUCAAUAUGCCAUAUAAAUACAUUUAAUUUAUCAUUAAAUCUCGUCCCAAACCGUCCAUAUCAUUUUGGUACUCAAUCAUUUAAUUUAAUUUAAUUUAAUAUGCUACCAUCAAUGUAAAUUUUUUCACUUUACCAGUUUGAGCUCCCAAUCUUCCACCCUUGCACACCGCCGUUGCCGUCAAGACCCACAACACGACACCACCUGCAAUUGCAAUUUGCAACUAUGCAAGACCCAACACUGAAGGGGAGCAAUCUGACUGUGAGGGGUUGCUUGGCCGACGUCAACGUUGUAAGAUUCAGUCCACUGGACGAGUUACCACCGCCGACACCAAAGCUUCACUCUACGGUAAUACUCAAUUUUUAGGAAAAUCAGGUAAGUAAAUCCUAAAUCAUGCCCUCAAUGGUUUCUCAUCUUAUUUCCGAACAGGUCAGGGGUUUUGGGUUUUUUCUUCUUCGCCUUCUUUGAUCUUCUGGGUUAAAAGCUCCAAUUUCAGAAUCAUGGGUGUCUGCUUUUGAAUGGGGAAUCUCUAAUUUUUAUUUUAUUUUUGAAAAUGUUAUGAUAUUUUAUUGUGAUGGGAAAGAAAAAGAGAAUGUUUGAAAAUUUUUCUGUAAUCUAACCGAGUUAACUCGGAAACUCAGACGAGUCAGCCGAGUCUUAACAAUUUCGUGCCAAGUUUGUGCAUUAUAUCGUAUCUGGUGUCGGUCUCGUCGCGUCAGGUGUUUAGGCGGAUACGACUCGACCGAUUUGAACCAGACCCUGCUGAUACUUUGAACCCUGACUUCUUCAAAAUGGAUGCUUCUUCUUCUUCUCAACAUUGGAGGUAUGAUGCCUUCUUCAGCUUUAGAGGAGAAGACACCCGCAAAAGCUUCAUUGCCCAUCUCUAUAAGGAGUUGUGUACCAAAUGAAUCAACACUUUUAUCGACGAUGACAAACUUAGGCGAGGCGAAGUCAUAUCUCCAGCACUUCUUACUACUAUUGAAAACUCAAUGUUUUCUAUCAUUGUUUUAUUGGAAAAUUAUGCCUCUUCUAGCUGGUGCUUAGAGGAGUUGGUGAAGAUACUAGAGUGUAUGAAAACCAGGGGACAGAGAGUUGUCCCCAUUUUCUAUAAUGUGGAUCCAUCUGAUGUGCGGAAACAAAGGGGAAAUUUUGGAAAAGCCUUGACUGAACAUGAAGAAAAUUUGAAGGAAAAUAAGAAAAGGGUAUAGAUCUAGAAGGAUGCUCUUGUUGAAGUUGCAAAUUUAUCUGGCUGGGAUUCGAGGAAUAAGUACUUUUCUAAAUCAUUAUUGUUAUGUUAACAUUAACAAUGUUGCCCACUUUAAUGCUCUUUGCCAAAUUCUCCCAUUAAUUAUUAAGAAAAAAAGGUUAUACAGAUACCAUGUUAAUAUUGUGUUAUGAGAGGAGUAGGUUUGUAGAAUACUGCUUUUUCAGUUUCUUAUUAAGAUGUCAUAAACUUGAAUAUAGGCAUCCUUUCUAAGGAAUUUAAUUUCUGUUUACAUACAAGACCUCCAUACAUGGAAUUCCCCAUUCUCUUUUUCAAUGCAUAUAGUUGAUCAUUUGAAAGAAGUUUGUCAUAUUGGAACUAUAUUUAUUAGAGAAAUUGGAUUAAUUAUACUACGAUGAUCACUGUGUUAAUUUAUACUUAUUUCCUCGUCUACCUAUUUUUUUGAAAUGCACAAACCUAGGUAUCAUAUCUUAUUCACUUUAUUUUAGUUUCCUUUUAUGUUGCCAUGGACUUAUUAUAUGUUUUUCAAAUGUGGCAGGUAUGAGCCUAUGCUCAUCUAGGAAAUUGUCAUAGAUAUUUUGAAUAGAUUAUUUCAUAUAUCCUCAAGUGAUGCCAAGAACCUGGUUGGAAUAAAUUCUAGCUUACAAGAAAUGGAAUUGCUAUUAUGUAUUGAGUCUAGAGAAGUUCGAAUGGUAGGAAUUUGGGGUAUGGCAGGCAUAGGUAAAACAACUCUUGCCAAAGCUAUUUGUCAGCAUAUCUCUGGUCAUUUUGAAGCUUGCUCCUUUCUUGAAAAUGUAGGAGAUGAUUUGGAGAAACGAGGGUUCCUUGGAUUAGAGGAAAAAUUUCUUUCUCAACUAUUGGAGGAUAGAAAUCUAAACAUUAAAGGACUCAGUUCUAUAAAAGCGAGGCUUCAUUUCAAAAAGGUUCUCAUUGUCAUUGAUGAUGUGAACAGUUCAAAAAUAUUGAAAGUAUUAGUCGGAAAGCAUGAUUGGUUUGGUCAAGGAAGCCGAAUCAUUGUAACAACAAGAAAUAAGCACUUGCUAGUUAUGCAUGGAGUAGAUGAGGUAUAUGAGGUUAGGAAAUUAAAUAAUGAUGAUGCUCUUGAGCUCUUCAGUCAUUAUGCCUUUAAACAAGUCCAUCCCCAAGAAGAUUAUGUGGAGCUGUCCAAGUGUGUAAUGGUUUAUGCUCAAGGGCUUCCAUUGGCUCUUAAAGUUUUAGGUUCAUUUUUAUUUAGCAAGAGCAAGCAUGAAUGGGAAAGUGAACUGGCUAAACUAAGAAGAAUUCCUAAUAUGGAAAUUCAAGAUGUGCUACAAGUGAGUUUUUAUGGGUUGGAUGACAAAGAGAGGGAUAUAUUUCUAGACAUUGCAAGUUUUUUUAAAGGAGAGGACAAAGAUUAUGUUAUGAAAAUCCUAAAUGGUUGUGGUUUCUUCCCAGAUAUUGGAAUAAGAGUUCUCAUUGAGAAGUCCCUCAUUACUAUUUUAGACAAUAGGUUGAUGAUGCAUGAUUUGUUACAAGAAAUGGGCAGAGAAAUUGUUCGUCAAACAUCCCUUAAAGAACCUGGAAAACACAGCAGGUUGUGGUUUCAUGAAGAUGUUUAUCAUGUAUUGACAAAAAAAGGGUAAGAGCCAAAUACAUUAAAUUCCUUUUUCGUGGGUAAGGUGUAGUUGAAAGAUAUGUAAGGUUGGGAAUAUAGUUUUUGUUUAAGUAAUAAUACAUCUAUAUAACUUUAAUAAGUUUUUAUGCAUUUUGCAUGCUUCACUUAUCCAUUGGCUUUUAUCAAUGUUAAUUAGGCAACUGAAGAAGUUGAAGCAAUAUUCCUUGACUUGUCUAAUUUAGAAGAAAUACUCUUUACUACUGAAGCAUUUGCACGAAUGAAUAGACUUAGAUUGCUCAAAGUCUAUAAAUCUCAAGAUCCCAGAGAUGAAGUAUGUACUUCACAAAAGGAAGAGUGCAAGGUUAUGUUUUCAAGGGACUUUAAAUUCCAUUAUGAUGACUUGAGAUAUUUGUAUUGACAUGGAUACCCUUUCAGAUCAUUGUCAUUUGAUUUUAACUCAAAGUGUCUUGUUGAUCUCAGCAUGCCUUAUAGCCACAUUAAACAACUUUGGAAAGGGGUGAAGGUAUGAUUAUGAUUUGUUUUUGUUGUUUUUUAGACAAGUCAUUGAAAACUUAUUUGUUCUAUCCACUUUCUUUGUUACAGGUUCUUGACAAGUUAAAAUUCAUGGAACUCAGCUCCAAGCAGCUAACUGAGACACCGGAUUUCUCAGGGAUCACCAAUCUUGAACGGUUGGUUUUUGAAGAUUGCACACAUUUGCAUAAGAUCCACCCAUCUCUGGGAGGUUUAAGCAAGCUCAUUUUCUUGAGUUUGAGAAAUUGCAUAAACCUUAGGUAUUUUCCGAGCAGUGGUAAGUUGGAAUCUCUUCAAAUCCUUAUUCUCUCAGGCUGCUCAAAACUUGAGAAGUUUCCAGAGAUCCGAGGGUACAUGGAACAUCUAUCAGAGCUCUAUUUAGAUGGGACUGCUAUAAAGGAAUUACCUUCCUCUAUUGAGUAUGCCAGUGGGCUUGUUCUAUUGGAUCUUAAAAACUGCAAAAAGUUCAGGAGUUUUCCAACAUGUAUUCAUAAUUUGAAAUCUCUUGAAACCCUGAUUUUUUCUGGUAGCUUGGAAUCUGAAGAUGUUCAAGAGAACUUUGGGAACCUAGAAUGGUUCAAGAAGCUUUAUUCAAAUGGAACUGCUAUAAGAGGAAUGCCUUCUUCUAUUUCCCUCUUUAGAAACCUUGUAGUAUUAUCCUUUGGUGGAUGUAGUGGACCACCAUCUCUUUCAUGGUCAUUGCCUAGAAGAAGUUCACAUUCCAUUGAUUUCCUCCUGCUGUCAGACUUAUGCUCCUAACAGCACUUAGAUCUAAGUCACUGCAAUCUAUCUGAGGAAGCAGACCUUAGUAAACUUGGUCUCUUAUCUUCACUGAAAAAACUAAAUUUAAGUGGGAACAACUUUGUUAGUUUGCCUUCAAAUGUGUUGAGUCGACUUUCUCAGCUGACAAGACUUGACCUACAUAAUUGCAGAAGCCUGCAAGCAUUGUUAGAGCUCCCAUCAAGUAUACAAUCAAUAGAUGCACAUAAUUGCACAUCAUUAGAAAUCAUCCCAAACCAAUCAAUUUACAAGUCGCUCUACCAUGCCUCAUUUAUGAAUUGUUUCAAACUGAUGGAGUAUCAAAGCAGCCUUGAAACUUUGUUCCUAACAGUGGCAAUGGAUGCUACCCAGACAGAUUUUCAUGUGAGUUUGUUCUCUUCUAUUGUCUAUCAUUUUCAUUUAUCAACUGUUACCUAGUUUUUAGAACUAUUUUCCCCCCUUCUCCUUAGUGGCACCAUAUUGUAAGUAAAGAGUGAUAAUAUGAAGUUCUAUAUCGUAUAAUGCCAAGUAUUCAUUAAAGUAGAGAAUAAAAUUAAGGAACUAGAGUUUCAUCGCUCUCAACAUCAUCAUGAUUUUCAUUGUACAACUUUCCUUAUCCCAGCCAGUUCCAUUCAACACUAUUCUCCCUGGAAGUGGAAUACCAGAUUGGAUUGGACAUCAGAGCACAGGGUGUGAAGUAAAUAUUAAGCUAUCUCCAAAUUGGUUUAAUUCUAACUUCCUGGGUUUUGCUCUUUCCGCUGUCAUUGAUUUCAAUGAUAUGCCUCAUGCCAACCAUGCUGAUUUGUCCUUCCAAAUUUGUACCUCCCUGAUUUCCAAGUCUGGACUGGUAUUUUUUUAUGAUGCUUUCUGUGAUCAUACUCUUGGACAUGCAUUAAUUGAGCCAGACCAUGUGUGGCUGGCCUAUGCACCAGUUUCUAGCUCCAUCAAGUGGCAUGAAGUGAACCACAUUCAGGCUUCAUUUCUUAUGAUCACCCACAUGCUCCCUGUGAUUAAGAGGUGUGGGGUUGGUCUAAUGUAUAGUAGGGAAGAUGUGAAAUAUGACAGUCUAAAAAUUAUCCAACACAUCUCUACUCUCUCUCAAAUUUCAACUCUCCUUCAUGAAAUUGAUGAGGGGGAACCCAGUGCAAGUGGUUUCUCUAAGCAGGAAUCAGAAUCUAGUGAUUACUACACUGAUGAGGGGGAAUCUUAGUGGAAGUGCCCUCUUUGAAGUUAUGGGUGUAGAUUCACUCCUGAAGAUUUGAAGACACUGAGAGAAGAUUCACUUCCGCAGAUACUGAGAGAAUCCACAGAUACCGCCAUUCAACUUAAGGGCAAUUCCAGUCAAAAUGACAUCUAUUCCUUGGCACCUGGUUCAUUUGCUGCAUUGAGGUCCAUUUUGGAUCUUUCUUCUUGGUAUGCCACUCUUGUUUCUUAACAUAAGCCUUCAGUAGGAAUUGAAAUUUAAUUUAGCUAAUGGAUGACGUAUGUAUAUAGGUCAUUAGUCUUAUGUUUGCUUGAGAUUUUAACUGAUGAAUUGAAUCACAAUAUUUUGGAGAAUCUAGAAUGUUUUCUAUAUUGUUGUGAGGUGGGUAGAAUUCAUGUGCUUUUCUAAUCAUCUGUAUAAUAUCUUGGAAUAAAAGUCAAGCAAACUAAAAAGGUGUUUAUUUUUUCAAGAAGACUGUGCAAAAGAAAUUUUCAAGAAGUUUGACAUAAAUAUUUGUAAUUUGAUUAACAAACUAAUAAAAUCUAGAGUUAAAGUAUAAAGACAUGAAAGAGAAACCAUGGAUUUAAUAAAUAAAUAAAUAAAUAAAAGCUUAGUAGGAAGCCAAUGCUAUUUGACUAGUACAAGGUCAGACUCUUUUUUAGCAUAUAAACUUGCUAGUCAUUAUAUGAAAACACUAAUGGUGACUUGCAUGAAAACUGCCAAAUGAAUUAUUCACUACAUCAAAAGUACACUUGAUUAUGGUUUAUAUUAUCCACUCUUUAACAAUUUCAAGUUUGUUGGAUAUGGUGAUGGUGAUUGGGAUAGAGAUUAAACGAUCGAAAGAGAAUAAUUGACUCUAUGUUUUUUUAUGUGUGGGAGAUGUUACGUUCACUUAUACAUCAAAGAAACAGCCUAUUAUGAUCCUUUUAAGCGGAAUUUAUUUUAACAACAGUGCAUAUAUAUCAUGCAAAUUGGCUUAAAAAUUUGUUGAUUGAGCUUAAUUUAUCACCACAAAAACCAAAUUAAUCAAUGAUUAUUGCAUUAUCAGAAAAUCCAAUUUUUUAUGAUCCAUACAAACAUAUAGAUACAAGAUAUCAUUUUUUUUUUAGAUAGUCAUGAAGAAAAAAAAAGUACAAUUAAAAUUUGCAAGUCCCAUGAUCAAAUUGCGAAUAUUUUACAAAAGUUUGAAGAUUUUAGAACAUUAUGGAUGUUAUUUGAAAUUAUAAAUCAAGUUUAAGAGGAUAUAUUGAAAUCUUAAACUUAAUUUAAGAAGUUUUUUUUUUUUUAAAAAAAAUUGAAUUAGAUCUGGUUUUUAAAAUUCAAAGAGUAUUUUAUGUGAACGGUUCAUUGAGGUUUUAUAUUGUUGUUGUUAGGAGUUUCUAUUUUGUUAGGUAUGAAUAUCUAUUCAUAAGAAAUUAUCAACUCUAAUUUAUAUAACAAUCUGUUUUUUAGUAACUUUAUAGAUAGGGGCUCUGGGCAAAUUUCUUUGAAAAGGUUGAGCAAGUAGAGACAGUAUCAAUCCUAGAUGAGCUUCAUGUAGAUUUAAUAUCAUUCCUAUCAUAUUCAAUUUCACACUUAGUGAUUUAAUUUGUGUAAUUAAUUGGAUGAUAGAGAUCAUCAAUAUGUUGAUUUACUUCAAAAUGGAUUCAAGAUGGAUGCAAGUUUUUAUGAAUGGAUUUUUCAUGCUUUUCACUUAUUCUCUGAUCUUGAUUAAUAGGGAAAAAAGAGUUGAAGGCAUGUUCCUUGGCUUUUCUAAUUUAGGAGAGAUACAUUUACUGUUGAAGCCUUUUCAAAGAUGAAAAAAAAAAAAUUAGAUUGCUCAUUUUUCUUUGUAUUAGGAAAGACAAACCCACUCUCACAAUCAAGUUCCACAAACUGAAUCAAGUAUGCAUGCAAUAACACUUUCCUAACAAUUUGUAAAUGCAUUCACAUGCAAAUGCUUCAACACUCCUCAAAAUGAAUUCAAAAGAACAAUUAUCUUUUUAACUAAUUUCAUUUUACUACAAGAUAUCAUUAAUCGAAAUGAACAGAAAAAUUAUUGAAAAUAUUCAAUGGAGAAUCACACUUAUUUCAGCUCAUAUUUCUUCCAUUCACCAUAUAUGCCCAAGUAACUAAUGAUAUAAAAAACUAAAAAUAAAUCAAAGAGUAUAGUGAGAGAAAGAGACAAUUGACACCGAAUUUUAAUGUGGAAAACCUCCGAAAAGAUAAAAAACCACGAGCCUAUAAUCGAUUGAAAACAUCUACUAUGAAGAAUAAAAACUGAAUACAAGGUUUUACCUAACUCAAACCUACUAAUCCUUCUCGGACCACUUGACUAGUACCUUUCACUUUUAGCUUCUUACUUUUUUCUUUUGGAGCACACUUAGAUUCCACACUAAGCUCGAUCUCGGCCUCUUCUUGAUUGAAUCCACACAAGAAGUGAAAGAAUUUUUACCCGAACCCAAAUAGAUUAGAAAUUGAGAUAUGAAUGAAUGAAGAAUCAACCCAUUUUUUUUCAAGAAAAUCCAUUAUAAAUCAGUUUGAAAAACACUAGGAAAAUUGGAUUUUCUUGGCAACCAAAAAACCUAAAUUAAGAAAGGAGAGGAGAAAAAAAAAACAAAGGGAAUGAUUGUUGCUCUAGCUCUCUAUAUUGAACAGGAAGUAAGUUUUGGGUUUUUAAAUGAAGGAAACCUUUGAUCAAACGGAUGAGAUUUCAUCAAAAAAGUAUAAGUUGGAUCAAUCUUGGAACAAGACAUUUUGAACACCUAGUAAAAGAAGGCUUCCUAAACCUUCCUAACUCCUCAAAAAAAAAAAAAAAAACAUUUAAAUACAAUGGUUGAUUCAAAUUCAUCCAACUCCAACCUCAACUACAAACCUUGGUCUCUUGAAAAAUUCAACAAAUUGAUCUCCAUUAGCCAAGUAGUCCAUAAAAGGAUUGGAAAAAUUAAGUUAGGAUGCACUUAGGAAUUUUGUCUGGAAUUGCCAACCUAGCUAAACACACACAUUUCCCAUCCAAGUCUCCUUCUAGUCUUGAAACUUUCCAUGUUGCUGACAUCCUAGUGGUUAUGGAUCUCAACUUGGCAACUUCCUACUCUCCCAAUCAAGUUCUACAACACCGAAUUAUCACCUUGAUUUACUGCUUGAGUAUACCAAAUAAUUUAUUUCAUUCUUUAUCCUUAGGAUCUAUAUAUUUGAUUCUUCUUUUCUCGUUUGUAUUUUUCUACAUAAAUUUUUGUACAUAAUAUCAAUGAUGAACUUACAAAUGUUGUUUCAAGAGUCAAAUAAUCAUAGAAAAUGACCUAGCCCAAAACCAAACAGACAAGAAACAAAAAACCAGAAUAGAAUACUUAUUGGAAUAAGUUGGUUGAGAUGUGACAAGACACUAUCCUUAAAGUAGAGCCGCCCUCCUCGGGUGUCAACCUCGGUGUAGUAGGAAACCAGUGUCCUAUCUCCAAAAUUCAACAGCCAGAGAAACCUCGACUUCAUGUGCACACCAUGGACAAGGAAUGCUACAGCUCAUAACUAUAAGAAGAUAAUUCCUCCAGUUAAAGGAUGAGAGUGGUGCGGUGUAAGAUGGCUGCAGUAUGGUUGUGAGGCUGCACUAGGGCUGUUGUAAGGGAGUCUCUGGUUACAACAGGUGCAGCAGGAAGCAAUGGGGGAACCGGGUUGCAGCAGAAAUAAAUGGAGACUGUGGUUGCUGCAAGAGAGACCACAAUAUGAGAGCAAGAGAGAAUCGAAUAAAAAACUCUUAAGGGAGCACGACCUUAGAGUUUCCUUAGACUAGGGUUGCACAUGAAUAAAGUUUCAAUUUUAAGGAAUUUUGUACUAGCAACUAAAAAAUUCUUUGGUUUUCUCAAGUCAAUAUAGAACUGGUUUUCUUUCAUACUCUUCCAAUGCAUUUUGUAGCGGUUUUCAUCCCAUAACCAGUUAUUUUAGAGCUAGCCUAACAAUCCUUGACUGUUUGAUGUUUUCCCUUAUUUUUUAUAUGUUUUUGUAGAUGUUACUUUUAUUCUUAAAUGAAAAGUAUGACCUUAAGUCUAGCCAUAUCAUAUUGGAAUAAAUAAAGCAAUGGAAAAAGUUCAAAGGUAUAUGGAUUUUCCAUCCUUUGUCCGCAUUUUUCUUGAAGAGUUGAAGGGUGAUAUAGUGCAUCAAGUUAUUUGCAAGGGCUGGCUUGAUCCUCUUUCACAGGGAUCCUAGAUGAGGAAACCCUAGGAGAGGUAUCGAUUCCAUCCAUGUAUGAUCCAUACUAGAUAUAAUGAUCAACUGACUGCCUAUUCUACCUCCUUUACAUUCUUGACAACCUAUCUUUUCCUCACUAGAGUUUUUCAGUGGCAUAUUUUGGUCCUUUUCCCUACUACUUUAGAAAAAAAUGAGCCACUGGUUCAAGUACAAGAUACUAUCAUUCCUCUUAGAGCUAUAUCCUCUCCCACAACGUAAGUGGAGCAUGCAUAGAGAAGUUAGAUUUUUCUAUUCCAUUGUUUUGACCAAUUUCAAAUUUGAGGUUGGUUGAGGGGACUAAAAAUGUCAUAUUUGGCCUAAAUUAGAGUUGAACCUCAAGGUAUGGACGCCUCAUUUUGUAGUCGAAGACUUGGCGUCUCUUUCCCAUUAGAAAGAUGCCCAUUUUGUUCAUUCUCAUAGUUUUAGAUUUCCAUGUUAUUUUUAUGUUUUAACUUACAGAUUAGCUUAGAAUUUCAUUUUCUAUUGAAGUAAGCUUGUUGCAACUAUGUUUGGCUACACUUUAAUUCUCUCCAUCAUAAGUACUCUUUUUCUUGAUAUCUACUCGAUGUGUUUUUGUUGUUGGUUUUCAUAUCUACAAGCUUUUAUAAUUUCGUUAUUCAGCUAGAUCUCUUGUGCUAUGGAGAGGGGUCCUUAAAGGGUAAACUACUAUGGUUAUCUUGUAACAAACAUGUAGUUGUCAAUGCAUGGAAGCUUAAAUUUUUGGUUUGUAGAUUUUGAUAGGUCCCAUGUCACAUUACUGUUUUAAAUUUUGGAAUUAUUAUGAUGCAAUUUAGGUGCUAGGGUUUUAAUUCGUUCAUCCAUGUGUGGUUACUUCAUUUUAUGAAUCAAAGAUUUGAGUUGAAGAUAGAGAGAUUUUUCAAGGCAAAAUUAUUAUGCAAAACAAAAAUAUAAAAUUUGUACAUUAAGCCCACAAUGUUUGUGGAGCUACAACUGUAGGUGUCCAUCCAUCAUAAAACCAUCUCCUAAUUCAAGAAACUAAAUAAGUACUUACACGUAAAUUCAUCCACAAAUGAAGUAAAUGAAGAUAAAAAAAGCUUACAAAUAGAGUUAAAAGAUGAAGGAAAACAUCCUAAGCAAGACUACGUUGAAAGGAAGUAAAACCUAAUCUAAGCUAAAAUAGGAAGAAAAAUAAAAAAGCCUACCCCUUACUUGAGCUACAAAAUGACUUAACAUUUCUUGCACCCGGCCCUCACAAUACUCCUACCCUCCCUAUUCAUAGUUUUUUGGACCUCUAAAUUUUUUGAAAUUUUUAAUUUUUAAUUUAUCUUUUACUUCACUCGCUAAUAAUUUUGUGUAAAAAGGAUCGGUGGACUCUUUUUUUUUUCGUUUUUAAUAUCCUCACAUUUCUUGUUCCUCUUCACGUUCCUUAUACUCUCCUCAAAUUUUUUGUAUCCCUAAAUUUUUUCAAAAUUUUAAUUAAAUUUUUUAUUUUCACUUCAUUAGAUGAUAAUAUUCGAUAAAAAGAACCUGAAAUUGAAACAAAUAAUGUUUUAAAAAAUUACAAGAUUAAACUAUUAAGAAAUUCGUGGUAUACAAAAAAUAUGAUGAGGGUAUGAGAAAUGUAAAGGUAAGAGAUUUUUUUUUUCAUUUAUUCUAUACUCACAUUUCUUGUACCACCCUCCUCACAUUUUUGUAUCUUCUAAAUUUUUUGAAGUUUCUAAGUUUUUUUAAUUUUGAAUUUUUUUUUUCACUUCCCUUGCCGAUAAUAGUGUGUAAAAACACUAAUUACACUUGCAAUUGAAGUAAAUAAUGUUUGAAAAAAAAAAUUAAAAGAUUAAAAUAUUAAAAAAUGGGUUGAGGUACAAAGAAUGUGAGAAGAAUACAAAAAAUGUGAGGAUCUUCAUAUUUUUCGUAUCUUCCUCAUAUUCUUUGUAUAUUAUAAAUUUUUUGAAAAUUUUAUUUUUUAUAUUUUUUUCUCAUUUUAAUUGACAAAAAUACGUGUGAUGAUUUCAGUUGUUUUUGGAAUUUAUGAAAAUAAUCUCCAAAAAAUUCAAAGAUUAAAAUAAUUAAAGGUUAUUAUACAAUUAUGAAUUUUCUUUAUCAUAAAUUUAUCAUUUUUGUAAAAGUUUAUCAUUUCACAAAAAUAUUUCCCCCAAAUUUUCUUUAUUUUACCACUUGAUAAAAAAAUUCUAAAAAAGAUUUUAUAUAAUUGGUUAUUAUUAAAGAUCAUAGCAGUGUAUUAUGGUGCAUGAGAUUAAUUCCCUUGGCAAAGAAUUGAUGGUUUUUUUAAUUGCCUGCCAUGUGUCUUAAUCUUAUUGGCUGGAUAUGGUACGGAAAAGUAAAUUUCUGGACCUUUAUAAUAUGGUUAAAACUAUUAAAUUAAUUAUUAUUUUAAUGUUGAUGUUAGAUGUCAUCAUUUCAUAGUGAUAUGCUUUUCUUCUGGGGCAAUAGCUUUCACACGGAGUUGAUUUUCAGGUCUUUACGUUAUGUCGGCAGCGCUGAAAUUUCCGGCUCCUUUCGCAAUUUUUUGCCGAGGCGACUUCGCGUGGACUCUAGCUUUCACACGGAGUUGAUUUUCAGGUCUUUCCGUUACGGUAGCAGCGCUGAAAUUUCCGCCUCCUUUCGCAAUUUUUUGCCGAGGCGACUUGGCGUGGACUCUUCAUAUUAUUUCACUUCUCCUUGUGUCUUUCCUAUAUGUAUCUUUCUAUUUCUUAAACGACCCUUUGCCGGAGUCGACUCGUCAACUCAAUUGAAGCUUGGUUUGGAUUCUGUAAGUUUUCACUCUGAUGAGGUCUUUAGAUGGGUUUCAUUCAUGGUCAUAUUAUACUAUUUUACCUGUAACUUGUAGAGAAGACUUCAUGAUUGGUUUUGAGAGUUCUGUUUGAGUUCCGAAUAUUUCAUCAACAGCAACUAUUUGACAAGAUGGGAGUUUUGUACAAAAUUUUGGGAAGUUCUUUAUACAAAAUUUCGAUUUUUCUUUUCAGAAAAUUUUUCCUUUUUUUAAUUUUUUAAUUUUAAAGAAUUAUGUUUGGCUGUCCUAUUUUUUAGUUUCAAGAAGAAAAAAAUCAUUGCUCUUAUUGAUAUUUUUGAUCUUGCAAACACCAAAUCAUACGGGGAGCAUAAAGUAGUUUCAAUGGUUUGUGAAAAAGAGUUCGACUAAAAUAAAAUUUUAAAAUUAUGAAUAUAUAAUUACAGACUAAAAUAAAUUAAAAUCCAAAAGUCAGACCUACCUAAGGGCCUCCAAAAAGCCCACGGCCCAUGGCCCAGGCCCAAGCCCGGCCUGAGCCCAUUUCUGGAUGGGCCGGGCUAUGGGCCCCAAUUUAGGCCCGGUCUGGCCCGACGGGCUGGCCUGCCCAUAGGCCCGCCACUUAAAUAUAUAUAUAUAUAUAUAUAUAUAUAAAAUAUUCAAGAAAUAGAAAAGACUACAUUAAUAAAAAUAUUCAUUGCUAACUAUUUUAUUCAUUGAAUAUAUACAUUACAUUUGAAAAUGUGGGAAAAGUUUACAUUACUACAAAAUAAAUACAUCCCAACUAGAUUGGCAUCUACUUAUUUGUCAAUCAUUUGUACUUGUCAACCACAAAAAUAAAAAUAAAAAUAUGACAUACAUUUAGUAAAAUAUUUUAAUCAUUAUCUCUUGACGGUGAUGGCGAACUAUCGCAAAUCCAUGAAGAUCUUGAUGAUUUUAGUUUUUCCAUAUCGACAAGCAUAUUUUCUUCUUGAAAAGAAUCAAAUAUCAUUUUAUCUGCUAUUGCCCAGUCUUUCACACAUAUAUUUGCUUCAAUAGAAUCCGGCGCUAAGCUGCAUCGUUUAUCACUAACUACUCUUCCACCUGCACUAAAAGUAGCUUCUGAUGCAACUGUACUCACAGGAAUUGUUAGUACAUUACGAGCAAUGAUAGAAAGUAUAUGAUAUUUGUGUUGUUGUGAUUUCCACCAUAUUAAAAUAUCAAAAUCUUCAUCAUCUUCAAAUGAAAUUAAAUCAAUAUUGAGAUAUCUAUCUAAAUCAGUUGUGUUGUUUGGAGAACUAUUUGUUGCCUUCUUUCGACUUUUUAACAUUUCUAGAGCUCCUUUAUAAAAGGAUGAAGAGCUUGUAGAUGUAGGUGGUAAUUUAAUAGAACUAAUAUCAGUACCAUAUUUUUCUUUAUAAUAGUUAUAUAAAUUAUAUAAUAAUGAAUUUAUUUCAUUUUUAAUUUCUUCAAUUUUUAUUUGGUCAUUAAAAUAAAUAAUUGUUAACCAUUCAUCCAAAGUUUCAAAUUUCAAUCUAGGGUCCACAAUUAAACCAAGAUAAAAAAUUAAAGGUAUUUCUCCCCAAUAUUUUCUAAAUUUUUCUAUCAUUGCAAAUAUUGCAUCAUUAAAUAUAUCCAAAUUUAAAUAUUUUUGAAGUACAAUAAAAAUAUUAGUUAUUUGCAUGACAACUCGGUUUGAAGAUGGAUAAUAUACAUCACAAAUUUUUUUUGUUGAAGUAUCAAAUACUUCAAAAAGAUCUCUUAAAAGAUCUGCAAUAUGUCAAUCAUAAUCAUUUAAUACAUCAAUAUCUGUUUUACAAUCAUUGCUAAUUAAUUGUAUUUCAUAUAGUUCUACCACUUUUCUAUAUUUUAUAAUAGUUUGUAAAAGUUUAUAAGUGGAAUUCCAUCUAAUGGGCAUAUUCAAAUUUAUAUUUCUUUUUUUCAUAUUUAACAUUUUACAACAAUAAAAAAAUAAUUCAUGUUUUGCUUGAGAACUAUUAAGACCCGCAACAAUGCCUCCAAUUUUUUAUAAUGUAUCAUCAAUGUGUUUUAAUCCAUCUUUUACAAUUAAAUUUAAAAUAUGUGCACAACCACGCACAUGAAAUAUUUUACAUUGAUCUUCUUUUAUUUGUCAAUAUCGUUUUAAUCUGCUGCAUCAUUAUUAGAAGCAUUAUCUAAUGUUAUUGUAAAUAUUUUAUCACGAAUGUUAAAAUCUAUAAUUUCAUCAUUUAUUAAAGAUGCUAUAUUUUUACCAUUAUGUGGAGCAUUUAUUAUUUUAAAUGAAAUAAUUCUUUUAUUUAAUUUCCAUUCAUUAUCAAUAUAAUGAGCAGUUAUACAUAAAAAACCACUGUGAGUUAAAGAUGUCCAAAUAUCAGAUGUUAAACAAAUUCUUCCUUCAAAAUUUGCAAAAAAAAAAUUUUAAUUUUCUUUUUGUGUUUCAAAUUUUUUUAUAAGAAUUCUUUUAACUGUAUUUCUAGAGCAACCUUGAAACUGAGGAUUAACAGCUCGUUGCAUUGUUCCCGUAUAAUCAUGAUUUUCCAUGAAAUUGAAAGGUUGUUAUGCUCUUAUUAUAUAACCAAUCAUUUCUUCACGACAAUAAGAUUCAUCAUAAGAAAAUGUUUUUAAAUUUCCACUUUCAUCUUUACCUAAUUGCAUAUAAUUUCUAAUAUCUACAUUAUUUUUAGUUUUACAAUUUUCAUGAUACCUUUUUAAAUGACUUGUACCUGCAUUUGAGCCACCACUAAGAAGUUUGUUACAAAUUUUACAUUUUUUUUAUUUCUUUUUUAUUAUUUUCUAAAUUUAUUUCUAUUCUAUAAAAAAAUUCCAUAUAUUUGAAGUAAAUUUUUUGCUAUUACAUGCAUUAGAUGAAGAACAAGAACCACUCGCCAUAAUUAUAAUUAUUGAUAAAAUAUUAUGCUAAAAAUAAUAAAUGUAAAAUUAAAAUGUAACAAAUAAAUAAAAGAAAAGGUGAAGUAUGUUACUAAAUUGGAGAACCGAAGCAGAAAUUCCUUCAAAUUUGAACUCUUUGAACCACCAAUGCUUGUUUUUCACCACCAAUAAUAUUGAAUAAUUUGAGACAAAAUGCAAUAAUUGGAAAUAUUGUGGAAUGGGAGAGAGCUUAAGAGUUGAGAGAACAGAAAAAAAUUGAGGGUAUUUAAUAUUUAUAGGGAUUUAAAUAUUAGGAUUUAAUUUUUUUUUUUUUAAAUGUCAAGACCGUUCAACAAUCAUAUAUUUGAUAUUAAAUUAUGAGUGGCAUGUUCAACGGUCAUGUGACCAUUGAACAACCAACUCACUUUUAUUUUUUAAAAAAAAUCAUACAACAUUUCUAAUAUAUAUAUAUAUAACUAAUGCAAAAUAGUUACACAAAAGAGGGUUAGCUCAGUUGGUGGCUAGCUCUCCUUAUGGAUCCAUAAGGGAAGGGGUUCGAAACUCAAAAUAUUUUAAUUUUUACCCAAGCCCGCCCGCCAGCCCGCCCGCCUAGCCCGCCCAGCUUGAGGGCCCACAGGCUGGGCCACGGACCUUAGAUAUACCAAGGGCCUGGCCCGGCCAGCCCGUUGACCAAUCAACGGGCUUAGUGGCCCACCCCGGGCUGGGCCAUGGGCCUUUCUCCUCAAGGCCGGGCGGCCCGGCCCGGCCCGUUGGAGACCCUUAGACCUACCACCCAUGUCAUAUGUUUUCUGAUUUUAUUUAUUUCUUUAUUUGUUUCCUGUGCAAAUUAGUAAACAUAUUUAGAUUUAGAUGUAGUAUUCAAUUUCAUGAUUGCUAUGUGGUAUUGGGAACUAUAUAAACCAACCCUAGCAUUUGUAUUUGCAGACAUCAAUUUAGAGUUGAGAUCUCAAACCUAGGACUUCAUCUGCCUGCUGUCUCUCUCUCCUCUCUGCUUCCAUGGCGGCUCCUUCUUUUGCCUCUUCUCAAUGGAUUUAUGAUGUGUUCCUCAGUUUUAGAGGAGAAGACACCCGCUUAGGCUUUGCUGCUCAUCUCUAUGAGGCCUUGUGCAGGAGAGGAGUCAACACUUUCUUUGAUGACUACGAGAUUAGGAGAGGCGAAUCCAUAUCUCCUACACUUGUAAAAGCAAUUGAAGGAUCAAGGUGUUCUAUCAUAAUUCUCUCUCAAAACUAUGCGAGUUCAACUUGGUGCUUAGAGGAGCUUGUCAAGAUACUAGAAUGCAGCAAUACCAUGAGACAACUGGUUCUGCCCAUUUUCUACAAUGUGGAUCCAUCAGUUGUGCGAAAACAUGAAAGGACCUUUGGAGAGGCCUUGGUUAAGCAUGAAAAGACUUUGAAGCAGGAUAUGAAUAAGGUGAAGAAUUGGAGCAAGGCCCUUAGUGAAGUUGCCAAUUUAGCGGGCUGGAAUUCACACAAGAAGUAAUCUUUCAAAGUUCCUUUUUUUCCCCUUUCCUUUUGGUUCUUACUUCUAUUGUCAUAGUUAUUUUUGAGAUCGCUAAUUUAGGCCUGUCAAGUAACCGUUCUAGAAAAAGUUCUCUUAUAACAUCUUGUAGUUUUCAAGUGUUUUCACUUGUUUUCUAAGACUAUUUUAAAAGCUAAUUAUAUAAACACGAAAAAUGGUUAAAAAUAUAACAUUUCAAAUAUAUACUUUUUUUUUUUUUUUUGUAAAAACAUAGAAAAUAAAUUAAGAACAUUUUAAGUUUUUAAACAAAAUUUUAUUCUAUAAAACAUUAAAAAAUAAUUUUCAAAUAAAUUUUUGUUUCAUAAAAUAUUUAAGAUCAAUUUUCAAAAACUGUUUAUUAAGUCUUAUACUCUAUUUAAAAAGUGUGUUUUAUUUUUAUUUUUAUUUUUAUUAUUGUUAAACAAGUUUUCCUAUAUUUUUGUUUGAAAGAACAUAAAACUAUUUUUGAAAAUAGUUAUAAAACAAAACCUUAUUUUCCGAUUUUGUUUAAACAUGGUAUUUAAAAUCUUCCACAAACAAUGAAACAAGCUCAAAAUAGAAAUUUGACCCAUUAUACCUUGAUCACCUUGUUAAUUUAUACUUAAGUUUCCUAUUUACAUUUCAACUGCAUGGAGAAGAACUACGGAAAAUCCUAUGUUCUUUAUUUUCAUUGACUUUGGAUUGCUGCACGACUUACUACGUGCAUGUGCAUAUUACAUGGCAGGCCUGAGCCUAAGUUUAUCAGGGAAAUAGUCAUUGAAGUUUUGAAAAAGCUCUUCGGAUUAUACCCAGGUGAUGCUAAGUGCCUGGUAGAGGAAGAUUCUCCUAUACAAAAUACGGAAGUGGUACCAAGUCCACACUCAAGCACUCUUCACAUUGCGCCAGGACAUUUUGACUACACUGAAGUUGAUGACAUUAUUUCCCAACAUUAUUCCCAACUUGUUUCGGAGAUGUUGGAUUCAUUUUAUAUCUGAGUCUGAGUGAGAUGAUGACUUAAACUUCAAAGGGUGUCAAAUCUAUGUUAACAAAAGUAUGGAAAAAUUUGUGAUCAGUUCAUUUAUCAGAACAAGAGAGUGCAGUUUAUGUUUUCCCUUCCCAUUCCGUUUAGAAUUUUAUUCUUUGAUCAUGAUUGAAAUAUAUUUAAUGGGUCCAACCCACUAUUUACAUUUGAUAAAAAUAUGCCAUGCCAAUCCUACUAGAUAAUAUUAAAGUUAAAAAGAAAAAAAAAAUUAAACUAAUCUAAAAAGAAAAUUUAGAAAAUAAAUAUUUAACGAAUUCAUAUUUUCUCUAUUUAAUUACAUCUCUAUUUUUCUUUCUUAUUUUAAUAAAUUUUCCAUAAAGGAAACCUUUGAAAAAGAAUUUAUGAUGCUGUCUUUGUAAGUAUGUAACAUUUUCUAAGAUGUAUUUGUCCUAAUAGAGGUUUUUACAAGAUUUGUAUUUUGAUUUUUUUUCCAUAAUUUUAUUUUAUCUUUCAUAUGAUACUAUGCAUAAAAUGAAAUGAUUAAAAAUUUUUACUGAAAAUUUUUAAGUUAAAAUAUUAUUUCUAUAUGAAAAAAGAAAAAAAAAGAAAGAAAAAGAAUAUGAUAAACUUGAUUUUAAACAUAAUCAAGGACAUGAGCUCUUAACAUUUUUAUUUAGUAGAUAAUUUUAUAGUUUUUCCAAAUCCAAAAGGGAUAAUUCAAAUAGCAUACUAAUUUGGUAUAAUGGAUGCUAGUACUCUUAAUUUGAAUUUAUUGAUAUCACGUUGAUAGUAAAUUUUUUAGUUAAAUAAAUUCAUAUAAUAUAAUAAUUUAUGUUUAUCCAUCAAUCAUUUUACAUGCAAUUUGAGUCAACUUUAACUAUCGUGCAUCUGCAUUUCAUGUGUAUCCUAUUCAAUGUUAAGACUCAUUUUUAUUUUUAAAAAGAAAAAUGAAUUAGUCAUAAUUAAUAUUUAUUUUUGUUUAUUUUUAAAAAAGAAAAAAAAAUUCAUAAAUAAAACCCUAAAGUAACUCCUUUUAUAUAUAUAUAUAUAUCUACGAAAAAUCAAGUGUAUAUCAAGGGUGAGAUUACUUAUUGGGAAUGUAGCAAUCGAUAGGACUAUUUUAAACCCCAAAAGGUCUCUACCAACCAUGUGGAGGAAACUAUGACAUAUAACUAAUAGAUCAUAGGUACCAAAAGACGACAAGAGUGGAAAUAUAUUAUAAGGUAUGGUGAUAAAGAAUAAGAAUAAGAUGAUGAAUAUAUGAGCUACAUACACCAAAAAAUCCUAAGAUCAAAGCCAAACAAAUAAAGAUUACUCAAGAGCACAACAUGCCUAGUAAAGGAAUCAAACAAUCAAAGGGGGAAAGGAACAUAUCUCAAUAAUACCCAAAAGAGGGGAAUGAGCUUACAUAACAAAGAAUGAGUUAAUUUACAAACAAAAAAAGAGAUCUAUCAACAAAUAAAAGAUCACCAAACAGUACAAGAUGUCUAUGAUUUAAAUCAAAGGUCAAAAGUUGCUAAGUUAGGAUCAAAUGGAACUUAUUCAUACAAACAUGUAAACAAGGGCAAAUCAGGAUAACAUACAUGAAUUUAAAAAAUAACUUUCUUUCAAAGAGUUAAAAAGGGUUAUGUUAUAGAGGAGAGCUUAUUUAACAUGUAUAAGAUGUAUAUUACACGAAUCAAGAGCCAAAGAAGGCUAAAAGUGCACCAAAUAGGACUAAUUCAACAAGUUAUACAAAGGGUGCAAAAAUAGGACAAAAUGUUAAUGUGAAAGAUGAAUUUAUUUAAUAAGGUUAGAGGUGAGAUAAAAAUUAGGGCAAAUAUUAUAUAACAUGUAUAAGAUGUCUCAAAUACAUAUCAAAAGUUAAAGGAGCCCAACUAAACACCAAAUGGUACAAAUUUCAAGAAAUACUCUAUAACUCAAAAAUAGGACAACAUACAAGCACACAAAAGAUUGAUUUAUUCCAUAAGCAUAGCAAUGGAUUUUUUAAUUAGACCAAAACUCUCAAGUUUAUUUAAGAUGUCUCAAUCAAACAUCAAGCCUCAAAAAUAGGUAAAAAUGAAAUAUUGAGACUGAUUUACAAAAACAUUUUAGUAUGUAAAAACAGAUUAUUCAACAAGUUUGGGAAAGAGUUUUUCAACAAGGAAAAAAAAUCUUUGAUAUAUUCAAGGUGUAUAAAAUAAAUUUCAAGUUUCAAAAAUAAUUUGAACAUGCUAAACAAUCCAAAUAUACCAAAAAGAAAAAAACUAAAAAAUAAGGCAAUAAAUAGUUGACAUUUAGCAAACAUGAUAUGUAGGUCUAAACACUAGCCUGAAUUAUUUUGCAUGGACAAUCCAACAUUCCAACCCUCUAAGAAGCAUGACAAAAAGCUCAUAAGGGCUAAGAAUAAUCUCAUUCAUCUUACACUUCAAUGAUAAUCUAUAUUUCUAGAAAAUAAGAAAAAUUGAAAAUCAAAUAUUUAAGAAAAUGAGUGAUGUUGGCUUAGGGUAUGAGCCAUAGUUCAAUUACAAGACUCUUGUACCUUAUCGCAACUCUCAAUUGAACAUGGAAUUAAAAUCACAAAAGGCAUGAAAUGCCUAAUUACACUCAUAUUUAGGGAAAAGGGGACUCAAAUGCAUAUAAAAGUAUCCAUAAGGGAGUAUACUUUCAUGUAAAUUCAAGCUAUGUAUGCCAAGACAUAUGACAAUUGUUAAUAAUUAUAAAUUAGUAAUGAAUUCAAGCUCAUAAUAAUCAUAGGAUGAUAUUCACAAGGAUUAAAAAAUGUCUCAUAAAAAUCAGUUUUGAACCUUUUUGAAAAAAGACAAAAGACUAAAAGCUAGUCAUGUUUUAAAGCAAAAUGGCAAGGUUAAAUCUCAUGGCUAUGGACAUAACCUUUUAGUCAUGAAAUAAGCUUGAAUUUCAGAUAGAAAUAAGUUGAACACAAGAUAAAGUUGGCAAUCAAUUUUGAAAAAGAAUCAAAAAAAAAAAAAAAAAAACAAAUGAACACAUGUGGCUCUUGAUACUCCUUUCCAAAAUUAGUUAAAAACACUUCCAAAAAAUUAUUGAAACAAGGGAAAAUUGAAAUCCCUAAAUGAUGAAUAAAAGAAAACCCAUGGGUCACAAGUCAAAAUAAUAGGCUCCUAAAAAAGGAAAUCAGUUCAAGAAAUGAACUAAUCAAAGUUAAGAAGGGCAUGAGGAACAUUCAAAAAUCAAUGUAAGCAAAUAAACAAACAUCUAAUAAGCACCCAAUAUGAAAAGAAUGAAGAAAAUCUUAUUAGACCCAAAGAUGAAGAGAAAUAGGUAAAAAGUCAAUGACAUUAUCUUUCAAUAUCCACAACUCAUAUAAGCAUCAUCUAAAGAAUCGACAAAUAAAUAAAAGCAAACUAAAGAAAAAAGAAAAAAAAAAGUUGGAAUUAAGGACUUAUAAAGAAACUCCUCCCAAGUAUGAUACUUGGCUUUUAGCAUGCACAAAUCUUUUUCCUCAAGCCAGGUUCACCUCCAAAUCUUCCAAUCUUCUCUUUUGCUUUUUUCACUCUCAAAAUGAGUAGAGUUUUCCCUUAAAAAGUAGAAAGUGAUCUUAAAAAUGAGCCCUAAGGCUCAUAUUUAUAAGUCAUGAGAGGGUAGAGAAUAGGACACAUGUCAUCAUCUCCACCCAAGCUCAAACUUCUCUUUAAAACUCUCUCAAAUUAAAACCUAACAAAGGAGACCCAAAGCCCUAGGUUUAGGCUCACAAAAACUCCCCCAAAACCAACCCAAGAAACCUCUAAAUAAAGAAAAAAAAACUAGGUGAGAAAAGGGACACUAAAAAGUACCUAGACAAACUUCAUCACUUCUUUUGCCUUGAAAUCAAUGUUUCCUUGGUAUGUAGACUUUACCCUCUAUUAAACCAAAUACAUUCAUGAACUUUUGGUCAAAGAAAAAAAUACAUGUUUGACUCCUCCAAAAUUAAUGUCUCAAUAACUUAAAAACCCAACCUUAUUCCAAACAACCAAGAGCCAAGAAACGUCACUAAAUAUUGCCAAUUAUGUGGCUCACCCAAAUACCCGACCUUCACAUGACCUAUUGUCAUUCAUAUUGUAACUCUCAUGUGCCAACACUUUCAAAUAAAGGGCAUUCAUUAUGUCAAAUGUAUUUUAUGUUAUAUAAAAGGAACAUUAAUGCAUGCUUCUUGUCACUUAUCUUAAAACUUUGUUUUACCUUGAACACUUUUUUUUGUGAUGUAGAUUGGGCUAAAUAUUGUUCAAUCACUAGAAAAAGCACAAUAGGAGUUUGCAUUUUUCUUAGGUCACAUUGCUUGUCUCGGGCUUUUGUGAAGUAACCUACAAUUUCAUGAUCUAGCAUUAAAGUUGAAUAUUAGUCUUUGGCUAAUACUACCACUAAAAUCAUGUGGCUUCAAUGUCUCAUAAUCUCAGCAUCAAAUUGGACCAUUGUACCCUCAUUCUUUGUGGCAAAAAAAGUGUCAUUCACUUAGCUCACAAUCUAGUUUUUCAUGCAUGCACAAAGCAUAUCAAGAUUGAAAAAUCACUACAUUAAGGAAAAAAGUCACAACCAACUCUUCACAUAUGGUAUCUCCCUACCAAAAAUCCAAUUGCUCAUAUAUUAACAAAUGAUUUACCUAAAGAAUCUUUUCAAAUUUGGCUUUUUUAAAUUGAUUUUACAAGCUUAGCCUUAUUAUCACUACUUGCCGACCUUAAAGGUGGUGAAAAGAUUCCUCAUAAUGUAUUCACAAAUCAAGCCAAACAAUUUGGAAAGAAUCAACAAUAUCUCAAGAACUCGAAAUUUCAUAAAGAAUUCAAACACUUCAUAGUUGAACUCUAUCAUUUUUCCUACUAAUUAGAAUUAAUUUUUAUCCUCCAUAAACCAAUUUAAUUGUUUCCUAAAAUAGUCCUUUGUUACAUUGAGCUCUCUUGUUACAUAAAUUUUUGUAUUUCUCUUAAAAAAAACAUAAUAUAUAGCUCCAUUAUUAUUUUUUAAAUAGCUCUAUUUCUUUUCUAUUAUUGAAAACUUUAUUCUAUUCAAAGGAAGUAACCAUUUUAUUUGGAAAAAAAAUGCAAUUUUAACGUAGUAAAUCAAAUAUUUUUAGAAAAUUGUUCAUGUGAGAGGUUUAUUUAUUUAAAUGUUUUAUCAUGAAAUUAAAGUAUUUGUACAUUAAACUGUACAAAGUAGGAUAACUGCUCAGUUCAGGUCACUCAUCCACUAAUUCCUUGUCUAUCUCCAAGCGACUCAUCAAGGUCCACAGUGAACCUAAUACAAAGCUUUUCUGGUAAUGCUUCUGCGAUUGGUUUUUCACCGCCAACCAUGUAAAGUUUGGAUUCUCUUACGAAAAAGCACAUUCCAAAGGAAACCCCUCCCCCACCAAAUUGAAGUUUUCGAAUACAGGUAGUGGCGGUAUCUCAAAUGUGGAAGACUCGUAGUGAUUGAUUUUCAAUUUGGUCACGUCGAUGGCCAGAAGACGUUGGGGAGUGGCUGCCAACAAGACGCCUGCACCUUCCAUCUUCUUCUUUCUACUCUGCACAAAAAUUUCAAUUUCUAGGUUUGAUUUGAGGGCUCGGAAGAAUUAAGAAAGAGCAUGGGGGUUUAUAUUGGGAUCUCUGGCCUCGAGCCUCUGCCUCGGGGCCUUUUAACACUAGUGGGCUUUCCAAUAUCUGAAAUGCCUCGUAAAAAUUUAGGAGUUUGUAUAUCCAUGUGUUUUAAAAAUAAAAAUAAAAUAUCAUUUUUAGAGCUGCAAGGCUUCCAAAAUUGAGUGCAUUAAUGGUAACAGAGAUCAAAUUUGUUGAACACUAUAUUAAGUGUGAAUAAUAUCUCCAUAGUAAAAUGAAGUGAGCAAUAACUCCUACAAUAGUUCAAAUAGAAAAUUAAAAUAUUUCCACGCUUAAAUGGAAUAUAUAAAAUAUAACAUGCAAAGCAAAACAACUAAUCUGUACUAAUAAAAAUACCAGUUGUUUUUCACUUUUUUAUUUUUAGAAAUACCCUUAUCAAUACUAAUAAUCAUUUUAAAGGAUGUAAUGAAAGUCAUUCCUAAAAUUAUCAUUACAAACUUAAAAGGUAGUUUAAAAUUUAACAUUUUCAAUACUAAUAAUCAACUUAAAUAUAAAUUUAAUCUUUUCAUUUAGUUAGUGUUUUAAUUAUUUAGGCGUAAUUGAAAUUAUUCCUUAAAUUAUCAUUAUAAACUUAAAAGGUACUUCAAAAUUUAAUAUUUUCUAUACUCAUAAUAAACUUAAUUGGGAAUUUAAUCUUUUUUAUUUAUAUGACUUCUAAAUUAUGAUAACAAACUAAAAAGUAAUGAAAAUUUUAAUAUUUUCUUUUGCCUUCAAUUUCUAUUAUAUCAGUUAUUAGAAUAGGGAUUUAAUUUAAGGUUUUAAUUACUUGACUUAAUGAAAAUUUUUAUGUUAAUAACUUCAUUUUGAUUUUAUAUUCAAAUUCAAUCCUGAAAGUGUUCUCAAGAAACUGUAAAAGACAAUAUUAAUGUUUGUGAGAAACCUUUCAAACUAGGCAGUUAUCUUCAACACAAUUGUCGGACAUCCUAUAUGACAUAGUCACUCCAUCUUUCAUUCUAUUUGACAAAAUGCCCCAUCAUCCACCAAUAUAAUGUUUAUUAGUCUCAACCAUUAAUUUUGGUUUAUUUAUAAUAUGUAUGAAGAGAAGACUGAUUAUGGUAGGAGAUCAUCACAAAGUGUUCUUCCAAUUUUAGAAUUGAGAUGAAAAUCAAUUAGGAUUUGUUUGGAAUCUCCUACAAAUCAAGUUUUUUUUUUCUUCUUAAUAACAAAUUUGAAAUAUUUUAAAUCAUAUUUGAGUGUGUUUUGAGAAAAUAAAUAAAGUGUAUGUAAUUUUUAUAUUUAUUAUUAAUUUUUUCUUUCUUAUCUUAUCAUAUCUUUCGUUUCUUCAAUGAAAUAAACUUUUUUAUUUUUAAAAAAAUUACAUGAAACUUUUUACCUUUUAUCACUCUAAUAGCGAUUUUCAUUCAUUUUAAGAUAUUUAAAAAUUGUAAACUUUUAUAUUUAAUUAAAUAAUAAUGAAUUAAUAAUAUCUCUUAUUAUAUUAUAGAUAAUUAUUGAAUAAAAAGUUUUAUAACUCAUUUACAUUAUUUAUUUAAGCAAAUUUAAAUUUUAUUAAGAAAAUUAUAACAUUAUUUAAAAAAUAUUAAUAUUUUAAUAUAAAAUUUACCAAAUGAUAAAAAAAAAAUUCUAUUGAGAUUUUAAUUUUUUUUAAUAUUUUUAAAACAAAACUUAUAUUUCCUUUAUAUUUUUUCUAGUAACAUAAAAAAUUGUAUUGAUAAAGUUUGAAAUAUUGAUAAAUACAAAUAUAUCAAUACUUGAAUUUUUUAGAUAUAUCGAAAAUAUCAAUAAAAUAUCGGCUAUAUUUUGACAAAAAUUUGGUAACAUGAAAAUUAUUAAAAAAUUAUGAAAAUACUUUAAAAAAAAUUAAAAAAAAGAUAGAAUAAGAAAGAAUAAUUAUUUUGUAACGGUAAUUAACAUUGGUGUGAUCAAAUAUAAUGUUUAUCAAUCUUUUUAAGAAAAUAUUAACUUAAAUUCCUUUAAUAUAUUUAUAUUUAUUUAUUUUAAAAAUUAAAAAUUAAUUUUAUUACAUUUUAAAUAAAAAUUUUAAUCAAUUUAUAUAAAAUAUUUUAUUUGAGAUUUGAUUUCUAAAAUUUUGUUGCAAAUUUGUGGUGAUAAUUUUUUGCUAUUAAUAUUAAUUUAUUUAAAUAAUUAAAAGUAUAAAAAAUUAUACUAAUAAUUUAUUUUAUGAAAUUAAUUUUAAUUUAUAAAAUAUUAGAACUCAUUAUUUUUUUAAUCAAUUUUUGAGUAAAUUUAUAUAAUUAAUAUUUUAAAAUAAAAACAUUUAAAAUUAAAUAAAAUUAGAAGGAUAAAUAUAAAAAAAUUAAAACUGAAGUGAUAGUAAUUUUAAAAAAUAGGAUUAAUGAGAUAAAUAGGAAAAAUAAUUAAACAUAAAAUGAUAAUAUAAAAUAAAAGGUAGUAUAAAUUUAAAAUAAAAGAUAAAUUGGAAAAAAUAAUUGAAAAAAAAACACAGAUGAUUUUUUUUUUUUUUAAAUUGGGUUUUCCGAAUAACUUGCCAAAAAUUCAUGAAAUUUUUUGAAAAAAUUGCUGAAAAAUUGGCGCUGAAAAAUUAGCAAUUUUUUUGGAAAAGUGCGUGGGAGACAUUUCAUAGCGAUUUUUUUUGGCGAAAUUUUGGGAUUUUCCUGAAAUAUUGACUAUAUUUUGGCCCAUUUUUUGGACUCUUUGUGGAAUAAAAGAUGACAAAAUCAUAAUUUUGGGAACAAAGGACCAGGUGGAUCAGUUGCACUAUUAAUUGAUCGGUUCAAUAGGGGGCCAGGUGGAUCAGUUACACAAUUGAUCGGUUCAAUAGGGAACGUGUUGGUUAGUAAGUAACAGUAGCACUAUCAAUUGAGGGGAACUUUAACUGGUUUAGGCACUAGUAGAUUGGUUGCUCAAGUGGUUGAUGUUCUACCUCCGACAGUGACCUUUAAUUCUCUAACAUGUAGUUGAGUAGUCAAUUAUGUAGUUGAGAGUUCUUGAACUUCAUUUAAAAUGUUUACCACUGUCGAAAAUCAUUCAUCUCUUUUGAGAAAAGGGCUUUUACUUUGUUCUUUGAGAGCAUUUCCUUCAAAGGGUUUAAUUUAUAUACAUGAUCAUCAGUGCCUGUGAGCUAGGAGCAUUCAUUAGACCAAUGCAUAUAUACAACCACAACUUCUACCAUCAUAUACAUACAAUAAUAAACUAGAAACAUAUGGAUUCAAUCAAAAGCAGGAAAUGGUUUCCAGCAUUAAGAGAGCAAGCUUUGCAAGUAACUCUCCACAUUCUCCAGUCCACAGAGCUCCUUCACAACAGGCAUUGUUGCCGGGACCUCCAACUGGAAUGUUGAAUCACACUUGGUUAGCCCAGUCCAGGAAAGAAGCUGUUGCCGGGCUUCUCUAAUAGCAGCCCUUGUAGCACAAUGAACUGAAACAGCUAGAAGUAACGGUGGUUCACCAGAAGCUGCACAAAACAUAUUUACCUUGCUGAUUAUGAUUCAUUGAUCUACAUAAAGUAGUGUGUUGGAAUUAUUACAAAGGAGGUUUACUAGUGAAUUUGAUUCAAAAUGAAUUGCAUAGUCGAUUCUACUAGUAGCAAAUAAAGCAAGUUUUUGCAGAUAGUUAGCCGGUACUAAGCUGUUACUACUACUGGUAUGUCUCAUGCUAUUGUAACGAGUUACUAACUAUUCACCUUUUUGGUUUAAAACCAUAUCAACAACACUUCUUAUCUAGAUGGCUGCCGACCUUCCGCAGGGUAUAAACCCCUAAAUUUACCUAACCUUGACAUGGUAUCUUAUGUUGAAACAGCUUGGAAUAAUUGCUGUGGGUAUCCAAUACCGGUCUUAAUCCCCUUAAUUGUAGAGCUUGCCCUCAUAAUAUCGGGUAAAUUGAAGUGGACUGAAGAUCUUUGUUUAAUGGCUAGAGUUAGAUAGAGGUUCACCAAUAUGGGCAUUAACAUGAAAGAAACACUAACCAUAAUGAAAAGGAAAGGUGUCUAGCCUUGCCUAUGAAUAUCAUUCCAUUGAUCUCAACAAGAGUUACUUCUAAUGAAUACUGCAAAUUACUCCAUUUCUAUAGAUAACCCAAGAAAAAGAAAAAGCAAACUCUUCUAGAUUCUCAAAGAUUCAAAGACAAUUUAUCAUUUACCAACAGGUGUGCUUGAUCUGAAUUAUUCUCUCCAACACCCUCUUACCUCUAACUCCUCACCCACACCUUUGCUCUACUCUUUCUCGUUUUCCAACAAGAGAGCUUCUCAUAUAAGCUGUUCCUUGAAUAUUUCCUUAUUCUACAGGAAACCUACUUGCAUAAAGAAAUAUGGUAACGAGAAUUUUGUUUUACAAGAUUAUCUUUUAGAAGAAAUUAUAAUAAAAUUAGAAUUGGAAUCAAAUUUAGAAAUUGACAUUUUCCUAUAGAACUCCUCAGGCAAUCAUACCAGUGCAUUCCUCAGAUUCUUCCAUUUUCUUUUUCCUAUCAUAUUGUAAUCAACCAAAUUCAUUUUUGAAAUUGAAUUAAAUUACUUAUACUUUAUGCUAUUUGGAUGAUAAAUUUAUUUACUAUAAAUUAUGUUAUUAAGAAGAUUUUUACUCUUUCUGAAAAUUCUUAAAAAUAAUGAAUUAAUCUUAAUAAUAAAACAUCUAUUUCGGUCACAAAUUCAUAAAUUCAUAAAAACAUCUCAUAGAAAAAAGUGCUAAUUAUGUGUUGUUGCAAGCAAGUCUAUUGCUUUAUGUAUUCGAUAAAAAUUUUGUAACAUUUUUUUAGCAACCAUGUAAAAUUAGAAAAGCAAUUAUCCAGUUUCUUCUCCACAACUAGGAUGCAUUUUCAAUGAAGAGUUGAAGAGAAAUACCUUUAGAAGAAAGAACACGAUUUUUAUGAUGUCCGCUGUUCAGUACCUCCACAUUGAACUGCUUGGGUACGGUGUCGAUUGUUGGGAUCUUGUAUGUCCAUGUGCCUUCGGUGACCACCAGUCCAUCUGAAUUAGUUGUGUACUCUUCCAGCAUAAAAAACCCAAUUCCUUGAACAAAAGCUCCUUCUAUCUGUAAAGCAACUCAGAAAGAAUAUUAGAGGCAUAUGGAUCAAAUAAGCACAAGUUUUAAGGAUAAGGAAACAUUGAACAGUUAUAAACAUCCUACAGUAUUAUCAAUGAAAAAGUUCCAUUGCAUUAAUCUGUGGAUGUGGAGAAUAAAAUCAGAGAAGAGGUUGAAUGCCAAAGCUUAGGGAUAGAAAAGCAGAGAAGGAGAUGAAAUAGUUUAAUAUUGUAGUUGGGCUAACCUGUCCUAAAUCCACAGCAGGGUUGAGACUCUGACCACAGUCAUAUAUAAUAUCAGAUUGCAAAAUUGUGGUUUGUCCAGUGAGAAGAUUUACCUCCACCUGUGACACCCAAAGUUUCAUUAUUAUAGUAAAAAUUGAAGCAUGGUUAAGCAUGAAAGCCUACUCUCCUCCAUGUUUACCUGAAGAAUACUAACUUAAUUUCAAUAAAAACUCUAUGGAGAGGAAUUAAUGGGAUCUUGAAAAACUUGCCUCACUCACUGCUGCACCAUAGUUUAGGUAUUGAAAGGAAGAAAAGUCAGGGACAUAGUAAGAACUUGCUGAUAAGUUCACAGCUUGACUUUGUGCCUGCAUUUUGAUGAAGCAAAUUGCUAAAUGGUAAGAGAUAUUCAACAUCUAACUUUGAGCAAGUCUGAAGAAAGAAAAAUGAAAAAAAAAAAAAAAAAAUCUUUGGAAAAGAUGGCAAAUGUCUUUAUAUUUAAUUUGGAUUUCAACAUAUGAAGUUCUGUUACAUAUCGCUUUCCCAUAAAUCUAGUUUAAGAACUCUUUUAGUGAGAAAAAUAUCAAAAAGAAUACUUUGCCAUAAGGUCCAUGCCUUAAGUGCCACUCAGAAUUUAUAUAAUCAUGGAUUCAACUCAACCCCAGUUUAGUAUGAUCAAUGUUGUCAUAUUCUUCAGUACUUUUAACUAUUGGAGUCAUAGUUUUGAGUAGAGAAAUUGUUUUUGAAUUAAUGUUUUUUUUUUCUUUGGAGAUAUUAAUACUGAUGGUUUGAUUUUGAUUGUUUCUGAAUCCUUACAUAAUGCUCUUUCAAUACCCAAAAAAUGUUGUGACCAACAUGAAUACAAGAAGAAUUAAUUCUAAAAAAAUAAAUAUCAUAUGAAUUGGUGAUUUACAUCCAAAAAAGGACUUCUAUACCAUGUAAGACUCUCCCAAUAGUAUCAUAGGAGGCCUUUUAUGGAAUUAGACCAUUAUUAUUUUGGUGACUCAUCCUUAAGCUUCUAAUUUGUAGAGAAAACAAAAGAGGGUUAGAUCACUUCGAUUUUCUAUUCCUGUACAUGAACCCAUAAGUUUUGAAAGAGCAAUUCAAAACAAAUUAAUGAUACAAAGAUGUUAUGGAUGGGGAAAUAAAAGUAAUAAGGAAGAAUGACAUAUGAGAACUAGAAUCUCUUCCAAAAGGAAAAGAGGUAAUUAGAGUAAGACGAACAUACAAGACAAAGAAGGAUGUGAAAGGAGAAAUAGAGAUAUACAAAUCAAGGUUGACGACUAAGGGUUACAUGCAACAAUAAGGUAACCAUUAUGUGAAUACAAAAUCAACAAUUGCAUCAUAAAAAAAAUCAUGUUUUUCAUGAUUGAAGCAAGUACAUUGAUAUAAGAAAUCAUUUUAUUACAAAGUGCAUUAUGAAGAAGAAAAUGCAAUUAAAAUUUGCAAAAUCUCAAGAUCAAAUUGCAGAUAUUUUUAUCAAGCUCCUAAGUUUGAAUAUUUAAGAUGGUUAAGGAUGUUACUUGGAGUUGCAAAUCAAGUUUAUAAGAGGGUAUGUUAGAAAGUUCAACUUUAUUUAGAAAAAUUCUAAAAAUUAGAAUUAGAUUUAGUCAUUAAAAGUAAAAGAAAAAAAAAAUUAUUUUGAGUGGUUGCUUUAUUUUCUAUAUUUGAGUAGUUAAGUCCCAAAAGGUUUUUAUAUUUUAUGAUUGAAAGUUUUCGAUUUUAUUAUCUAUAAAUAAGAGACGUGAUAUUUUAAUAAGAGUGAUAGGAGGUAAUAAAUUUUUAAUUCUGCCCAAUUGUAUGUUCCUUUAUUUAAUUAUUUAUACUUCUCUUUCAACCCUAUAAUUCCAACAAAGACAGCACCAAAAAAAAAAAAAAAAGUAAAAUAUACCAAAUGUGCACAUAAUUACCUGAAGAAUCAAUGUGCCCCAUUCAACAGAACCCAUUUGCUCCUGCAAUCUCUCCUUGAUAGGAUUCAGUCUUUCAACCAACAUAUUGCAGCAGAGUCUAAUAGCUUCACAGCUGCACUCUGAUGUAGUGCUUCCAGCAGUCAACCCCCCCUGUAUUAAACUUAAGGUAUCUGAUUGUAUGACCCUUACUUUCUCCAAGAAGUCUCCCAUUCCAUCACAUCCAAUUGAAAUGAGAGCAAAUGCAGUCAUCUGUUUCACCUUUGUCCACAGCCCCUGCCCCAACUCAAUCCCUCCAACUUCGACAGCAACAGAUCCAUCGCUAAGAAUGCUUACUUUCCCUGGAGUUGCUUUUAAUGAAACUUCAUGCACAAUUGGUACUCGAGAAAUACCCCUUUUCUGCCAUUUAUUGCACAUAUUAAACUGCUUUAUCAUAUCGGUCCUUUCUUUAAAGCUUGAAGACGUAGCCAACUUAUCCCAGAUUAAAGGUAAAGUGUACUCCACAUGUUCACCAGCACAGCCCUCAAAGAAAAAAUUGAGGCUGUUGAAAGUGUGGAGGUUUCUGCUUCUCACAGAGUCCACAUCCAUGGAAAGAGUAGAUGCAACAUGUUCAAUUACAGCUUCGGAUAUAAAUGUAGCUUGUACCUCUCCAGGAGCACGCAUUGCUGAUUUAGACAAAUGGUUUGUUUUGCAUACCUUUAUAUCAAAAGAAAAAGCACCCCAAUCAUAUUUUUUAAGGGCACCAACCAUGAGCAUGGGCAUAAUUGGGCUUAUAUCUACACCUAUUCCUGCGUUGAUUAAUAUAUCAACGUGUAAGGCAGUAAUCUUCCCAUUCGAUUUGAACCCUACACUGUAGGUUACUUUCAUUGGAUGUCUUCCUCCUGCUAUUUUCAUGUCAGUUUUGCGAUUCAUAUAUAUCCGGACAGGGCGUUGUAAUUUGUAUGCUGCAAGUGCACAUGCUGUAGCUACCUGAGGCAUUAUAGAUUGAGUGCUUUCACUUAGAAGCCAUUGUUAAGGGAAAGGAACAGUACAAAAGAUAGGCCAUCAGAGGAAACAGAAUCAGAUAAAGAAGAACUAUGUGUGCAUUUGUGUGUGUGUGUUUUCCUCGUAUUUUCCUUUAAAUGGCGGUCCUCUUAUGGCCAUAUGGACACAAACACACAAAGUAACCAUCAAUUAUAUACUCACAGCAAUUGCUUUCAUGGACUUUCCACCAAAACCACCUCCAACCCUUCUUGUGAUCACACGUACAUUGUGUUCAGGAAUACCAAGACAUCUCGAAAUUGUAGUAUGUGCAUUUUCAGGGCACUGUAUUGAACUGUAAACCACAAUGCAGUUGUCUUCAUCCGGAAUUGCAAGGGCAGUUUGUGUCUCCAUAUAGAAAUAAUACUGUGACCCAAGUCUGAUCUGGAUGUGACAAUUCAGAAAGCAUUUAUCAUAAAACCAAAACAGGAAAGAAAAACAUUAAUAGGAAUAGAAAAAAAAUUGUAUAACAAGUAAAUGAGAAGUACCUCAGCAGAAAGAAUCUUGUGAUCAGCUUUAGCCAUUCCUCUAGAGAAAUCACCAACCUGUUUUGGGCUAAUGAAGGAAGGAACCUCAAAAAAGCUGGAUCUCCUAACAGCCUCUUCUACCGAUAAAAUGGGUGGUUCCAGAUUUUCCAUGUCAUAAUCAACCACUGCAAGGUUUGCGGCCAUAUUUGCAUGUUUCUGUGUGUCUGCAACCUAUAAACAUAUAUGACCAGUGACUGAAUUGGGCAUCUCAGUUCAUAAACUAACCAAAUGUGUUUGUAUGCUAUGCCCAUUAAAAGAAAAUUUAUAAUAAACCCAACAGAAAGCAAAAUAUACAUAUAUAUAUAUAUUGGUGGACAAGAAAGCCAGAAUCAUGGAAUUACCACAAAAGCAAUAUACUCUCCAGCACAUCGGGUAAAAUCAUCUGCAAAUAAAGGUUCAGUACCAAAUAUAGUCUUACAGCCUAUGUUCUCCCCUGGUAUAUCUUUAAAUGAAAUAAGCGCACUGACUCCAUCUGCCACUGAUUUGGGGUUAAGUUUGAUACCCUUUACUCGAGCCAAAGGCUUUGUACUAUAAAUGAAAGCCCCAUGUAGGCAAUUUGUUGGAGAAGGAAUGUCAUCCACAUAAACGGCCUCACCUACGAAAUCGUUUAACUCAUGUGAGUUGUCUAGAAAAAGAAAGAGGGAGAGAAAGAAAGAAAGAAAGAAAGAAGGAAAAGAAAAGAAAAGAAAAAAUAAAAAAGAAGGAAAAAUCAAGGCUCCUUCCGAAGCUUGAAAAGUUUCGGGAGAAAGUAGGAAGAAAAGAAAAUAUAAAGAAAGAAAAAAUGAAGAGAAAAAAAAAAGGAUGGGUUUAAAUUGGAUAAUUUUUUUCCUUCUCUUUUAUAUAAAGAAUGAAGAAUUUGAAAAUGUAUAAAUUUUAAUUAGACUUGAUAUUUAUUCAUACUUUGCACAAUAAACCAAACAAGAAAAAUUAGAUACCUUCCUAUUUCUUUCCUUUUCCUAGAACUUUCCAUACUCCAAAUGGUGCUAAAGAUAUAUGUGACCAUUGAUAGUCAUUAUCAUGGAUUAUAUAGUAACAUAUGGCCUUAUUGAGCUACAAAUGCCCUGCCAUAAUGGUAAUUGGUGAAUAAAAUAGAGUAAGUGAGAUAAAUUGAAUCCAACAUGGUUGUAACAUGACAAAAACAACAAACAAAAAGUCAAAGAAAAAUCAUUCAAUAUGCAGGGAAGAAAGUAUCGAUUUUUUGAAUAUGAAGUUUUUGAUGGCAAUAAAUUCCCUCAAAAAAGAAACGUCACACAGCAUAAUAUAACCAAUAUAUAAACUUGAUCAUAGAAAUGAACAGAAAAUUAAAUUUAAGAACAUAGCCAAAUAUUUACUAUUUGAAAAUUAAAUUGCUCUAAAGUUCUAGGCCAUCAAUAAAAUCAAUUAUCUUUAACUAGUGUCAUGUCUCCUAUUAUUAGCCCCUUGACUCAGGUGACACAAUGCCGAGGGUUUCAUGGGUAGGCACCUUGCACUAGUGAGGGCCUUAGGACAAUGAGGCAAAUUGAAGCCAAGGUUGAAUGCAUCAUAUGCAUGGGCUUGAUGGUACAACACAUGAGCUGACACAGCAGGUGUCGCAAGGUAGGUACUGCAUGCAACACAACAAGUAUCGCACCUGACAUAGCAGGUGCCACACGCAACAUAGCAGGUGCCACACGCUACACAGGCCACUGCCACAUGCGAUGCAAUAGGGUGUCACACGCGAUGCAGCAGUUGUAGCCCAUGGCUUAGCACACCAUGCAGUUGGGGGAACAACCUGACUCGGGUAAAAUUCAAAUUCCUUUGAAAGAGGGACUUUCAAAAGGGAGUCUCAAAGUGGAAUUGUGAUUUUUUGGAUUUUCAUGAAUUGAUGAAAAAUCAUUAUGCCUCCUCAAGACCCUUGAUGUCUUGUAUAGGCACUUUGGGAAUGGCCUAAAGGGUGGGUGCAUGAUUUAAGGAAGCCAACGUGGCUUAAGCUUGGCCAUACAAAGGGGACAUGAUGCAAAGCCUAGAGCCUAGGAUAUGGACAAAAUUUAGGUCAGCCUUGCAAGAACCCACAUAUGGGUUCAACACCAUGUGGUGAUGUGCAACCUGUGGCCACAAUGGCAUAGGGGUGCAAUGCUACCACCCUUCUUGACGGCUGCACAAGAAUGUAAUGCCUUGUGCAAUGCUUGGCACAAGGGUACAGUGCCUAGUGAGUGGAGAUGACUUGUCAUGGCUCAUUGUUGCAUUGAAGUGGGAAUUGGGCAUAGCAGGGUGCUUUUGCAACAACAAAAGGCCGACUCGGACAUGAUGGUGCAUGGUUGACGUGAGGUAAGAGUAAGGGACAUGACAUGGGUGUGGCAUGCUGACUCUAGUGGCUUGUAAGAUGCGGCAGGGCCUUGCAAGGGCCAGUCCCAUGGGCGCCUAAGACAUGGGCAACAACCCCAAUGUUUUAGGGGCAUAAGGAGACAACCUGAUGCAUGGACAUCACAUGGUGGGCUAACGCACACAGAUGCAAUCAGAUGGACUGAACAUGCAUUGACGGGCUAGCAUGCAUUGGUGGGCAGACUUGAGCACAUGGACCACAUUGAUGUGGGCUGACACGCAACUUGUUGGGCUGGACAUGGCUUAAGGGCUGAUUCCAUCAUAGGGUGGGUUUGAUUGGUUUCAUGGGUGGUUACUUGGCACCUUUUAGGAAGAGAAGGCAUCAGAAGCCUUGUUGCAAAUUUGUGUAUGUGACACCUACCAUAUCCAUGAAACCAACAAUCGAAUGGUACUCGUAAGUGUAAACUAAAAAUUACAUAGAAAAUUAACUCAUGAGUAUCAUAAUAUAAAACCAAGUUAGUGUAACAAACCAGAAGCUUGGAUGGCAGCCCCAGACUUUGCAAUUGGCUCACCAACAGGAUGAUACUGUCUAUUCAAUUCCACUUCCUGCUUUGCAGAAGACAGCAAGGUUGAGAUUUUACCAUGAUCUAACUGCUUUGCAGGAGACAGCAAAGUACUAUAUCCAUCCACACAACCAUCAGGAGAUUUAGCAUUGGCCUCAACCAAAUGGCUAAAGAACUCGAAAAGAAAACUGACAGCCAAGCUUGACCUAUAAGCUGGACUUGAAGUGCCAUCAUCGGGUACCACAAUGCCUUUUAGUAAUUUAACAGCUUCACAAAGGACACCAACACUUAGCACUUUUCCAGUUAAAAAUUCUUCAACUUUUGUAGCUCUUAUUGGAUGUUUUGUCCCAUAACCACCAAAAGCAAACCGGCAGUUACUUACAAUAAUUCCAUUAGAAGUUGUACAGCGAGAAACUUUAGCCAUUAAAGCAGCAUUUAAAUAGGGCAAUGCAUUUCCUAACGGUCGCGGUGCAGCUCGAUAAGUUUCAAACAGUAACUUCAUCUUGGUCCCUGAAGAAAUGCCCAUAAUCCGAUCCCGAUCUGGGAUUUUGACACCUACAAGUAUACUUUUCGAAUCUAACUCUGGCCUUCUCAAGAACUCCUCCAAUGUAAGCUCUUCGCUUUUGAGACUAUUCAUUAUAUUUACGGUUGAACCUACUGCAAGAAGUACUGUAGCAAUGUCAGAGGGGAAAUGAUUCCUUUGUGCCAUCACCAGAUUUCCACCUAAACUAGCUGAGUUCCGGAUGAACCCUGAAGCAACUUUUUCCAUAUGGUCAGCAAUAUUUUUAUAGACCAUGUCUCCUUCUGAGUAAAAUCCACUUUGGUUGUAUUCCCUUAGAGCUUCAAUAGCUUUAGAGAUUGUUACUGUUGCUCCAAUGCUUAUCCCGGUAUUAUCCCUUCUUAUCAUUGAGAAUUCAGGGAUAUGUCUUAGAUCAAUAUAUUUGUCAUAACUUUCUACUUCCUUAUAAUAACCCAUACCAGUGUUACCAACAACUACUUUAACCCGACUCCCAUUUCCAUCCUCAACAAAACCCAGUAAUCUUUGAAGUUCCUCAAUGCUAACAGGACUAUACCAGGAAUAUCUUCUAGAGUCUAAAAGCAGUGUAGACCUAGUUUCAUUUUUCAAGAAUUCAGGAAAUGUACAAAUCUCAUCACUAUGGUUAUACAAGGGUAAGCUGCUUAGUUUCACUUCUUUACUAUCCCCCUUUCUCCAAAAGGAAUUAAACCCCAAAUCCUCCAUAUCAACAUCUGCUGAAAAACUUUUACAGGCAUCAGCAAUGGGCCGGUACCCAGUACAGCGGCAGAGAUUUCCUGCAAUAGCCCUUUCCGCUUCAGAAACUUUCAGCUUGGAGAAUCCCAGAGGGGGCUCUGGCCGGGGGGUUUUCUCAGCAUUGACAAGAGCCGAGAAGAGUGACAUGCACAUUCCAGGAGUACAAAAGCCACACUGAGAAGCAUGGAAUCCAGAGAACCUUUCAUGAAUUGGGUGGAACCCAUCUUUCGAGUUCCCAAGACCUUCAGUUGUUGUAAUUGAACAUCCAUUUACACUACAAAGCAGGGUAAGACAUGAACUCACCGUACAAUCAUCCAACUGGUCAAGUAUAGGGUUAUACUUGGACAGUAGAACAACACAAGCACCACAACCACCUGAAACAAUGAAGUUGGCAAACAUAUCAAUAUAUCAGCUACCUGAUUUUUGAGGUUUUGAUAGGCUAGACAAAAUCAUAAUCUUCAAUGGCUAAACUAUAUUAGGAACCAAUUGAAUAAAGGGACUAUUAUUUAAUAAUUGAACCACAUAAUCAUCAGCAUAGCCAUUAGUCAAAUAGUUAAAUUUUCAGUCUUAUGUUUCAUGCUGUUCAUCCUCCCAAAAAAUAAAGGGAAAGCUCAGACACAUUAGCCAAAUAGUUAAAUUAUGAUUGAUUUCGUGGACAUUAUUAUUUUUUGCUGGGUCCUAAACAGGGGAAAGACAGCUUAAAUUUUUUUAAUUUGUUCACAUUUCCAUUAUUCUCAGCAACCAAACACAGAAACAAUUAUUAAAUCAAACAAGCCUACUGCACUACAAGAACAAUGAACCCCAUUACCCCCAUCGAUUUAAAUAUAGGUAGGAACCAAAAAAUAAAAUCCGACAACAAAAUACAGAAAAAUGGAAUCACAGGACAAUACAAUUAGCAACAAGCAAAAAAGAGAACAAGGAAACAAAAUUAGACAUGCAGAAGAAGAAAAUACAUUAUCAUUGAAGAAAAGGAAACCUGGAUUGGGAAUCCAAUAACCAAAGGAAAGACAGAGUGAUAUGACAGAGUGAUAUAGAAAAUAACGAAAAUUUAAAAGGAGCAUUAAAGAGAACAUGAUGGAGAAAAACCCAACAUGAAGGAAAAAGGAAUAUCCAACUUUAUCCGUCAAAGAAAAAAGGAGCUCAGAUUGGGCAUGCAAGAAGUACAGAGAAACAGAGGUUCAUACGAUUACAGGCAUGUGUGUAUAAAUAUAUACAAAAACAUGGACAACAAAAUUAAAAGCAGAAGAUGAUAAAGGAAAGUCAACACACAGAGAAGAAAAACCCGUAUACCCAUCAAAGAAAAAGAAAACCCAAAUUGGGAAACCAACAAGCAGAGAGAAAGAGAGAAGCAUAUGACCAAAGCAAACAUAUAUAUGUACACUGAAUUAAGUACAAAAAAACGUGAGUACAGAGGAGAAGAAGAGAGAUACCUUCACCGCAGCUGAGCUUGGGACCUUUGAAAGGAGUGUGAGAACGCAAGAAUUCAAGCACAGUAGUGGAAGGGUGGAUGGUGGAGACCUCAAACCUCUUGCCAUUAACAGCAAAAACCAGACUGUUGUUUACGGUUGAUUCAGACUGCUCCAUUUCUCCACUGCAAGUCUGCAACUCAACUCACAGUCAAGAUUAUGUACAGGUAUUAUUCUAUCCUGUAUUUGGGGACGGAGGAAACUCAUUCACAAUUAUAUAAUUUCCGACGUGUCCUUUUUUGACGCAACACUCAACCAGACAAACAGAACAAAGAAAUCAAUCUCUGUACGCCAUUGGCCGGCUUUGGUCUCUUACAUAAAAAUGUAUCUUUAAAUAUUUUGUCCAUACCCUAUAGGAAUUUUGUAAGAAUUAAUUAGUAGAUAUUCCUCGUGAAUCUAAUAGUUUUUAUAUUUUUAUUUAAAAAAUAAUAUAUUUUUAUUAUAUGAAGCAUUUAUACGUAGAUUUUAAAAGAAUAAAUUGUUUUAUAAAAAAAAAAAAGAAUAAAGAUAUUUUUAUCAAAAUAAAACCAAAAAAUGAUGAAAUGUUACAUUUCUAAAAUUGAAUUUUUAAUGAUCAUCUUAAUCCAAUAAUAAAAUUAAUAUAUUUUUCAAGUAUAAACUAUUAACUUAAAAUAAUUUUUUAGUGCAUGUUUGGAUGCAUUUUAUAUUUUUAUUUUUAAAUAAAAAAUUUUGUAUAUAAUUUUUUAUAACUUCUUUGGAUAUAUUCCUUAUUUUUUUUUAUAGAAUAUCAAAAUUCUUAGAUAAAAUAGGUACAUACCUUGUGUAUUUAAAAGAGCUUUUUAAAAUUUUUAAAAACAAAAUAUUGUAAGUUGCUCAAAAUUUGUAAUUUUGAGAAGAAUUUUUGAGAAGGUUAGGAUAAUUUUUUUAAGAAGAGCUAGUUUUUAUUAAGAUAAUUUUUUUAGUUAGUUUUUAUACAAAGUGUUUCUAUUUUUUAAAAUAAAAAAUAAAAUGUCUAUUCCGCCUUAGUUUUAAAAUUAUGAUAAUUAUAAUAAUGUUUUUUUCCUUAUUAUUUCAAAUUCAAUGUGCAUGAGAGCAAAAGAAAAAGUGAUCAUGAAAAAGUAAGGACAAGUGCUGAUGAACUUGUAGAAUCCUUUCAAAUGUAUUAAAUGUUCCCGUUUGAUACUCAAAAGCGGGAGUUGUCUUUAAAGAUUCAAAGCCUAAAUAUAAAUUCAUCAUUAAAAUGAUUAUCUUGUAUUUGUUGCUUCUAUUAAAUCUGAUAAAAAUCCUUUGAAUGAUAGUCAUAUUGAUGACGAUGGAAAAUGUUAAUCAAAAGUUGAAAUAUAAAAUAUGUGUCUUUUUUUGUUUUUUUAUAUUAUUUAUUUUACAAAAAAAUGAUUAAAAAAAUUAACCAUCUAAUUAAAAAAAACUAAAAACUAUCCAUAAAAUAUGUUAUAAAAUAAUACUAAUACAUAUAGUAUUUAAUAUAAACCAAAUAUUUUUGUAGAUUGAAUAAACUAAUAUAAAUUUUUAGUUAAACAUUUUAAAUAUUUUCAUCAUGAUUCUUAUUAAUAAAAAAAUUACUUACUAAAUUUUAAACAUUGAAUAAUUUUCAAAUUAUAUUAAAUAUGAGAGAAAUUUCAUAUUUUUUUAAUAGUCAAGGAGAAUAUUUUAUUUUGAGUUAUUAUUUUAGUUUCUAUAUUUUAAUAGUUAAGUCCUAGAAUGUUUCUAAAUUUAAUUAUUACAAGUUUCUAUUUUGUUAAGUGUGAAUGUCUUUAAAUACGAGAUUAUGUAAUAUUUGACAAGAAGAGAGAAAGAGAGUGGUGAAAGACAAUAAUAUUUUAAUACUCUCAAAUUUUUAUCUUCUUUUACAAUUGCUUGUGUUUCUCUUUCAACCAUAUAAGUUCAACAAUCUCCAUGUCACAAUGUACUACUUUCAAUUUCUCUUUAAUGCUUAUGUACUUUCAAUUCAUAUCCUAUCUACAUUUGUUACUUCUUAUUUUCUUACCUAGCUAUUUUUUAUUUAUUGUUUGAUAAUGUUGCAAAUGCUUAGGGUUGGAUCCUUUGAUUUGUUACAUUUGUUAAAACAUCAAAUUCUUAGGCCUUGUUUCCCCUAUGAUUUGCUAUGGAUUCUAUGAUGUUUAUCAUGUGGGUGUUCAUGAUAAUCAACUACUUGCUUUGUGUUUAGUUCUAGUUUAAAAGCCAUCUCUUGGUACUAUAAGAGGUAACCUUUAUUUAAUAUAUCAACAAUAAAAUCCAAGUGCAAAACAUUAAUAGUGCUAGUUAUGAAGAAUACAUGGUUACUAAUGAAUGAUCACGGAACCCUCUUAAUUACCAUAAGUUUGAAAUUUUAUUAAAUACAUCCCUUAUUUUAAAUUAAUAUGGAGGUGAGUGAAAAUAAUAAAUAAAAUAUUUAAAAAAAUUUCAAACUAUUAGUGACUAGUUAGUGUUUGCUUUUUAGUUAAAUAGAAAAAAUCAAAAUAUUUUUUUUUAUUCAACUAAAAAUAACCUAUUAAUAUCAAUCAAUAUAAUUAAACUGAACCUAUUGAUAAUAAACUUGCUUUAAAUAUUAAUAUGCUACUUUUAGUUAAAUAGGAAAAAUCAAAUAUUUUUUUUUUCUAUUUAAUCGAAAAACAAAUACCACCUAGAUGUAUUCAACCUAAACCUUACAAAAAGUAAAUGAAAUUAACUUUUAAAGUUUCAGCAUUGUUUGACCUUGUUUUUAACUUUCCUUCUAUUGACAUGUUUGUAUAGAUUUUUUUUUUUUUCAAAUUACUUAUUGUUGUAGCAUGUCUUAAAAUAUUUUCUGAAAAUUUUUUUAUUGUAUUUUUAUGGCUUACUUUAUUUAAUUUGUGGUUUCAUUUUUUAGUUCCUUUUAUGAUUUAUUAAUUAAGUAGUUAUAAUUGUAAUAGUAUUGGGAACUACCUUUUCUGUAAUUACUUGUUGGAGCAUAUAGAUAUUCCCUUACAAAAUGUUUCUCAAUAAUCCUUCUUAGUAUAUUUAAAUAUCAAAAUAUCCUUAAAUGUUUGCAAAACCACAUACCUUCGGGCAAAACUAGCUGAAAAAUAGAAAACCAACUCACUGUCUCUGACACAAGAAAUCAUUUCAGUAUCAACUGUGGGGCACAGAGAGACCAAAACGAAAAAGAUAUACCCAAACCUAGUGGCCAUGCAUUCCCUUAUCCACAGAUUUCACUUCAACCGUCAUCUCUUUCCCUCAAGACCCAAAAAAAAUACUCAUUUUACUCAUGGCCUGCACCAUUGACUACCAAUUUCUCAAGUACUAUUAUUAUUGUAAUUUGCAAAUACAUUUCCGUGUAUUUACAUGACAUCAUUUCAUUGUGAUAUGCUUUUCUUCUGCCUCUCACACGGAGUUGAUUUUGCAGGUGUUUCCGUUUUGUCUGCAGCGCUGAAACUUCCUCCUCCUUCUGCAAUUUUUUCCCGAGGCGACUUCGCGUGGAGUCUUCAUCUGUUUCUCUUCUCGUUCUCCUGUGUCUAUCCUAAAUGUAUCUCUCUAAAGCACUUUCUUCAGUUGCUGUGAAGGUACAUAUGUCUAUUUCUUAAACGACCCUUCGCCAGAGUCUACUGGUCGAUCAACUCAAUUGAAGCUUGGUUUGGAUUCCUUGGGCAUAUGAAAUCCUGUAAGUUUUCACUCUCAUGAGGUCUUUAGGUGGGUUUCAUUCAUGAUUAUGUUGUACUAUUUUACCAAUAACUUUUAGAAAAGACUUCAUAAUUUGUUUUGAGAUUUCUGUUUGAGUUGUGAAUUAAGUUGAAGUCAACAGAAUUAUCAACAAACAGAGAAAAUAUAUAUAAAGGUAUAGAAAAAAUAAUAGAACCAUUAACAAUAUUGUUUAAAAUAACAAUAUUAUUUUAAACAAUGUGUAUGGAUAUUAUUGAUAAUUUAUUUAUUUUUUUAAUUUUUAGAAAUAAAUUAUCAUUCCUACCUUAUAUUUUUAUAUGUAUCCAAAUACAAAAAUUAGAAUUAUUAAAUUCAAGAUGAUUCAAAAGAGAAUAAAAAUAGAAAAAAAAAUAUUCAUUCUCACUGCUUAUUCCAAGCAUUUGAGCGUCAAAAUCAAAGCAAGAUGAUUGAACAAUCUUCACAACUGAACAAUUUACAUUCAUUGGCUUAUUUAAAUAUUAAUAUGUCCUCAUAAUAAUUAUAUCGUGCACUCAUAAUAGUAUUUUUUUUUUAUAGAUUCCAUUUAUCGGUCUGAAUUUAUAUAUUAAAAAGCAUUAUGAUAUUAUACAAUCAAACAUCUUCCAACAACUCUUGAAAGAACUAAUAGGAAAAAGGAGUUGGUGAGUGAAUUUAUAUAUUAAAAAGCAUUAUGAUAUUAUACAAUUAAACAUCUUCCUACAACUCUUGAAAGAACUAAAAGGAAAAAGGAGUUGGUGAGAGCACGUGGGUGUCAAAAUCAAGGACAAAAAUUUUGCUAUUAACAAUAUAUCAUGUAUCGGGACCUAUGAUAACAAUAUCAGGUGGAGAAAUGUCGAUCAAGUGAAAUUUAAGGAAAAAUUGCCAAAAAUUGUCGAUAGAAUGAUAAAUCAACGAUAUUUCCCAAAAUUUUACAACGGUCAACACUCCAAAAAUGGCUUCCGGUGCAACUGGGCCAACCACUAGAGCAAUUUCGUCCCUUAGUAAAUAUGUUACACCAAAUAUAUAUAUAUAUAAUGACUUUUAAAUAUAACAUAUAUAUAUAAUUAUUUAAAAGUCAUUAUAUAAACAAAAUAUAAAAUAAAUAUUUUAGACAACAGAUUAAUUAUAAUUAUUUUAUAAUUAAAUAAAAAUUUUAUUGAAUUAAUUACCAAAAAUAUAAAAAUUAUCAUAAUAGUUUUCUUCAGUGUUUUUAAUAUUAUUAAUAUAUUAAUUAAAAAUUAAAAAAUUACACAUAUAUCAUCAUUUAUUUUAUAUCAUUUAAUAAUUAAAUUAAAUAGAUCAUAAUUUUAAUAUUAAAUAUAUUUUAAAAUUAAACAUAUUAUAAUUAAAUAUCAUAACAUUAUUGUGGGAUAAUAUUUGAUGUAAUUUAAUGAUAAAUGUAUACUUAUAAAAUUCAUUUUUUUGACGCAUAUAAUAUUAUUAUCAAAUAUGAUAAAUUAUAUUAUCCAUAUAUCAAAAUUUUAAAUAAAACAACUUUAAAAUAUUUAUUAUACUUUUAAUUAUAUUUUUAUGCAGUUAUAUAAAUCAUGAGUUUUGAUCAAUUUUAAAUUUAUCGAUAUAUCUCCAAUAUAUCUUUAAAAUUGAAAUAUCGAUAUAUUUAUGAUUAUCGAUAUUUUUAUCUUUAGCCAAAAGCAAGACAAAAGGAUUAAUGUAUUUUUGAAUAUGUGCUUUAGACAAAUAAAAACAGAGAAGAAAGUCAUUCUCUUUUACAGAGUUUAGUGGGCAACUCGAUCUCACGCCUAUCAGAGACCAAACCCAAAAAGACAUGCCCAAAUUUUGUAGCCAUACAAUCCCUUAGCAACCGAAAAAGAUAUGCCCAAAUUUUGUAACCAUCGUGUCUUACCCGCAAGACCCACAAAAAAGAUUAAGGGGGUGGACUUUUAUCAAUUUCUCUAAUCAUCGAUGUCGAUGACUGUUAUUGUAAAUACAUUUCCGUGUAUUGGGUCCGAAGUUGAUGUUUUCAUUAUAAAAAUCAAAAUAUGAUUAUCGGCAGGUGAUGCUAAGGCAAUAGUAAAAGAAGAUUCCCGUAUACAAAACAAGGAAGUGGUACCAGGUCCACACUCAACCACUGUUCACAUUGCAGGACAGUCUGGCAUAAGUGCUAGAGGUAGGAGACCACCCAUUGAAAAUGUUGGGGAAGAAUUAAUUGACUCAGACUCAGAUUCAGACUCAGGAUAUGAUGACGUGGAAUCCAUGUUAACAAAAGUAUGGACAAAUUUAUGAGAACAAGAGAGUGCAAUUUAUAUUUUUCCUUUUGUAAAACAAAUCAGUGCUGUUGAUCAGUAAAACAAUACCUAUAAAUGUGAUAGUAAUGAUAGACAAUCCAACAUCUCAAAUUAAAACUCUCAACUUAAAACGUGUGAUGGAGACAAGGUCCAUGUUCAAGGAUGAAAAAUAUCGAUUUUGACUUAUAUAUUAAUAAUUUAGUUUUAUAAAUAUGUCAAGAUAUAUCAAGAAAUGAUAUUUUAACAUAAAAUAUCGAUGAAACAAAAAUUAAUUAAAACUCAUGAAAAUAUUGAAAAACAAAAAAAAAUGAAGCAAUAUAUAUCUAUUAUAGUCAAUAUAUGAAGAAAUUAAUCUAUGAAUGAUAUAAUUGAUAACAUUUUAUAAUAAUAGGUGAUAUUUGAAAAUUCAUUUAAUGUUAAAAUGAUAAUUUAUCUAUUUUAUAACAUAUACAUAAUUAUUAUAUUUGUAUUUAAUUCAUAUCCUUGUGCUUUCAAUAAUAAAUUAAAUAGAAUUUGAAAAUAAUAAUUAAAAUCAAUAUAAUUAUUAAAACUUUAUUUUAAUAUUUUAUCUUUCAGGAUAUAUAUAAAAUUGGGUGUAAAUAUAAUAUAUAUAAAAUUAAUGCCACCUUAAGGAAUAAAGGCAUGAGUCCACACGCUGCUCAUUUGACAGUGCUUUGACAGGUCAAAAAAUCAAGAAAAUUCCGAUAAAUGAAAAAAUAAAAGUCAGUUGAUACACUAAAAAAAUCACGAUAAAAUAUAAAAAAUCCUAAAAUAUUGGGACAUGAAAAUAUCUCUUUGAAUUUGUGUUGACAUCCACUCAACCUCAAAAUAUGGGAGAUAUAUUUUUAAACCUUGAUGUAGAUAAAGAUAAAACUAUCAAUUUUUAUGAAAAAUAUUGAUAAUUGAAUUUUAUGAAGAUAUUAUAUCGGAAACAUCAAUAAAAAUUUUAACAAAAAAUAUCAAUAAGAUAAAAAUUGAUCAAAACUUAUUAAAUUAUUGAAGAAGAUUUUAAAAAAUAACAGUAAGUUUUAUGUGGAGUGACAUUUAGAUAAUAGCAUGUAAUAUUCCUUAAUAACACGUUUAAUAUUAAAACGAUUAUUCAUGUAAUUUGGAUAUAUACAAUUAUACAAAAAGAAAUAACAUAUAUAAAUUGAAAUGUAUAAGCAUAGCCAGAAUUGGCUGAUGGCAACAGCACAUCUUUGCCACAUGUAGGCCCAAGGUUCUCAUCUUAGAGAUUUUUUUUUUCUCCAUGCAACAUGACGUAGCACCCUGGAGACAGCAAAGGUGGAGGGUCUUGGGAUUUAAAUGCCCCUGAGUAAAUAAAAAAAAAAGUUAAUUUCAUUCACAUUCCUUAAAGCUUUAAUUAAAUAUAAUUAGUACUCAUUAGCUUAAAAUUUCAUCAAAUACAUCCUUUAUUUUGAAUUAGAGGAAAGAUGUGAGAAAGGAAGAAGAGGUAUUUGAUAAAAUUUUAAAUUAAUGGGAAGUAAGUAUAUUUAGUCAAAACCUUAGGGGAGGUUAAUAAGAUUAAUCCUAAAAAAAUCUAUUAAAAUUUUAAUAUAAAUCAUGAAAUUUUUUUAUGAUAGAUCGUGAAAAAUUCGGUAAUAAUUAGUGAUAUUGUAAAUUCAAUCCAAUAUGAUAAAACUGUACUCAAUUAUUAAAAUAUUUGUAAAAAAUAAACAAGAACCGAUGAAGUUUUGAAUUUAGUGCAAAUUAUAAACUUUCUAAAUUGUAACUAAAUUGCACUACAAGGAAAAAGGUAUAUGGUGACAUUUAUAACGAGUCACCAUAAAUAUAAGGUGUCACUAUAACAUAGCGUCACAUUUUCCACUGACACCAUAGAGGGUACCAAUUAGUGACGUAUUUGGAAGUGACACCAAAGUAGAUAAAUGGUGACCCAUUCGGAAGUGACACCAUAUAUUUCUAGUGAUGAUAGGGUGUCACAUUAAAUACAUCAUCUUUGAGUUAUGAUGUUACAUUAAAUGCAUCACCUUUAAGUUAUGGUAUCACAUCAUUGUGGAAGAUAUGAUUGGUUUUAGUUGUUGAUUUUUGUAAUGCUUAUGAAUUAAUAAGAUUAACCUAUUUAUAUUUUGUUCAUAAAUAUAACAAUCAUAUUAUAUUUAAUUCAUUUUUCUGUAAUGUUUCUGGAAUAACUCAUAAUACAUUGAUCAUCUAAUAAUAUUUGUAUAUCAAAUGUUCACAAAAGGAUAGUACGUCUAACAUAUCAAACCCAUCAAAACUAAAAAAGAAGAGUGGAUACAUACCAAAACAUGAUUUAGAAAUGUUAAAGAUCCCAAGAUUCAUGUAUACCUCCAUUCCUAAGCAUAAAACCGGCUAACCAUAAAAUGACAUAAAAGUCCCAUCUAAAAAUCUAAAUUUCUCAAUUGCAAUUAAAGUAACGUUUAUGUCCUACAACGUAUAACAUAAGAGUUGCAUUUAAAAACCCAAAAUCUUGUUACCUUCUUCUUUCUUUUUAUUCUCCAUUUCACCAUCCCAAGAGUGUAUACCUGCAUUUCAAAAUUUAAUGAGUUUUAGAGAUUUUUAUUGAAGAAAAUAAACAUGGAUCGAUGUUAUCAUAAAUGAACAAAUCUAAGAACUAUUUUUUUUUUUCAAAUAGAAACAUUAUUCAAAGAAUAAGCAUUACUAUACAAUACCUAUGGAAAAAUUCAUGUGGUAGCUAAGGGACUCACCAUGCAUGGUGAUCAUGAUGCAUUAACAUGAUUCAUGAUUAGUUGUAGCACAAAAGUAGCCCAUUCUCCUCUAAUUUCAUCGAAGGGCGCUUCUUCUGAUGAAUAAAUGGAAAUAUAAUUCUACUUGAGAAUAUGUUUUUUUUAUCACAAAACUGAAAUCAAAUAAGAGAAUAACAUUAAAAUGCAUAACAUUUGGAAGCCUAAAACUAUGUACAAUUCAUUAAAUAAGUAAUACCUUUGAAGCAAUAAUUGUAGGAUAAAAAAUUAUCUCUUUAAUGAAUCUCAUAACAAAGUAGCCACAUUCGAACCCUCCUUCUUGUCUUGGACACUAAUCGAUCAAUUAUAAAAUAACAUUAGUACUCACAUAUAUAAAUGGUGCAAAUGCAUAAACUAAUGUGUAAAGAAAAAUUUUUGGAUGUCACUUGCACUAGUUGCUAAGAUGACUCCCUCUUAGAUGUUUUCUUUGCAGAUAUUCGAAGAGUCCUAUGUAAAUAAGUUCAAUGGGUACAUUUUAAAAAUAGGUAAAUGUUAUAUGUUUUAAUAUAUAUAAAUAAUAAAAAAAUGUGUUUCAAGUGAAUGUAUUUUUUUUAUUUAAAAAUAAUACUAUGAAAAAUAAUAGGAAGAACUUACAUGUUUACGAUAUCCUUUAAGUCCUCACAUGGUUUGUGAUGCAUAGGGUCAAGAUAGUGGACUAUCAUUUUCCUUGGCUCAAGCACUACCUAAAUAUAAACCCUUUAAGUCCUCAUAUCUAUUUUUAUUAACAAAAUAUAAAAACUUUCCAAAACUCAACUACUUAAAUAUAAAAACAAAAUCAAAUAAAAUAUCUAGCUAAUUGGAUUUUAGAAACUAAAUAAACUAUAAAUAAACUAAAUAUAAAAACUAAAUAAAAUAUCUAUGCCCAUGAAUUAAUUGAAGGGGAUAGAAAGACACAGAGAGAACAUGGCUAUGGUUAUGAUUUCCAUUUUAUCAUCUCCCGUCAAUACCACACAUGCCCAUUUUAAGGUUGGACACUACUUUUGUUGAUAGACUUGGAAAGGGAACUUCAAAAUUGAAAACAUAAAUAAACCCUUAUGUAAAAAAAAAAAAAAACAUUAAAAUAUAAUUGAGCAUUAAAAUAUUUACUCUCUUUCAUCACUUUCAUUUGAAUAUUAAUAAUCUCUUAUUGAGAUAGAUACUUACAAUUUAACAAAAUAGAAAUUCCUAAUAAUAAAAAAUAUAAAAAUUUCUAUUUCUAUUAGCAAAAUAUAAAAACUUUCCAAAACUCAACUACUUAAAUAUAAAAAUAAAAUCAAAUAAAAAAUCUAGCUAAUUGGAUUUUAGAAACUAAAUAAACUAUAAAUAAACUAAAUAUAAAAACUAAAUAAAAUAUCUAUGCCCGUGAAUUAAUUGAAGAGGAUAGAAAGACAUAGAGAGAUCGAACAUGGCUAUGGUUAUGAUUUCCAUCUUAUCAUCUCCUGUCAAUACCACACAUGCCUUCCCGAAUUGGUCCUUUUGGGGUUGGAUACUCUCAACAAAAUUCUAUAUCUCAUUCCCACUUAGAUACAAACAGAAAAAUCAUUUUUUUUCCUCUCUCGUUUUUUAGAAAGGAUGAAGAUUAUGUGAUAGUAUAUCUCAAAAAAAUUCUGUACGUGUCAUUCUCACACAAAUAGAUAUUAAAAAUCAUUCAUUUUUUUUUCCUGUUUUUCACUUUUUUUAAGGAUUUGAUCAUGUGUUUGGUUUAGAUUAAAAAAUCAAUUAAUCUACAGUUUUUUCUUCUAUGCUAGAAGAUUAAACCUAAAUUUUUCUUCCCUACAACUCAAGAAUACACAAUUCACAAAAACCAUAAUACAAAGAUGUUGAAACAAUUAAUAUAAUGACAUUAAUAAAAGAAAAAAAAAUGAUAGAUCCAAGAGAUUUUGGGUUACCUGGGAGUCCACAAAGUGAAGAAUGUCGGUUGUGAGCGUGUUGACUAUGGGUGAGAGAAAAGGUUGAAGAAGAUCACGAUUUUAUAUAUAGGAUUAUAUAUUGAGAUUUUUUGGAUUGUGGGUGAGAUAUGGAAACAAUGGGAUUUUUAUAUAGUAUCCAUCAUUAUUAAUUCUAAAAAUGGGUUAUAAUACUUAAAAAAAAUUAUUUUAUAUGAUGUCACUUCCCAAAAAAUGACACUAUAAAUAUAAAAUUAAUAUCAUCUAACUACCUCAAUUGAAGAUUUUUUAUAUGAUGUGUCACAUUUAUUAAUUAUAAAUCCUAUGGUGUCAUUAUUUUAAAAGUGACACCGUAAAUAGUGACACCAUAAACUAUUUUUGUAGUAGUAUUGGGAUAUGAAUAUGCUGACUUAGGGGAUGGAUAAUCCACUGAAAGUGGCUUCUACUACAAUGAUAUUCAUGUGCUUGCAAUGCUGAGAUGUAGCCCAAGCUUCUCACAUUCAUCUGUUGGAAUGUUGUUUUAGGUUUUCUAUUCUGGUUAUGACUCCAGUCCCAACACAUUAGCUUCUUGGUUCUUUUUCAUUUAUACCAUAAUGUCACCAUAUCUUGGUAUAUGUUCAUGUUCUCACUAUUGCUCAUGUGUUUUCUUGUAGUUCAUUUCUUUCCUUUAUUCUAAAAUCUAUGUGAAUUGUGGUGCUAGCAUACAAAAAAGAAGUUGGAUCCUCAAGUGAAGAGACCAUAAGUGUAGUACAUGGUGAACGUUUAAGUCCUAACCAUUUUUCAUCGAGUUUAAAGCUUACCAAGCAUUUAUUUUUAGUAUAAGUUAGGGUAUAAUGUGUAGGGACCACCCCUGAACGACCACGUGACAGCCUCACAGAGCACUCCUCCAUUGGACAUGUGGCACGUCCAACCCUCUGUCCGGAUUUUCCUCACGAGACACGUGGCACUUUCAACCCUUCAUCCGGAUGACCAUGGGACCGGCAUGCUAUCCACACCUCCCUUGUCUGGGCGUCCUGUCCGGACUCAAUGCUAGCGUCUUAGAAAAAAGUCUUGACUGUGUUUCGCGGACCAUCAUUAUUCGUACUACUAAAAGCAUGCUCGAUGGGACCCUCCUGGGUCACUUCAGGAAACCUGUCACGACUUGCACCGCGCCGUCUAUAGGAUAAUGAUGACUCUGCCACCAUCUUAGCACCAUCAUGACAAACCAAAAAGUCUUCCCACCAUUAAAGGGGACAAAACUCCUGACACUAUAAAAGACUCUCACAUAGUAAAAGAAGGUAAGGAUUCUUUCCCAAAAGAGGAGGGCCGAAGUGAGAAUAUCAAAAUGUUAGAGAUAAAAGCUAACAAAACCAUUGAAAGUUUUUUCGGACCCCUUGUCCGGACAUCUUUUACAGGUCGAAUGAUGGAAGUAUCAUCUUCAGUUGAGAAUGCACGUCCAUCUGGCAUCUACAGUGGUCCCGGUAACGCGAGCCCUCAACAUAAUGCACUAAUGAUUUGGGAAAGAGUUUUUUUUGUUGUCUUAAUGGUCGAGGUAAACAUUCAAUAACUAAAGGAAAUAAAGAAAUAACCAAGAUAUUAAAUAUUUAACAAUAGAAAUUAAAUAGGAAUAUUGAAAGAGAGAAUCAAAGAGGUUACAUUACUUGGGUGAGUCUUCAUGCAUGUACUGCAAGCCAUAUCUUGGAUAAGUGCCACACUUUCAACCAUUCCUCACUUCUCCAAUCAACCUAAAUCAUGCUACUAGAAGGCUCCAUGCCCGUUAACUGACUUCACCACCGCAUUCCCAUUCAAGACAUUUCAAGCGAUGAGAAACCAUGGUGAGAGUAAAAAGGAAUCAAUCUUUAUCGAUUGCUCCACCGUUGAUUCUCAUGCAAGACAUUUCAUGUAAUGAGGAACCAUAGGGAGAAAAAGAUGGAGUUGGUCCUCGUUUUAGCAAGCCUAGACUCAACUAAAAAGUGAAAAAAAAAGAAGAAGAAGUUGAAGUCCUAAAUUCACAUUGACUAUGGAGCUCUUAAUUCUCACCUUCAAAUUUAGAUGAGCAAUAAGGAUUUAAAAUGCAAGAGAAAUGGAUGAGAUUUGAAAACAAAGCAUCAAACCAAAUUUUGCAUAAAUUUGAAACCAUGAAUUUUGAAUUUGAAAUAAAUUGAAAACAUUAAGUAUAAAAAACAACUUAGCGAACCUAAGACAAUAGCAUAUGACUUAUUCCUAUACUAACUACUACCCUCAAGUGAAAGUUUCCUACGACUUUCAAAGAUUUCUUACACUUGAUGAAGGAGAUGACUAUUUAUAGGCGAAGAGUCUCCUCAAGAUUGCUUGUUCUUAUCUCUCUACAAAAGACAACCUCUAUCCCCAUUGGCCCUUUAUCCCCAUUGAUUACUACUUCAAUUUCUUUGUAGCUCUAGGUGGCAUGCAUGACACCUUGGUUUGCAAAUAUUGGUCCUUUCAAAGGUAGCUUGCUCUUAAGUUGCAAAAAUGUCAAGCUUGAUAAAGAAAAGGUCCCCUCUGACUUGUCCUUGCUUGCUUAGUCAUGGAGGGAAGAAUAUAAAAUGGAAAUAGAGGAAAAGAAACAUGAGAAAUGGGAUUUAAUUAAAAGAAGGCAACAAAUUUUCGCAACUCUUUUUGUAACUAUGAGAGUUUCAAAAUUGGUAGCUUUUAUAUUUUUUGUGCUUUUUAAUUGAAUUCGAUUCACCUGCAAAACUUAUACGAGAUAUGUUGAGGCACCUUGAUAUAAAUAAUUCAAUUAAAUUAGAUAUGAAAGUGCUUGAUUGAUGCAAAAAUGAUGUGAUUAUGCAAGGUUAAAUGUAAGAUUUACAUCCUUAUCAAUUGCUAUGUUCCUUAUUAAUAGGUUUCCUAACAUAAUCCUGCAACAAAGAUAACCUUUGGAAGUAUUGUUCCAUACUCAACCUAAUUAUAAUUUCUUGAAGGUAUUUGGUUGUACUUGUUAUUCUCACUUAAGACCUUGCAAUAACCAUAAAUUAUGAUACUGUUCUUUCGCUUACACAUUUCUUGGCUAUAGUAAUGUCUACGAAGGUUAUCGAUCCUUAUCUCUAGAAGGAAAAAUAUACAUCUCAUGACUUGUGUUUAAUGAAUUCACAUUUCCUUUGGCUUCAAAAUCACCUAACCACCUAAUCAGACUUCUUCCUCAUUUACUAUGGACAACACAAUGCAUUUCCUUUCGCCUCUUAUACUAUAACCUUUGCUAACAUCAUCUACUUGGUCACCAACCUAGCCACAAUCCUAUAAAGUCUCCUACUACAACACCCAUUGCUUCACUUUUACCUUUGCCAACUUCUCAACCUAAUUCUUCAUCAACUUUUGCAUAUGUUUUGUCUGAGUUUAUCCUUAAUUGUAGUAAUGCUCCAUUGCAAACUAACUUACAUUUUAUGGUUACUCGUUCUAAAAUAGGUCUUUUCAAGCCUAAAGCUUAAGCUGCAACUGAUCUAUCUACAAAUGAACCUACUUCUAUUAAUGAGACUUUAAAUUGUGAUCAUCAAAAGACAACUAUGUCAUGUGCUUUGAAUUUGUAGACAAAGCGAUUCACCCCAUGAGAGCAAGUCAACAUGAGGUUCAUAAAAUCAUGGAUGCAAAAAGGAUACAUUAGAAAUUGAUUUUAAAAUAUCUUUCAUUAAUUUACACCAAUUAAAAAAUUGCAAAAAAUCAACAAUCACAUAGCAUAUGAUAUUAACGUUAAUGAAUUUUUUUAAGCUUAGAAUGGUAUCUUUAUAGCAUAGUUUUAUUUAUGUGAUACAACUGUCAUGUGACAUAAAUUGAUUUAGGUUUGAAAAUAGUCUUUAAAGUGCAUUUUUCUUUAAUUCAUCAUAUCUAGUAAAUAAAAAGCAAUGUUUUAAGUGAUGAUCAAUACUAAGGUCCCCAUCCUUGACUCUAGGCUAGAAAACAUGCCCAUUACCUUGGCUUAGAAGGAUAUGAACUCUUUAUAUGGUAAUGGUUGAACUUGUGAAGGUAGGAUCCUGUCUUUGACAUACUUUCUUUGUUGUAAUGCUUGCCUCGCAACCAUGUUUUGAUACCACUUGUUAUAGAGUUAGGUGUCUCCCCAGCAUACAUGUGGAGCUUAAACAACUCAAGAUACAUUAAGUUAUUAAAUUAUCAUUCUUCGAACUUUGCUUUCUAGUUUAAGCAAUGCUAGUAGACACAAAAGCUAGAGAUGAACACAAGAAGCAAUACUUAGAAAAUUUGAAAGAAUGAAAACUUCAUUACUUAAGAAUGCUUUACUGUGGCUUGAAAUCUUUCAAGUGCUUAAUGAUUUGGCCAAAUGAGACCAUCAUCCAUUAAUAGGCAUCAUGGGAACUCUCUACGAAUUGUGAUGGUUCCCCACAAAUUUAGGACUCCUUGGAGAUUACUGCAUACAAGCUAUGUACAAAUUAUGCAUAAGAAUUUUCCAGAACCACAGUAUUCCAAGGAUUUUCACCAAUGUGUAGAUGUCUUUAGGUCAUUCUAAAAGCUUCUUCCCCCUCUGAAAGCUCAAGUGAGAUUAUUCAAGUAGGAUGUGACAAUCAACUACUGAUUUUUUAUAAAGUCUCACUCAAAACCUUCUCUAAAUAGCACUUUUUUAAUUGGAACCCAUUUUGUUGUAUCUUUAAAACCCUCAUUGGCUUUAAUGUUUAGAGUUUAUUCCUCACUUUUCAUGCCUAGGCAUUAGCCUUAGGAGCCCAAUAAGAACCAUCUUUGGUCAGAAUGGCUUAUCCAACAAGCACCUAAAGUACUCUACAAGGUACUCCUAAGCUUCAGCUACCAAGUGACAAAGAUGGGUCUAGCUAAUUAAGAGCGAAUCUAGGUCACAGGCUGAUAUUAGCACAAUAACACCAUAUUUCAGGGGCAUUCAAUGGUCAAAAGGGAGGUCUUAAGGAUCUAUACAACCUUAAAUAAAAUCAUAUUCAUAGGACAUUCCAUGGGAAAAAAUGGCUCAAGUCUGAUAAGCACUUAGAAGAACCCUUCUCCUCAGCCUCAACUAUUACACACUAGAUAUAUAUCAAAAUAAAACCAUACAAAAAGGUGGCCAAAAGCAGAGUUAACUUAGGAUUUCCAUUAAAAUCUCAAACUAAGCCCUUAAAAUGUAUACAACAUGAAAGCAAUUGUAACAAAAGGAUUACAAAUACUGAAAAUAUAUUUAAGAUAUUGUAAACACACUUAAAAACAAUAAAACAAGCUAAAAAAAUACAUGCAUUCAGUAGUUCAUGACAUGAAGAAGAAGACCUCCCCUUGAAACACCUCAAUGGUUCUUUCUUUGGCUUCCAAAAUGAGUGCUUCUUAGGUUAUUAAUUAAUAGGUCUCGUUAAGGCAUCGAAAUUGAGGUAGGAAAUCCUAUGUCAGGUGGGAAACAGCAAAUUGAUGAUAGACAUGGUGGGUCCGUGUCAUCCUCAUAUGUACCCUGAAUGAAAUUGCGACGAAGAUGGCACUAUACUUAGAGCCAUCAUCCACUGAAACUGACUCUGUGGGAAGCAUAAAUGACCGCAACAUCAAGGUGGCGCAUCUUGGCACUAUUUUUCCCUAUGGUUUGAAUCUGUAUAGUGUGGAAUGGGGCUUGGUUGGCACCAUCUUCUAGAUCUCCUACAAGCCCCCCGCUCUUAACUUCACAUGACUCGAACUAGUUUGUAGUUUCCCCCGUUCCUGAGGUUUCCAAUCAUAUAUGCCCCAAGCUUGCGGAUCAUGCUCCUUAAUAUUCGAAGAAUUACAUAAAGGACAUGCUACAUAGGAAAAAAAUGAGUGGCUGAGUUUAACUCGCUUAAGUUUGCUCAAGUAUUGUCAUUGCGGAUGGAGCACGGUUGACGCCCAAAGUUCACUUAUAAUCUGCUUUUAGUCUUACUGAAUUCUCAAUUUUCAAUUUCACUCCAGAGUCUUUAUUACGGGCCUAAUAACAUUGAACUCUUUUGCUCUUCCCUUUCAUUGAUCUCUUUUGGUUAUCAAACUCAAAGAAAUUUUUAUAGAGUCAUCUCUUAAUGCUAAUUUUACGAGCUCGAUAAUGAGUCAUCACCCUAGCGUAGACACUCCAAAACAUAUUAAGUUAAUUCAAAAAUCAAGAGAAUAUGCAGAUUUUAAGAUUAGUGAACUGCAUAUAUACAUCAUCAACUAUAUACAUGGAUUAAUAACAUUUCAUUUAAUUACUAAAUAAUAAUUUGAGAGCAAAAUAAAUAUCAAGCAGUAAUAUUAUGGGAUUUUUUUUUUCCUUUUUCCAAUGGUAAAAACAAGAGUGACCACAAACCGAGAAGUGGUGAGAUUCAAAAUGGACCCAAUGGUAAAAGGUAGCAAGAAGCAAGAAGCUUAGAAUAGUAAUGAACACCCAAACAAGAGCAACUUACUACUGUUGGAACUCAAACCUUUGCUGGAACCAGGAAUGCGAGUCAGUGUGAGAGUUCCUCUGGGUUCCCCCUCACGAAGGCUUCUCCUGAUGGUAUGUUAUAAUACUGAUUUGAUCACAUCUUCAAGGCCACUUCCUCCGGGUUGGGCCUCAUGAAGGCUUCUGAAUAUGAUUUCUUAACCAAGUCUCUCUCAUGAAGAUCAUCAAGAACAAUUUCAGUAGCGUUCCUUUGGGAGAAUGUGGUAGUCGCUACUGGUAUGAGAUACGGGAGGGUUUGGCUGCAUGCCUUCUUGGCUCAUCAAGGGCACUUCCACUGGAAUAAUCCCCUUCAUCACUGGUACCUUUAAUGUACACUGGACAAAACCCACAACUCUUCACAACGCAGCCCCCGCUUGAACUAAAUGAAAACUUAAUGUGACUCCAUUUCUCACAACUGAAGCUCAAAAAUGAUGGAACAUACGCCAGCCAUACAUGAUCUGAUUCAAUUGGUGUAUGUUGAAGUUGGUAAGUCCAGCUACCAAAGAACGAGCAUAUGCGGUGGGAAUUGGAAUUAAGAUCAUGGGUAUCCAAGUCGCAGUACAUAUACCAAGCCCGGGAGUCGUGCUGCGGUGCCAUAACAGCAGAAAGAGCAAAACCCAGGAAGUUGCUAUUAAUAUACCAAUCUGGAGGUACCUCUAUAUUUAUUUCAUGCCCUUGGCUAUGAUGCCUGAACCAAUCCGGUAUUUCACUACCAGGGAAAACAGUGCUGAACGGGAUCCCAACGUUAGGGUGCCACUGCAAAACAAAAACAAUAUUGAGGAUGCUGAGAAAGAACCCACAUCUCCUAUUAUUUUUGGUAAUAAAACUUCCAAUUUUUAAAAUUCAUUUACAAAUGAUACAACAUUUUAAUAUAAAUGUCCCUUUGCUGUAUUGUUACUAUUUCACAUCUUAACCUACUCAUUUUCUUCUAUUAUUAUUAUUAUUAUUAAAAAUACUAUUAUUAUUAUUAGUAUAUACAAAUAUUUAUUUCAACAUGAUUAUUCCUAGUAGUAUUUUUGUUAUUAACAAUAAUAAUACUACAAAUACUUAUAUUAAUACUAUUUUUUUAACUAUAGUAUUAAUAGUAUAGUAAGCUAAUACAUGAAGUAAAUUAAUAUAUCAUUAAUAACUAUAAUUGUAAUAGUAUAAUGAGUAACAAAAUGAUUUAAACAAAAUCACUAAUAAUAGAAAUAUAACAUGAUAAUAAUAACGAUAAUAUAAUAAUGACAACAAUCACUAAUUAUAAUAAUAAUGCUAAUAAUAAUUUUCUAUGUUAAAAUAAUAAAGUAACAAUGACAUUAUUUAAUAGUAAUAUUAAUUGUAAUUAUAAUACCGCCAAUUUCAUAUUAUAAUUAAUAACUUUAGUAGUUAUAUUAAGGAUUAUUUGGAUAUAUGAGUUAAAAUAACUAUUAAAUCAUAACAAUGACAUCUCUCUUUAAUUUUGUUGAGAGAUGACUCUUUUUGGAUGCAUUUACUAUUUUCUAUAUUUUGUUUUCAUAACUUCAUUUUAAGUGUGAUCUUUAACUUUUCUUUCUUUUUGGCUUUAUCUUGAACUUGCUCUCUUUCUUUCUCAAUUGAUAACACUCUUGAAAAAUUUACCUUUAUCUCAUAAUGCCCUACCCUAUUCUCUUAUCUCUCAAAUAGCUCAUUCUCAUUCUUAUUUAAGAUAUUCAUCUAAACUAUUUGGAGAUUAUAUUUUAUUUAUCAUAAAUUUAACUAAAGUUAAAUUUUUAUUAAAAAUGUUCAUUGGAACUGUAUUGGAUUGAAUUUGGUUUACAAAAAAUUUAACUACGAUUAAGUUUUCAUUUCACCUACAAAAAGAACUUAAUUAUGGUAACUGAAAUUACAUAAUAAUUAUAUUUCAUUUUAAAAUAACUUGAUUAAGAUUAAGUUCUUUAUUAGAAAGUUUAUUUGGAUCAGAUAUGGGAGGGCUUGGCAAAAACAAGGUUAGAUAAAAGAUUUACUCAAAGGACAACUUUUUAUCCUAUCUCAUCUAUAACAUUAUAAAAGUUCAAAUGAAACCCUAAAAAAACUCCCACAAUAAUAUAUAUAUAUAUAUGAAUUAAUUGAUUAAAAGGGAAACUAAAAUCCUAUAUUUAUAAAUCUAACUUAAUUUUUUGUCUUGAAAAGGAAUUUGAUUUUAAUAUAAAUGUCUCUCAAUCUAUUGAUUACUUAUAUGUUAGUUUUAAAAGAAAAUAUUAUUUUUGUGAGAAAAAAUAGGAAAUUUUUGUCCUAUACGGAUGCUUUUUAAGGUUAAAAAAAAGUAGAUGAUCAGAUUUAAAAAAUAUCCCUUUUAAUUAAAUAACUCAAAAAAAAUAUUAAAAAUAUGUAAUACAAGUGAAAUAGAACAUAAAAGACAAAAUUAUAAUACAGACAUUAAAAAAAAAAAUCCUUUUAUUGGAAUUCAAAAGCUGAGAUGAAAUGUGAAAGUUUUGUAUCGUUUGGGUCAAGUUAAUACAAAUUCUUCCUUUUUAAAAAAUAAAAAAUUAAAGACAUUUUCAAAUGGUACAAAAUUAGGAGAAGCAAAAAUCAUGAAGGCACAGCGAAAGUAGCAUUUCGGCAAAAAUGUGGAAAUUAUGAUAUGAAACCAAAAGAGAACUUACGCUUGCAUAAGUGGACCUCCAUGCACCUGGGACAACAUGCGAUGCCACACUCUGUACAUCAUGCUCCAUCUUACUAUGACAGUUCCUCAGUUUGAAGCAAUUACCAAAUAGAAAACCUCCAAAACGUUUGAAAACUGACUGAGGGGAGACGAGUUCCAGUGAUGUGCAGUUACUUGCAUUCAUACGUUCUAUACUCGAUGGAAGCACUGGCAGUGCUUGAAGCCUUCUGCAAUUUGUCAACUCAAGCCUCUGCAGCAUAAAAAGUCGUUCCAAGUUCCAAGGUAGGCGAAUGAUGGAGGUUCCACUAAGGUUCAGAUACGUCAGUGAGGUUAAGGUGCAAUGAGGACGAAUGGAAUGUGAUCUUCUAGGCGCAGACGAAGGAGAUGCAUUAUGAUUUCUCAGGACAACACUGGAAGAAGGUAGUUGUCUUAUGGUGGAAUCAUCUGAAUUGAGCUCAUUUAAGCAGUCUAAAUUCCCUGAGUUCUCUUGAAAAUUUCCAAGUUCUGACCAGCCAGAAAAGUCUGUUAUAGCAGUCCCAUCUAGACAGAGCUUUGAUAAAUAUGGCAUAUGCUGUGGAACUUCUGGUAACUUCUCUAGCUUUGAGCAACCCGAGAGAAUAAGGGUUUCAAGGGAUACCAACCAACGGAUGCUUGGAAGAUGCUCAAGGUUUGUGCAGUUUUCCAAAUUCAACAAAAUGAGUUUGCUCAAGUAUCCAAGGGAAGGGUGAACCUUACGCAAAUUUGUACAUCCUUUGAGAACCAAAACUUCAAGAUUUGUGGCUCUUGAAAAAUCGGGAGUUUCUUUUAGGUAUUGGGAGUAACUGACAUCCACAAAUUCGAGGUUUCCAAAGACCUAUAAGCCAAAAAUAAAAAUAAAAAAAUAAAAAAACACCCAGAGAGAAGCUAUAAACAUUUAGAUUUCAUUAUGAAUAUCACACAGUAUCCCAAAAACAGAAAGUAAAUCAAUCAUACCUUUUGUCCUUUCCAGAGCUGAGUAAGAUGGCGGCUACGAGGCAUGCAGAAGUGAACAAGAUUCUCGGACUCAAAAUCGAAUGGCAGUGAUUCACAUGGGUAUUCAUCCCAAUGUAGAUACCUCAACUCAUCGUAAUGAAAUUUGAAGUCAUCAGAAACGUGCAAUUUACAUUGCAUCUUUCCCCCGGUAUCUCGAAGGUUAGAUCGGUAGAUUUCAAGCAACCUAAGAUUAGUCAUCUGGGAAAAGGCUUUAGUGGUAAAGUUCAUCUCCUCCAAACCAGAUAAGUCAAAGAAUAUGCCUUCAACUUCUUGAGCUCCCUAACAACCAAGAGCAAAGAAUAAGUUAAAAGAAUGCAAAUUUAUUAAGAUAUAUAUAGAUAUAGAUAUAAUUGCUUAAAUAAAAAUGAAAUAUACUUCCAAAGUUUAAAUUUGUCUAUGAAAAGGAAAUUUCAUAUUAUAUUCUCACCGUUUCCCGUUUCAAAAUAUGAGAGACAUCCUUUUGUUCCCAUAAUCUGCUGCGUCUGCCAGGCUCUUUAGGAGAAGUCUUGCGAAUGAUUUGCCAACCCACUUCUUGAAGUAAAUCAUGCAUCUCCAAUCUAUCGUCCUGAGUAAUGGUUAUAAGAGAUUUAUCAAUUAGAUUUUCUAUUCCGCUAACCAUAGAGAAGCCACAACUCUCUAAUAUUUUCUUUACAAAAGUUUGGCCUCUUCCUCUAAAGAAACAUGCAAUAUCUAGAAAUAUCUCUUUCUCAUUAUCCUCUAAUCCAUCAAAACUUAUUUGAAGCACUUCUUGAAUUUCCCCAUUAGAGAUUUUUUUCAAUUGAUUCAACUUAUCUGUCCAAUAGUCAGCAUUUCUAUCACACAAAGAACAACCCAAAACUUUGAGAGCCAAUGGAAGACCUUGAGCAUAAGAUGUUAUUUGAUCCAAGAGCUUCAUAACAUCUCUUGUAGGAGGUUUAUUUUUAAAGGCAUAAUAACUAAAGAGCUGAAUGGCAUUAUCAUCCUCUAAUUUUUGUACUUCAUAUACUGCAUCAACACCUUGCACAGUUAGAAGAUGUUUAUCCCUUGUUGUUAUAAUAACUCGACUUUGUGGACCAAACCAAUCAUGUCCCCCUACUAAUGUUUCUAACAUGGAUUGGUGAUUCACAUCAUCAAUAACAACAAGGACUUUUUUAGAAUGAAGUCUCGCCUUUAUUGAAGUGAGUCCCAUAUUUAUAUUUUUAUCCCCUAAUACCUUUGAAAGAAGUUCUGCUUUUAAAUUAUCCAUACUUGUGCUUUUUAAGCCUGCUAGAAAGCAAUAACCUUCAAAUUGACAUAAAACACGCUCAUAAAUAACUCUGGCAAGGGUUGUCUUGCCAAUGCCGCCCAUACCCCAAAUUCCUACCAUAAGAACUUUAGUUGAUUCAAGACACAAUAGUGACUCCAUUUCUCUUAUGCAACAAUUCAUUCCCACUAGAUUCUUCGCAUCACUUGAGGAUACACAAUUUAAAUCUUUGGAAAUAUCCGUGACAAUUUCUUCAAUAAACUGAGUCUCAGGCCUGCCAGUUUGAAGAACAAAUAAAAGUAGUUUGAUAACCCAUAAAUGUUGAAACAAUUGUAAGUAUGGCAAGACACAUGGUCUUGUUCAUUGAAACUUCGGAAAAGGGGAAAUUAAGCAUAAUAAGAUGAUCAAGAUAUAAUUGGUCAAAUUUCUCUUUGUGUUCUGUUAAGAACAAAUGUCAUAAAAUAACCAUCUUAAAUCUAUCAUAUCUAACCUAAUUUUCAUUUGUAUACAAAUAUGACAAGGUGCAUAACCAUAACUAAACAUAAAGAUGUAUUCAUGUACCUACUAACAAUCAGAUUUAUUAGAAAAGAAAAGGACAGAGACGAUGAAUUUUUGUCAAGAGUAUUAAUUAGUCACAGUUGCAAAAUACUUUUCAUCUUGUACAAGAUGUAUAAAGCACAAGAGUUCAAUGGUUUAUACAAUCAUCAACUCCUUUUUCAUUCACUUUUAUUUUUUCAAAUAUAAAAGGCAUGUAAAUCUACUCAUUGGUCUUCAACUUUUUAUCUCCUAAACACACCUAAAACCCUAUCCUAGUUCCUAUCUCCUUCCCACUCAACUUCUUCACUUUAAUUUUUUUCGCUCCUUCACCUUUUAUUCUUAUUCUUCUUCUCAUUUCCAUUAUAGAAAUAAAUACAAAAGCAAAACAAAAGAAGCAAAAAUGAAAGAUAGAAAUGAAAGGUGAAGAAGUGAAGAGAACUAAGAUAAAGAAGAUGAAGAGGAAGGAGAGAGGAAUCAGGGUUCGAGAGACAAAGAAGAUCAUAAGCUAUGAGUGUGUGUCUUUAUAUAUGAAUAUAUUGAGGAAAGGAAAAAAAAAAGAAGUAUAAAGGGAUGGAAGGAGACUACAAAAAGAAGUCCUCUUCUAGAAAAUCGGCUCUUACCUGUUAAAGGUGCCCUUCAAACAUUUAAUAUAACUUAAAAUUGUAUUUACCAUUAAUUUUACUAGUUUUCAUUAUAGUUUCAUUUCAAACUAUUCUUUUUUUCAUGUCUAAGCCUACAUAGUUGUCUUAACAAUCCUUAAUAUUUGAAAUUGUAUGGGUCAUAAUGUUUAAAAAUUAUUAAAGAAAAAGUCAUCCUAAAAUUCUUUUUAUAUAAGAACUUCUUAAACAUUGUAUACAGUGGGCCACCCCAUUAACCCAUCUAUUUACAAACAAGUCCAAAAUGGUUCUACCUUUCUAAGCGAGUUCCAAUAACUAGUAAUUCAGUUUGUCUGAGUGAAUCUCAAACUUUUAAUUAUUGAAUAAUUUAUGUAGGAAGAACCAUAUCAGUACUUAAGCCCUAAAUAUCAUAUUGAAUAAAAGUAUUUAAACAUAUAAAUAUAUAUUAAUCUAAAGCUAAAUGAUUUCAGCAAUUUUCUUUUCUUCCUUUACACUGUUCAAGAUCUAAACCAGUACCUAUGCCCUUAGUGUUCCAUAGACUGUCCAACGUAAGGGCUUUUCUCUUAAUUAUUUAUGAUUCAUAAUAAACCUUUAGAGCAAUAUAAUGAUGAUAAUAAUAAUAAUAGUAACAACAAUAAAUAAAUAAAUAAGGAGCUAAGCUUUAGAAAAUUACUUAUCACGAGAUGAAGUGAAUCCAGAUAUCUUGCCAACUUGGGUGAGAGCCUUCCUCCAUCUCUGCACCCUCUCCAUAUCAUACUUCAACUUCUUUUCAUGGUCUGCUUUCAACUUCUCUUCAUGGUCAGCCAAGGCUUUUCCGAAACUUCCCCUCUGGUUUCCAACAUCUGACGGAUUCACAUUGUAGAAAAUUGGCACAGCCCUCCGUUCUUUGGUAUUUUGGGACUGUAAUAUCUUCACCAGUUCAUCUAGGCACCACUUUGAGGAUGCAUAGUUUUCUGACAAAACAAUGAUGGAAUGUCUUGAUCCUUCAAUUGCUGUAACAAGUGCCGGAGUUAUCAACUCACCUCUUCUAAGCUGAUAAUCCAUAAAGGUCUCAAUUCCUUUUGCACGCAAGGCCUUAUAGAGAUGGUCAGUAAAAGUGUAGCGGGUAUCUUCUCCUCUAAAACUAAGGAACACAUCAAACUUCCAGUAAGAAAUAGUAGUAGUAGUAGAAGAAGAAGAAGAAGAAGAAGAAGAAGAUGCCAUAAUGGAAGAAGAAAAAUAGGCUAGGUUUAACAGAGAGAUCUAAGCUGUACAAACUCGAGUUAAUAGAUCUUGAUGCUAAAGAAGCCAACUACUUACGGACAGAUUCAUCGAGGGCCGGUUGUUACGUGUGUGAACACUCACAGAAUAUAUUAUGAUUAUUUUUUUCUUAAUUUUUUUUUUUUUUUUAAUGUUUGUUUUAAGAUGCCGUGGAUGACUUAAUUCAAUAAUAUUUUAUUAUUGUUAUAAUUAUACAACUCAAGAGGCACAUGAACCACCAAGUUGAAGUCCUUAUUCAAACAUGCCUGUGAUUAUUUAAGUUCAAGUAAUUUCUUAUCAUAAGCUCCAUUCACACAACAACUUAAAGAAAUCAAAUCCAUCUUAAAUUCAAUGAAUGGAACUAUCAAAAGCUCUUGUAGUUGUUAAACAUAGCUUCUAUAAUAUAUAUAUAUAGAUAUUCUUUAACAUCCAUCUCCUUAAUAUUCAUUUUGGUGGAAUUUCUUUUCUAAUGUGUUUUCAUAAACCGCACUAAACCAGAGACCCCUAUUCACAAAAGUUCUUGUGCCUAAGUAUGCUCAUUGUAAUCGGUAAAUAUUUUCAAAUUGUGAAACCAUUUUUCUUAAUUUGUUUAAUGCUUUGGAUCUUCUCAAUGACACAAAGACUUUCCGUGUGAGAGGGACAAUAGGUUAUUAAUACUAAAUACAAAGACUCUGUCAAGAAUAUAAAAUGGUUAUUUUCAUAUAUUUGUUUGAAGCAUUUGUUCAAAGAUGCUUGAAACUUUUUAAUAUAUUAAUGCUUAACUUCAAUUAGUCAUGUUAAAGCAUUUUUCUUAAUUUGUUUAAUGCUUUGGAUAUUUUCAAUGCUACAAAGACUUUUCGCGUGAGAGUAGGUUAGCAAUAUUAAAUACAAAAUACAAAGACUUCGUGAAUAAUACAAAAUGGUUAUUUUUACAUAAUUUUUUUGAAGCCUUUGUUCAAAGAUGCUUAGAAUUUUUUAAUGAAAUCAUGAUUUUAUAUAUACAUAAAACCGCGUUCAAAUGUUUGUGGCUUCUAAGAAACAUCAAUCUUUUAAAAAAAAUAUACGAAGCUUUGUAAACUCAUCUAACUUUCCAAUGCAACAAUUUGGUUUAAAUAAAUAAAAUUAAUUUUUUCAGAUCUCUUAAUGGGUAUUUGAUAAACCAACUUAAUAACUUAAAGUGACUUAAUAACUUAAUUUAAAUUAUUAAGUAAAUCAAAUAUAUUUGAUAAAAUAACUUAAUAAUAUGACUUAAAAUAAAAAAUAACUUUAAGUAAUAAAUAAAAACAAUUAACUUAUUUUUAAGUCUGUAUCUUUAUUUUACUUUUUUAUCUUCAUUUAUCCUAAUUACUUUUAGGAUCUCUUUAGUUACUCCAUGACCUUCAUUAUUACUCAAUCUCUUUUGUUCUAAUUAUAAUUUAUAAAGAUAGAUAUGUCAAUUUGAUAAUUUAGAAUAAAAUUUAAAUUAAUUUUAUCAAGUAACUUUAAUACUUAAAGUAAGAAUUAAGUAAUAAAUUUUAAGUAUGAGAAUUAAAUGUUUCAAGCCAACCUUAAUACUUAAUACUUUUCUACACAGCCAAAUCAUACAGCCACAGUAAAUGGGAAGGUUGCUUUCCUUUGCUUUAUAUGGAGUAUUUAACACAGUAGUCUACAAAAGCUUAAACGUUAAGACAUCUGUGGAAAAUCCUGUCAUUGACGGAUCUUUUUCCUAUUUUUUUAGGUUCCUGCCAACCUGGUGCUCUCUCGAACAAGGGUUUACAAGGGUUUUCAAGUCAUUCAUCCCGUCCUUGUUGCAUCCAAAAACCAUCCGGUAAGUCAUAUCGUCAAUAACGUCAGCAACCUUUGUAGUAAUAUCCACCACCUCUAGAGCUGCUGCCAUUUCUUGUUGUGACUGCACCAACAUCCCUAGCACCUCCUUCCUCAUUGAGGCAAAGGAAUUGAUUUUUGCAGUUCUAAGAAGCUCUACUGUACACAAUUUUCCCUAAAUCCCCUAGGUCAGGUCUUUGAAGGCUUGGAGUUUAGGCGGGCUGGCAAUGACAACAUGAUUCAUGGGUUUUGAGGAAUAGCUUGUUUAUUUGGGGCGAUGAGACUAUGAUUGUUGGAACACACCCAGAUCGCAUAAACAUGAUGGGGCCAUACUUCUUGGCUAACCGACUGAGGUUGGGGUGAGGAAGAUUUCCCAGCAAUAAUCGGAAACUCCUGGAGACUGGGUGGUAGUUUCCGGAAUUCAAUGGGGAGUAACCCACUCAUUUAAAAAGUUCCUAAACCAGAAAAUAAAUUGGAACAAAAUUAUCAACAAACAGAAAAUAUAUAUAAAGGUAUAAAAAAAAUAGUAGAAUAAUAACAAUAUUGUUUAAAAUAACAAUAUUAUUUUAAACAAUGUGUAUAAAUAUUAUUGACAAUUUAUGUAUUUUUUUAAUUUUCAUUCUCAAUUUUAUUUAACAUUAAUUUAUGAAACAAAUUAUCAUUUCCACCUUACAUUUCUAUAUGUAUUUAAAUACAAAAAUUAAAAUUAUUAAAUUCAUUUUUAUUCAAAAGAGAAUAAAAUAGAAAGAAAAUAUCCAUUCUCAUUGUUUAUUCCAUGCACCAAACAUGCCCCACAAGGAAAAAGGAGGGAGUUGGUCAGAGCACAUGCGCAUCAAAAUCAAAGCAAGAUGGUUGAACAAUCUUCACAAAUGAACAAUUAACAUUCAUUGGCUCAUUUAAGUAUUAAUAUGUCCUUAGAAUAAUUAUAUCGUGCACUCAUAAUAGUAUUUUUUUUUUAUAGAUUCUAUGUAUCGGUCUCAAUUUAUUUAUUAAAAAGCAUUAUGAUAUUAUACAAUCAAGCAUCUUCCAACAAGUGCUUGAAAGAACUAAAAGGAAAAAGGAGUUGGUGAGAGCACAUGGGCGUCAAAAGCAAGGACAAAAAUUUUGCUAUUACCGAUAUAUCAUGUAUCGGGACCUAUGGGAACGAUAUCGAGUGGAGAAAUGUCAAUCAAGCAAAAUUUUAGGAAAAAUCGCCAAAAUUUGUCUAUAUGGUGAAAAAUCAAUGAUAUUUCCCAAAAUUUUACAAAUGGUCAAUGCUCCAAAAAUGGCUUAUAGUGCACAACUGGGCCAACCACUAGAGCAACUUCGUCCCUUAGUAAAUAUGUUGCACCAAAUAUAUAUAUAUAUAUAUAUAUAUAUAUAUAUAUAUAUAUAUAUAUAUAUAAAAGUCAUUACAUAAACAAAAUCUAAAAUGAAUAUUUUAAGAAACUUAUUAAUUAUAAUUAUUUUAUAAUUAAAUAAAAAAAUUUAUUUAAUUGAUUACCAAAAAUAUAAAAAUUAUUAUGAUAGUUUUCUUCACAGUGUAUUUAAUAUCAUUAAGAUAUUAAUUAAAAAUUUUAAAAUUAUACAUAUAUCAUCAUUUAUUUUAUAUCAUUUAAUAAGUAAAUUAAGUAGAUUAUAAUUUUAAUAUUAAAUAUAUUUUAAAAUUAAACAUAUUAUAAUUAAAUAUCACAAUAUUAUUAUGGAAUAAUAUUUGAUGCAAUUUAAUAAUAAAUAUAUACUUGAAAAAUUCAUUUUUUUUACGCAUAUAAUAUUAUUAUCAAAUAUGAUAAAUUAUAUCAUUUAUAUAUUAAAUUUUUUAACAAAACAACUUUAAAAUGUCUAUUAUACUUUUAAUUAUAUUUUAUGAAAUUUAUAUAUAUAUACCAUGAGUUUUAAUCAAUUUUAGGUUUACCGAUAUAUCUCCAAUAUAUCUUUAAAAUCGAAGUGUCAAUAUACUCAUAAUUAUCGAUAUUUUCAUCCUUAGCCAAAAAUAAGACAAAAGGAAUAAUGUACUUUUGAAUAGGUGUUUCAAACAAAUAAAAACAGAGAAAAAAACCAAUUCUCUUUUACAGAGUUUAGUGGGCAACUCGAUCUCACGCCUAUCAGAGACCAAACCAAAAAAGACAUGACCAAAUUUUGUAGCCAUGCAAUCCCUUAGCAACCGAAAAAGGUAUGCCCAAAUUUUGUAACCAUCGUGUCUUACCCGCAAGACCCACAAAAAAGAUUUAGGGGGUGGGUCUGAAGUUGAUGUCGAUGACUGUUAUUGUAAAAUACAUUUCCGUGUAUUGGGUCUGAAGUUGAUGUUUUCAUUAUAAAAAUCAAAAUAUGGUAACAACUAUAAAUUUAAUUAUUGUUUUAAUGUCAGGGUUACAUGAUUCUCCUUCAUUUCACACGGAAUUGAUUUUCACGUGUCUUUCCGCUUUGCCCACUGAUCUGAAACUUCCACCUCUUUUCGCAAUUUUUUCCGAGUCAAAUUCGCGUGGUCUCUUUAUCUGUUCCUGAGACUAUCCUUUAUACAUGUCUAUUUCUUAAACCACCCUUCUCCAGGAGUCUACUUUCGCCUACUCAAUUGAAUCUUGGUUUCUCCAUCGCUAGAUAUUUUGCUUUGUGAACAAAUUUCAACCAUUCAUUUAUCUCGCCUCUCUCGGCAACUCAUCACUGAUUCUCUUCUCUUUUUCUUUCUGAGUUUUGUUUCUGUGAUCUCCUACAAGCCAUGGAUUGUAUAAACCCAAUCCUUGAUGUUGCCAUCACUGCCACACGUGCAGCUCAUGGCACCGGUCUGCCAGAAACCCUUGAAUAUUUGAGAGACGCCAUGGUGAUCCUGAAGCACAAGGCUAAUGAUGUGAAGGCCGCGGUGGAUUAUGCUGAGGAAAACCGCAAGAUGCGACGGACACAUGAAGUGAGUAACUGGCUCCUCAGUGUAGAAGUCUUGGAAAAGGAAGUGAUGGAGAUACUGCAGAAGGGUGAUCGGGAAAUCCAGCAGAAAUGCCUCGGAACCCGCUUUCCCAAGAAUUACCGGUCAAGCUACAAGAUCGAGAAGAUAGCAAGUGAAACGAUUGGUGUUGUCACUGAACUGAGGCACAGAGGCGAUUUCAGCAUUGUGGUUAUUAGGCUGCCUAGAGCUGAUGUGGAUGAGCGGCCAAUGGAGAAGACUGUGGGCUUGGAUCGGAUGUAUGCAGAGGUUUGCAGAUGCAUCCAAGAUGAAGAACCGGGAAUUAUUGGAUUGUAUGGUAUGGGGGGUACCGGGAAAACUACCCUCAUGACCAAAGUGAAUAAUGAGUUCUUAUGCAUUCAUGACUUUGAAGUAGUCAUCUGGGUUGUAGUAUCCAGGCCAGCAACUGUGGGAAAAGUACAAGAAGUUAUUCGCAACAAGUUAGACAUCCCGGAUGAUAGAUGGGGAAACAGAACUGAGGACGAAAAAGCAGUAGAAAUUUUCAAAAUCUUGAAGGCAAAAAGGUUUGUGAUGCUGCUAGAUGAUGUAUGGGAGCGUCUUGAUCUCAAAAAAGUGGGGAUUCCUUCACCCAAUUCCCAAAACAGGUCCAAAGUAAUAUUAACAACCCGCUCUCGGGAUGUUUGUCGGGAUAUGGAAGCUCAACAAAUCCUUGAGAUGGAGCGUUUGACACAAGAUGAUGCCAUUAAUUUGUUCAUGGAGAAGGUUGGAAAGACUACUCUAAAUUCACAUCCGGAUAUACCCCAACUCGCUGAAAUUGCUGCUAAAGAAUGCCAAGGCUUACCACUUGCACUUGUUACUAUUGGGCGAGCUAUGGCUGGCAAGAACUCUCCACAAGAAUGGGAGCCAGCAAUACGAAUGUUGAAGACUUAUUCAUCAAAGUUUUCAGGUAUGGGAGAUCAUGUAUUUUCGGUUCUCAAAUUCAGGACCUGUAAAAUGACACCAUCAAGGCGUGUUUUUCAUAUCUUGCUAUAAUAUUGGGAAUGAAAUUCUUAUAAGCUUGUUUCCUGUGAUGUUCAUCUCUCUACUGCUCUCUCAGCUUCCACGGCGGCUCCUUUUGCUUCUUCUCAAUGGAGUUAUGAUGUGUUCCUUAGUUUUAGAGGAGAAGACACCCGCUUUACCUUUGCCGCUCAUCUCUAUGUAGCCUUGCACAGGAGAGGAGUCAACACUUUCUUUGAUGACCACAAAAUUAGGAGAGGCGAAUCCAUAUCUCCAACACUCGUAAAAGCAAUUGAAGGAUCAAGGUCUUCUAUCAUACUUCUCUCUCAAAACUAUGCCGGUUCAAGUUGGUGCUUAGAGGAACUAGUCAAGAUACUGGAAUGCAGGAAAACCAUGGGACAACUGGUUCUGCCCAUUUUCUACAAUGUGGAUCCAUCAGAUGUGCGAAGACACAAAGGGAGCUUUGGAGAGGCCUUGGUUAAGCAUGAAAAUACUUUGAAGCAUGAUAUAGACAAGGUGAAGAAUUGGAGGGAGGCCCUUAGUGAAGUUGCCAAUUUAGCUGGCUGGAAUUCACAGAAUAAGUAAGUUUCCUCCCCCCCCCCCCUCUUUUUUUAGUCUUUUCCUUUCCAUGUUUACCUCUAAUUGUUAUUUUUGAAAUUUCCAAUUUAACCCUUGUUUGGUAACUAUUAUCAACUGUUGAGAGAAUAAUUUUUUGUUUUUAAAAACAAGAAAUACAUUGUUUUUUGAAAAAUCUUUUAGGAUUGUUUGUUUACUAAUUUUUUUAAAUAAUUUUUUAUUCUCUAAAACAUAAAAAAGGUUUGACAACCAAAAAACAAAAAAUAUUAUGCUAUUCUUAAAAACAAAAAAUUAAGAUGUUUUCAAAUACAAUAAUUUAGCUAUUCUAAGUUAUUUUCACUUUUUUAGAACUAUUUUAAAAAAAUAAUUAUACAAAUAUGAAGAAUAAUUAAAAAUAAAACACUAUAUGUUAAAGUUAUUUUUGAAACAUAUUUAAAAUAUAGAAAAUAAAUUAAAAAUAUUUCAAAUUCCAAACAGGUUUUUGUUUUAUAGAAUACUAAAGAACAAUUUUAAAAAAUAUUCUCAAAAACUUAUUUUUAAAAUUGUUUUAAAAAACAUUUCACAAAUAGAGUCUUAGUACAUUGUUUUCAACUGAUUUUUCUAAGGGUUAUUUUAAAAUAUAUUUAUACAAAUAGGAAAAAUGAUUGAAAAUAAAAUAUUUAGGAUAAAAGUUACUUUUAAACUAUAUUCAAAAGAUAGAAAACAUGUUUAAAAUAUUUUAAGUCCUCAAAUAGAGUUUUUCUAAACAAAACAUCAUUAAACAAUUUUUAAAAAUUAUUUCUAAAAUCAACAUUUCUUAAAUAAAUUCUUAUACCUUGUUUGGUAACUAUUUUCAAUAACAUUUUCGGAAAACAGUUUUUUAUGAUAGUUUUUGAAAAAAUUUCUUUGAUGUUUUAUUCAGAAAAAUUAUGUUUAUUUCUAUAUUUUAAAAAUAAAUUUUAUAGUAAUACUUUAUUUUAAAUCAUUCUUGUUAUUUGUAUCACUAUUUUUUUUUAAAAAAGCCCUAAAAAAUAAAUUAAAACAACCAAAAUAUGUUAUACGAAAACAUCUUAUUUUUUAUUUUUAAGAAUAAAAAAUAGUAUUUUUAAUUUUUGGCUGUGAAAUAUAUUUUCCUGUUUUUGGUUCUGAAGUAUGGAAAAUUGUUUAUGAAAACAAUUGCCAAAUAAGCUUAUUUUCCAUUUUGUUUAGACAUAAUAUUUAAAAUUCUCAACAAACAUUCAAUAACGCAUGAAAUUGGAAUGUGACCCAUUAUAUUUUGAUUACCUUGUUAAUUUAUACUUAAGUAGAAUUAAGCGCAAUCUUUUUUUCUUUAUUUUCACUAACUUUUAAUGGAUUCCUAGGCUUACUACAUGCAUCUGCAUAAUACCUGGCAGGUCUGAGCCUACGUUUCUCAAGGAAAUCGUCAUUGAUGUUUUGAAAAGAGUGUUUGGAUUAUCGGCAGGUGAUGCUAAGGCAAUAGUAAAAGAAGAUUCCCGUAUACAAAACAAGGAAGUGGUACCAGGUCCACACUCAACCACUGUUCACAUUGCAGGACAGUCUGGCAUAAGUGCUAGAGGUAGGAGACCACCCAUUGAAAAUGUUGGGGAAGAAUUAAUUGACUCAGACUCAGACUCAGGAUAUGAUGACGUGGAAUCCAUAUUAACAAAAGUAUGGACAAAUUUAUGAGAACAAGAGAGUGAAAUUUAUAUUUUUCCUUUUGUAAAUCAAGUCAGUGCUGUUGAUCAGUAAAACAAAACCUAUAAAUGUGAUAGUAAUGGUGGAGUGAAAGUUGUAAUCAGGAACGAGUGUGAUGAUAGUACACAUAUUUAUUUUUGUAAAAAAAAUAAUAUUAAAUUAGUUAUCUUGACAAUGAGUUUUUAUAUUUUAACAUAUUUAAAAAUGUGUUAAAUUAUUAAUUUUAUCAAAUUAUUACUUUCUAAUAUCAUAUUGUAAUUAUAUAAAAUAAUUUUCAUAUACUUUUAGAGCAAAAAUAAAGAAAUAAAGUUAACACUAUUUAUAAAUCAAUAAAAACAAAUCUAUGUAAAAUAGUAUAUGUGUUUGUUUUUAUAUAGAAAUAUGUUAUUAGUCUAUAUUUAGUAUGUUUAAAUAUAUAAAUUACACAAAUAAAUUGUUUUUUUUUACUAUUAUUGACAUUUAUAGAACUAAUAAAAUUAAUUUAAUAUAUUUAAUGUAGCUCAUUAAAUUCAAAAAUUUUCUAGCUAUUUAAGGACAUUACAUUAAGAAAAAGAACAAGAAUUAAUAAAAGGAAGAAUUAUGUUUUGGGGGUAGAUGGGCCCCCAAAUUAACAAAAGGUUCAUAUAACUCUUCAAAUUGAGUUGAAGGAUAUGAAAUAGUAACGGACAAAUAUACCCUUUAAGAACACAUAUAAAAUAUUUUAUAAAAUUAAGUUAAAUAAUUUUUUUUCAAUAAUUUUUUUUCAAAAAUACUAAAUUAAAUAAAAGUAGUUUUCAAAAAUAUUAAAUUAAAUAAUUUUUUUUCAAAAAUAUUAAAUUAAAAUUUUUUUUUCAAAAAUAUUAAAUUAAAUUUUUUUUCAAAAAUAUUAAAUUAAGUUAAAGUAUUUAAAAAAAAAUAUUAAAUUAAAUAUUUUUUUAAAAUAUUAAAUUAAAUGAAUUUAUUUUUAAAAAAUAUUAAAUUACAUAAAAGUAUUUUUUUUAAAUAUUAAAUUAAAUAAAAAAUAUUAAAUUAAAUAAAAGUAUUUUUCAAAAAUAUUAAUUUUUUUUCUCAAAAUCAACAAAGAGCAUUUUUGGAAAUACUGAAGGAUGAUAUCCUUCAACUCAAUUUCCAUACUUUCAUUGGGUCUUGGACUCAAUUUGAAGAGUUACAUGAACCUUUUGUUAAUUUGGGGGCCAUCUACCCCCAAAACAUAAUUCUCCCUUAAUAAAAUAUAGAGAGCAAGAGUGAUGGGCAUGCCAUCAAUUCAUUAUUACCACUAUUUUUUAUUUCAUCUCUAUAAUGAUUCCACCAAGUGAUUGCGCUUUUUAUUAUUUUUAUUUAUUUUUUCUGAGAUGGAUGCUAGUGACCUAUAUAUAUAUAUAUAUAUAUAUACAAUACCUCAAUGAUUGCUUUUCUUUUCUUUUUGCUUUCUCAUAUGAAAUUGUGAUUGAUUCUUUUUGCCAUUCAGUUUUCAUUUGAUAAUAUUAAGGUAAAUUCAUAAUAUUUCAACAAACAUCAGAAUUUUUUUUUCUACCAUUUCUUUAUGAAAAAUUAAAAUAGGCAAUAGCAACUAGCAGCAAUAAAUAAAUAAACUCAUACAAUAGAAAAAUAAAUUAGACAUUAGAAUUUUUAGAUGAAAAACCCCAAAAUGCAAAGGAAAAAACCACAGGACCUAGUUCAGUUCAAGCUUCCACUAUCAACAAUAAUGGGUUAUACUUGUCUUUUCUAAAAUAAUCUCUAGAGGCUACCAAAUACAUCAAGAGUACAUAUAACCUUGGAUUAUACAAUAUCUCUUAGCAAAAACAAAGAAGAUUGGAGAAAGUAUACAAAAAAAAAAAAAAAAUCAUUAUUGUUCACGGGCAGUAACAUCAGUUCCCGAACUCAAAAUCUAAUCUCCACCGUUCAGAUUGUAGAUACUUGAGUUUCAAACCUCUCCUCCAAAUUUCAACUCGAUUGGACCACAGAUGAAGUAGGAUCGGCUUGUUGAUAGAAUCUGGGCAGAUGCGUUUUUCUUCUCUCUCUUCUCUUCUCUUUUUUUUUUCCUUUUUUUCCUGAUCUUAUUUUUUUUAUUAAUGUAACUAACUUGGUCCCCAAGCAUAUGGGGCCCACUCCCUCACAUACAAGGGAGCCCAACAAAUCUCCCUCUCCCGACUAUGUGAGGGGCUAUACCAAGCCUGCUUGCUUUCAACAAAAUUGUAGUUUCUCUAUAGGUAUUGGUUUUAUCAUCAUAUUUGAUCCAUUCUCAUUAGUAUGGAUUUCUCAAGGCAAAACAAUUUCUUCUCUAGUGCAUCAUGAAUCCAAUGCUAUCUCACAUCAAUAUGCUUGUGAAAAUUCUGGAACCUCUUUAAGGUUUUCCUGGCUAUCAACAAUAUUUCCUACAAUAAUCCUAUUGAUUUGUUCUUGGAAGUCUAAAAAACCUUUGCUUGUGAAUUGUCUUAAAUCCUUAAUUUCUUUCUUAUACUGCCUUACUUCAUCUUGAAGAUCCUUAAGGGUUACGUCUUUGGUAGACUGCUGGUUAAAUCUAGUUAAGAUUUCACUUAAUUUAUAAGGAUUUACUAUCAUCUUAACUUCCUGCUUACUGACAAAUUUCUUAAGGACAUCAUAAAGGUCUUGCUUAGUUUUUUCAUCUUCAACUUUCCUUAAAACAUCUAGGACAAGUUCUUGAGCUUGGCUAAUGACAUUUAUAAUCUUAGGUUGGCAAUCACAAUUACCCUUAAUGCAUUCUUCUUGGUCACUAGAAGUUUGGCUUGAGAUAUCCUCACCACUACUAUCGAGUUGGUUAAUAUCAUCUUCAUUAUCUGAAUUAGUCCUUGAUUCAGACUCUAUGGAGUUUAACAUUACUUUACAAAUCAUAUCUUUUAAGUCUUUUGCUACAUUUAAGUUAUUAAUUUUCUACUUAACCCUACAAUUUUUCUUAUAGUGGCCUACUUUACCACACAUAAAACAAGCUAGCUUAACUUCUGAAGGGGCUUCUAGCUUUUUCUGGGCUUCUUUGUUCAUCCUUCUUUAGAUGUGCCUUUGUCUCUUGGUUUCAUUCAUCCUAUAGUUGCCAUGAGUUCCUCGCUUACUGUGAUAAAACUUUUCCUUACUAGGCUUUCUACUUAUUUGUUUCUUACUUUGCUUAGAGGGGGGCUUAGUUUCUUUAGGUUGAAUCCAAACUAGCUACAGAAUGAACCAAACUCAUUCUUGUAGAUCCUUUGUUCAUUUUUCAUCUGUUGCUUAAGCUUAAAGUCAUUGCAUAGUUUAAUUCUUUUAGAUGUGACAAUGCUUAUAAUUUCACCAUAAGUAAGCUUAUCAUAAGGUAUUUGUCCAUUAAACUGUUCCCUUAUCUUAAUCCUAAUUUUCUCAGAGAAAAGUCUAGGUAGUUCUGAGAUGAAUUUUUCUUUCUAAAAAGACUGGUUACAGUCUGAUCUUAGCAUGAAUUUGGUUAAGAAAACUUCUUUAUACCAUCUAAAGUCAUGAAGCUUGGGACACUUAAGGUUGGUUAAAAGAUUUGCAGUCUUAUCCUUAAUCUUUGUCAAAUCUCCAAUGAAGUGUUUUGAAAUAGAAUAUAUUAGAGUAGCCACUACAUCCUCUAUAUCUUGACCAUAUUCGUCCUUAACCACUUCAUUAUCCUCAUUAAUCCUAUAGGCUUUUAGGAUACCAUUUCUAUCCUCAAAAGUGAGAUAGUUAUCCCACCAUCCCUUAAGUUGACCUGUAAACCCAACAACACUUGUCUGAACUACAACAUGGUCUGACAAUCUAUUGUUUAACUUAUAGGUUGUACUAACCAUGGUCAUUUCUUGAAGCUUAGUGAGUAUGUUAUACUCAGUCAUACCAUCUAUGUUCCUUUCAUAGAUAGUGCCACUAGUAUACAAAGCUUGAGUAUACUGGUUUCUUUCCUCAUACUGCAUGUCAGGAAAGGUUGGUCUAGGGUAGUAAUUCCUAGAUCUUGGUAGUAAUUCCUAGAUCUUGGUAGUAAUUCCUAGAUCUUGGUAGUUCUUGGUUAUUGAUAAUCCUCAUAACAAUCUGGUUAGGAGGUUCCUUAAAAAUCUUAAUUAGUUCAUCAACCUCUGCUUCAGAACUAAUUUCUCUUUUAACCAUAUUGAUUCUCCUAUGAGAAGGCUAAGGUGUCUCACGGACAACAAGGUUUUCCUUAACCUUUUGGCUUAUCCUAUCAAUAAGGGCUCAAUCAAUAUGGGGAUUCUCUAGAAAUUUCUUAUAGAAUUCAAAAGGCUUAACUAAAGGCUUAUUAUAUUUCUUAACAAACGUAGCCUUAAUGUGGUCUUAUGUUUCAAUGAUCUCCUCAAACCUGUUGAGUUGAUUGCCUAUGGUCUUAAGAAACAUGUUAGUGUAGUUGUUUUGUUCCAUGAUUCUUCUAACGUCAACAGCACUAGCAGUUCCUUUAUCAUUUGACUUAGUCUUAAAAGGUGAAGCUUUGACUAUGGUGCCAUUAAUGUUCUUUUCUAUCUUAGCUUCUAGAUGAUGGAUGGAUUCUAUGACAGUAUUGUCACUAGUUUUCCAUAUCUUAGUUUUUGUUGAUGUGUAAUUGACACGCAUACAAGGAUAAUCUGGAUGUUGAUCUUGUUUGAAGAGUUAAAACCAGAUCCAAUACUUAAUGUUCUUUUUUUCUUGUCUUAAGUAUGUGUAGAAUUCUUCUUGGUAAAGGGUUCUAGUAUCUUUAGGGACCUUGCUAAAGAACCAAACUCUCCUUUGCUUGUUGACUUCAUAAUAAAAGUCUUUCCUUAAGAGAUCCUUGUUGAUCUCAAAGUUCUCAUCACUUAGACUUAAAGUGUUAAUCAAUUGGGAAUAAGUAGGAGACAUGUCAGAAGAUUCAUCCUGAUGUGAUUCCUAAGUAGACUCAUUUUCCUCAGUAUAAAAAGUUCUGGCCAAAUUGGUGUGACUUCUAACACCUAUUAGCUUAAUGUUCUUAAGAUUUGCUAAAUUGGAUCCUUCUUCUAUCCUGGUAGUUCUUAUUGGGAUAGAUGGACUUGAAGCUCUAGAGGGCUCAUAAUCUGGAAUUUUAGGGCUACUAGAAUGACGGAAAGAGUUGGAGAAAAUCAUAUCUCCUCCUCCAUUAGAAUAUUGAACAAUCUAUUCAAUCCUUUCAGAUCUCUGCUCUACAACUGGAACGACAUUAGCAAAAUGCCAAUUUUCUGGAAACUCAACCUCAUCCACUUGAUUUUCAUGGGGACUAUGAAAUUAGACUUGUUUAUCAUAUCAGAGUAGAAGAGAGUGGUCUCACCCUUAGGACUAGUGCACAGUGCUCUAUAUCCAACGCUUGUGGUCAUGCUUUUAUAGGCAAACCUGGUAAUGAUGAAAACAGGAUUGUUUCCUGGCUUGAACUUAAAGUCAUGGGUCUUAACAUGAAGGACAACCGAAUCUAAGAUAUCGACAUCUCUUAAUCUAACUAUGAAGUUAGGAAAACAAUGGAAAUAAACAGGACCAUCAUUUAAUCCUGCUUGGACAGCUCCAAUAAUAGAAUCUCAGUAAACAAGAUGUUUAUUAUCCCUUAAACACAUGACAAUAGAGGUGUUUAGACCUAAUCUUGUUAAAGGCUUAGCUGCAACUUGAAUCAUACCAAAGUGUAUGAAGUUGUAAUCUCGCUUAUGUUUCUCAAUGGACUUGCUAUCUAAGAGUCUUAUGACUUGAUCAUCGUAUUCUAAACUUACUGACAUUUCAGAGGUCUUGAUGGUGUAGUCUGUGAAUAACUUAAAGGUUUCUUUCUUAUAAAUUUCUUGAUUAGGUAACUUGGGUAACUUCCAAUUAUCCAAAUCAUUUUGGAUCUUAGGAUAAUUGAUCUCUUCACUGUUUACUACAGCGUCUUGAGAACCUGUGGAUUUCCUAUACAUGGUUCUGAAAAUCGAACUCAUUUUAAGGUUUUAAUUUAGAGCCCAAUAGCAGAUUAACAGACCUGAUGAGACGUCUUCCCAAGCCUUUUCGAGCCCUAACAAACGUCUAUCCACGGUUAACAACUGGCUCAACCCGACAGGAAUCGCGCUCCUCGGCACACUACUACCUUUCCUAGGAUAGAUCAAAACACCUAAAACAAACCCGAUUUUCCUUCCCGUGGCUCAGAUACCAUAGACACCCAGGAUGAGGUAAUAUGCAAUGAAAAUAUGAAUUAUGCUAAAAUUCAAAACAAAGAAGAGAAAUCAGAAAAUACACAAGAUAAUUAACCAAAUAAAUUUACAGAAAAUGAACCACAAACUUUAUUUACAUAAUUUGAAAACCAUCCAUGAUAGGAGGUAGAAUAAAAACGUAAAACAUACUUAUAGUAAGGAGAAUAUCUUACAAUGGGAGAAGGGAGGAAAGCUUUGCUUGAGAGCUUACAUGAAAGGUAGGAGAGAGAGAGAGAGAGAUUUGGAAGUGCAAAUAACCGGUGCUUACAACUGAGGAUUGAACCUCUUUAAAUAGAAAAAAAAUGAAUAUUAAAUAGUACAAAUUAGGAUACAAAGCACUAUUUGCUUUUGAAACCCGUGCAUGAAUAGUAAUCCCAUGAGUGAAUAGUGAAUAGUGAAAAAGUGAACAGUAAAAGUCGCUUUCUACUAUAGCACUUUAGACUUUUUCACCGAGAAUCUUACUUUCGGCUGAGUGAUAGCUGACAGGCUGUUUCUGGACUGUAGAGUCACAUGUUUGAUGUUUGAGCUGGAGCAUAUUCUUAUCGGUAGAGCAUCACGAGGAAUUUGCUUAGGGUAAAAUGUAAUCCUUACGAUGCUCAUCCAAGAGCUUGACAUCUUCAGUAACAAACUUAGUUGGAAGAGGAUCCAUUCUUUUACUGUAGAAGAUCUGAUGAAUAGGAUUUGCGGCAAUGAGAUAUCCCAUGUUCUUUGGAUAAGCUUCAAAAUCUCUGCUAAUGAUUCUGGCUCUCCAAUGCUUGAUUUGAUUAGUAAGGGGUUCAACACAAAUAUCUAUAAAUUGCAGAGGACAGGAUAACAAUGUUGGUCUUCUAUUCUAGUAAUGCAGUGAAACAAUGUAUUGAGCUGGAAGAAGAUUGCCAUUAGAAAUCCACUCAGGAGUUUUGCUGAUGAUGAUGGCGUCAACGAAUUUCUUGUUCAUUUUAAAUCCAUGAGUUAGACCAAGUGCUAUCUUUCUUCCAAACUUUGAUGCUUGACUUGGAUCUGGGCAUAUGAUUUGAUGAACUAAGCCAUAAUCCAGAAGUAAUUAUGGAGUUAGGAUUAAUUCCUCAUUCUUAAAAGGAAGGCUAAUUGGCAUGUAAUAUUGCAAAUCAAGGCAUACACGGCUGAUUACGAAAUUUUUGUUGCAGUUGCAAAGAAUCUUCUUGAUGCCUUGUUGGUACUGAAUAGAUUCUUUGAUAGUUCUACAAAGUUUAGAAUCAUCAAAUUCUCUGUCCAUGACCAAUUUUAACCCAGGGACUAGAAGACUAAUAGUGGUUGAGAGAUAGAUGUGAAGAUCCUGGAGGUAUGCUGAGAUGAAAACUUGUUUUUCUUCAACUGAAGCUUUGUUUUUUCAUAGAUUAGAAAACGUAGGUCUUGCUUAAGAGGGUACAACUUUUCUCUCUUAUGGAAAUACAUCCUUAGCUUAAAGUAAUUCCACUCAUCCUCACUCAAUUUUUUUUCAUCCACCAGUGGGGUGGACUGCUUAUUCUCACUAUUUUCCAAUGGGGAAAAUGAGGCUUGGACUUUUAACAUGAGCUGAUGAAAGUCAACUAUUUCUAGUUUCCUUUCUAAAGUCUAACAUCUUUCUUACAAAUCACUAAUACACUUGAUAUAAUCAGAUAAAGGGUUAGUAUUAUUAAAAGAUGGAUUUGUGGGGAAGGAAUCCUCCAUAGAAGGUAGAGAACCCGAACUUGAAGCUUUAUCCCUACUAGGGGAUGCUAAAGGAAUAAGAUGUUUGGAGUAGCUGCAAGAACCUGCUACUUCAAAAUGUUCAUAAUAGAGCGGCAUGAAUUUCUCAGAAAAAGCUUAAUGGGAUUUCUUAGAAUCUGGAGAUUUCUUAAAGGGCUUAAGAGGUUGUUUUUCUUUUUUGGGGGGCAUGUUCUUGUGAAUCCUGCAAAAAUUCACGAGUUAGGAAAUCAGGGAUUGAGUUAUUUUCUCAUUUAAUAUACUCAAUUUGAAAAUCAAAAUUGCUUAAAAUAGCUUGCCAUCUAACAAAAUAUGCUUAGAAGCUAUAUUUUUAACAUCAUUUAGUAAAACUGAUUUUGCAUAUUUGCAAUCAACUCUUAAUAAAAAUUCUUGAUUCAAAAUAUCAUAUUGAAACUUUGAAAUGCAUAAAACAAUGCUUAAAAUCUCUUUUUUAAUGGUGCUAUAGUUGAGUUGAGCAUUAUUACAAGUUCCUAAAGUAUAUCUAACCAACAUCUCUUGGUUAUCAAUCCUUUGCUUAAGAAUACCACCAUAACCAAUGUUUGAGGCAUCAAUCUCAACAAUCUUAAAGGCUUUUGGAUCAACUAAGACAAGACAUGGUAGGGUCUUGACUCUAGACUUGAUAGUUUUGACAAUCUUGGUAUGAUCCUCAUUCCAAGGUAUUGGGUUUUUCUUAAGUCGUUGUCUUAAAGGGGCACAAAGCUAGCUUAAAUCCUGAAUAAAGUCUGACACAUAAUUAAGGCUUCCUAAGAAACGUUGCAAUUAUUUCUUAUCCUUAAUCUCAUCAGGAAACUUAUUAGCAAACUCUAUUGAUCUUUGAAUGAGAGUAAUUGUUCCUUGGUGAAUAUGAUGUCCUAGGAACCUUAUCUUAGUCUGGAAAAGGUUAAUCUUGGUGGUUGAUAAGCUUAAACCAUUACUUUUAACUGUCUCAACAAACUUAUUGAGAUGUUUCCAAUGCUGCUCAACAGAGUCAGAGUAUACCAAAACAUCAUCAAUGUAGACAAUGAUGAAAUCAAAAAACUGGUUAAAGAUAUCAUUCAUUAUAUUCUGGAAUUCUAAAGGAGCAUUCUUAAGGCCAAAGGACAUUACGUUCCAUUCAUAAUGUCCAAAGGAAACCACAAAGGCUGUCUUAUACCUAUCUUUUUCAGCAAUCUGGAUUUGCCAAAAUCCUGAUUUCAUGCCAAACUUAGAGAAGACUUUGGACUUAACUAACCUUUGAAGGAGGUAUUUCUUGUUUGGAAUAGGAUACCUAAUCCAUCUUAAUGCAUCAUUAAGAGGUUUAUAGUUAAUGACUAGUUUAGGUGUUCCUUUUUCUAAUUCAGCUUGUUUCUGAACAUAGAAGGCUAAACAACUUCAAGGGGACUUAGACUUUCUUAUCAACUUCUUGUCAAGAAGAUCCUGGAUCUCUUUUUUACAAUAGCUUAACAAAUCCUUAUUCAUCUGGAUUGGUCUUGCUUUAGUGGGAAUAUUUUUCUCACUAAAGUCUGGUUCAUAAGGUAAUUCUACCUCAUGAUAUUUCCUAUGCCAAAACGCAUUAGGAAUGUUAGAGCAAACUUCUCCAACAAUCUUAUCCUUAAAUCUUUCUAUUGCAUCUUGAGUUUUCUUAAUUUUCAAUUGAUCUUCUAUUCUAAUCAGAUUAAUCUCCUAUUUUAAGAGAUUGACAUGAUUUUCUUUGGCUCUUAUCACUUAAUCCCUUAAGGUAUUUAUACUCCUUUCACCAGAUGGAUUGGUAAAUUCAAAAAGAAUUUCCUUAUUUAAAAGCUUUGUCCUUAAACCUUGCUCAUCUACCCACAUGGGAAAGAUAGAGCCUAAAAAGGGGCUUCCAAGGAGAGCUUUUUCCUUAAGAUCCUUAACUAGGAUGAAAGUUUGCUUAAUACAAAAUACCUUGGUUACAAAUAUGAGCAUCUGGCAACUUAUACGUAAUAGCAAGUCUUUUACCAUUAGCUCCAAAAAGAUUUUUUCUUAUUUUUUCAUUAAGUUGAGUACGUACUAGACCUUCUUGUAGGCAAUUCAAAGCUGCUCCUGAAUCAAUCAAAGCAACAAUAUCAAUGGCAAAUUUAUUCUUAAUUACUAUAGUAAGAGAGACUUCCCACCUUUAGAAAAUAACCCUACUAAUAGUAUUCAAGUAUACAUCUGCCUCUUCAUUAUUAGCUUGUGAAGAUUCUGGAACGUCUUCAAGGUUCUCCUCAUUAUCAACAAGAUUUCUUACAAUAAUCCUAUUGAUUUGUUCUUGGAGGUCAGAAAAACCUAAGCUUGUGAAUUGUCUUAAAUCUUUAAUUUCUUUCUUAUACUACCUUACUUCUUCUUGAAGAUCCUUAAGGUUUAUGUCUUUGGUAGACUGCUAGUUAAAUCUAGUUAAGAUUUCACUUAAGUUAUAAGGAUUUACUAUUGUCUUAACUUCUUGCUUACUAACAGAUUUCUUAAAGACAUCAUAAAGGUCUUGCUUAGUAUUUUCAUCUUCAACUUUCCUUAAAACAUCUAGGACAAGUUCUUGAUCUUGGCUUAUGACAUUUAUAAUCUUAAGUUGGCAAUCACAAUUACUCUUAAUGCAUUCUUCUUGGUCACUAGAAGUUUGGCUUGAGAUUUCUUCACUACUACUAUCUAGUAGGUUAAUGUCAUCUUCAUUAUUUGAAUCAGUCCUUGAUUCAGACACUGUGGGGUUUAACAUAUCUUUUAAGUCUUCUGCAACAUUUAAGUUAUUAAUUUUCUGCUUAACCCUACAAUCUUUCUUAUAGUGGCCUUCUUUACCACACUUAAAAACAAACUGACUUAGCCUGUGAAGAGGGUUCUAGCUUUUUCUGGGCUUCUUUGUUCAUCAUUCUUUGGAUGUGCCUUUGUCUCUUGGUUUCAUUCAUCCUAUAAUUGCCAUAAGUUCCUCAUUUACUGUGAUAAAACUUUUCCUUACUAGCUUUCUACUUACUUGUUUAUUGAUAAUCCUCAUAUCAGUCUGGUUAGGAGGUUCCUUAAAAAUCUUAAUUAGUUCAUCAGUCUCUGCUUCAGAACUAAUUUCACCUUUAACCAUAUUGAUUCUCCUGUGAGAAGGUUGAGGUGUCUUAGGGACAACAAGGUUUUCCUUAACCUUUUGGCUUAUCCUAUCAAUAAGGGCUCGAUCAAUAUGGGGAUUGUCUAGGAAUUUCUUAUAGAAUUCAAAAGGCUUAAAUAAAGGUUUAUUAUCUUUCUUAACAAACGUAGUCUUAAUGUGGUCUUGUGUUUCAAUGAUCUCCUCAAACCUGUUGAGUUGAUCGCCUAUGGUCUUAAGAAACAUGUUAGUGUAGUUGUUCUGUUCCAUGAUUCUUCUAACGUCAACAGUACUAGCAGUUCCUUCAUCCUCUGGCUUAGUCUUAAAAGGUGAAGCUUUGACUAUGGUGCCAUUAAUGUUCUUUUUUAUCUUAGCUUCUAGAUGAUGGAUGGAUUCUAUGACAGUAUCGUCACUAGUUUUCCAUAUCUUAGUUUUUGUUGAUGUGUAAUUGACACGCUUACAAGGAUAAUCUGGAUGUUGCUUUUGUUUGAAGAGUUAAAACUAGAUUGAAUACUUAAUGUUCUUCUUUUCUUGUCUUAAGUAUGUGUAGAAUUCUUCUUGGUAAAGGGUUCUAGUAUCUUUAGGGACCUUGCUUAAGAACCGAACUCUCCUUUGCUUAUUGACUUCAUAAUAGAAGUCUUUCCUUAAGAGAUCCUUGUUGAUCUCAAAGUCCUCAUCACUUAAACUUACAGUGUUAAUCAAUUGGGAAUAAGUAGGAGACAUGUCAGAAGAUUCAUCCUGAUGUGAUUCUUAAGUAGACUCAUUUUCCCCAGUAUAAAAGGGUUUGGCCAAAUUGGUGUGACUUCUAACACCUGUUAGCUUAAUGACUUAGGAUUUGUUGAACUGGAUCCUUCUUCUAUCCUGGUAGUUCUUACUGGGAUAGAUGAACUUGAAGUUCUAGAGGGCUCAUAAUCUGAAAUUCUAAAGCUACUAGAAUGACAAAAAGAGUUGGAGAAAAUUAGAUCUCCUCCUCCAUCAGGAUAUUGAACAAUCUAUAUAUAUCACUACAAGAAAUAGGAUUUUUGGUGACGGUUCCAACCGUCACCAAAUCUUAUAUAUCCGUAACCAAAACCUAUUGUCACGGUCUUAUGAAACCGUGACCAAGCGUCACAGUAUGAGGCGUAGCUAAAAGUAUUGGUCACGGUUUCCUAAGUGAUCGUGACCAUAUGAUUUCCUUUUUUGUGACGGCCAUACAAAAACUGUGACAAAAAAAGUUAAGAAUACUUUGCUACUUAUUAAGUUGAUUUAGUCACGAUCAGGUAAUAAACCGUGACCAAAUGUAAUCUUAUGGUCACGGUCAAUGUCCUUGACCGUGACUAAAUGUAACCUUAUGGUCACGGUUAAUGCCCCUGACCGUGACUAAAUGUAACCUUGUGGUCACGGUCAGUGUCCCUGACCGUGACUAAAUGUAACCUUAUGGUCACGGUCAGUGUCCCUGACCGUGACUAAAUGUAACCUUAUGGUCACGGUCACUGUCCCUGACCGUGACUAAAUGUAACCUUAUAGUCACGGUCAGUCAUCGUCGAUUUUUGCCAAUUGAUCAUAGAUUUCGACGUGAUAAAAAGUCCUUUGAUGGAAAUGAAGAGCAUAGAGCAGCACCUAAACAAUUGUCUGGGGAAGAUGUCCUACAUCAAUUAGAUGGAAUGGAACAUAUUACUUUAGGGAAGACAUCAAAAAAUAAGAUGUCAGCAAAAAGAAAAAGAGAACAUGUUGAACUUGAGCAUAAUUGGAAAAAAAAAAAAAGCAUAUUUUUCCAAUUGCCAUAUUGGAAAACCCUCAUUUUACGUCACAAUUUGGAUGUAAUGCAUAUUGAAAAGAAUAUAUGUAACAGUAUAGUUGGCACCUUGUUGAGUAUUGAUGGUAAAUCGAAAGAUAACUUCAAUAGUCGUCUUGACUUGCAAGCUAUGGGUAUCAGAGAUCAACUUCACCCCAUACAAAGAGGGAAUAGGGUUAUAUUGCCUGCUGCAUGCUAUUCACUAACUUCAAAUGAAAAAAAGGAAUUCUGUAAAUUUUUGAAAGAAGUAAAGGUUCUAGAUGGUUAUGCUUCUAACAUCUCUCGGUGUGUACAAGUGAAUGAAAGAAAGAUAUUUGGAUUGAAGUCUCAUGAUUGUCAUGUUCUCAUGCAACAACUCCUUCCACUUGCAAUUCGAGGAGUUCUACAUAAGAAUGUUUGUGCUGUUAUAGUUGAACUAUGUAGUUUCUUCAAACAGUUGUGUUCUAAAGUGUUAAAGACUGAUCAAUUGGAGCACUUUGAGAAUGACAUAAUAGUCACACUUUGCAAAUUAGAAAGAAUAUUUCCUCCAUCAUUCUUUGAUGUUAUGGUGCAUUUAUCUAUUCAUCUUGCAAGUGAGGCAAAGGUUGCUGGACCAGUGCAAUAUCGAUGGAUGUAUCCUAUCGAGCGGUAUGUUCUCAUUCAAUUAAUCUUAUGGAUAUUAGGUUUCAUAUAGUUCAUGAAACAAAUCUAUCAUAUUGUGAAAUGACAGGUAUUUACGUACAUUAAAGUCUUAUGUCCGUAAUAAGAGUCGUCCAGAAGGUUCUAUUGCAGAGAGGUACAUAGCAGAAGAAUGUACAACCUUUUGCUCAAGAUAUUUGCAUGAUGUUGAAACGAAGCAUGACCAUGAAGAAAGAAAUUAUGUCAUUGAAAAUAACAUAACAAAUGGUGGAGGGUUAACCAUUUUCAAAUGCAUGGGACGUACAAUAGGGAAGUCAACAUCUCGUGUUCUUAGCACAGAAGAAUGGUCCCAAGCACAUUUAUAUGUGUUGACUAAUUGUGAGGAAGUGACGUCAUUUAUUGAGUAAGACACUUAUUUGAAUAAAACUUUAUACUAAUUCUCAUACAAAAAUUUAAUUUUGGUCUUUGUGAGCAUUAUAAUUAAUUUUUUCUUUUUUAUCAGAGAGCAUAAGCAAUCUAUAAGGGUUAAGCCUCGUAUUCGUGCACGAGAUGUAGAUUUGAUUCUCACAAGAGAAUUCAUUAGUUGGUUUGAAGAACGUGUAAGUUCAUUCACUACAUAAAUUGUUCUAUUAUCUAAUACACAUGUAUGUAUUAACAUCUUAUAUUUGAAUCUAUAGAUUAUACAAAUGCGACAUGAAGGUCCAAUUUCUGAACACAUACUAUCAUUGUCUCGUGGACCAAGUACAUCAGUUACAUGUUAUAAAGGAUACAUCAUUAAUGGGUUCAGAUUUCACACAAGAGAACGAGAAAAGGGGAAAAAAACUCAAAAUAGUGGAGUUGUUGUGACCGCAGAGGUAUCAAGCUUUGCAAGUGCAAGAUAUAAGAACCCAAUUCCUGGUCAUGUUUCUUACUAUGGUGUGCUAACUGAUGUAAUUGAGUUACAUUACCUUGGUGGAAAUAGAGUUAUUUUAUUCAAGUGUGACUGGUGGGAUGUAAUCAAUAGUGGAAGGGGAAUAAAAAAGGAUGAAUAUGGGUUCACGUGUUUGAAUUUUGAACGUACCAUAUGCAUAGAUGAGCCAUUUGUGCUUGCAUCUCAAGCAAAACAAGUCUUCUAUGUUCAAAAUUCAAAUGAGGAAAAUUGGCACACCGUUGUAGAGAUACAAACUCGAGGGGUUUAUGAUAUGAAUAAGAAAGUAUCUACUAAUGAUCCAGAGCCAUAUCAACAGUUUAUAACACCUCAUAGUCAACGUGAUGUGCAUGAGUUGGCCGAGAAUGAUUUAAUCAAUUGGGAUAGAAGUGAUAUUGCAGGAGAAACUAUCCAAACAGAUGUUCUACUAUCACGACAAGAAAACAUUGUUGAAAGACAUAAUGAAUUUAUUCAGGAUGAUGUGUAGCUAAUAAUAUUGGUAAGUACAUAAAUAUAUACUUACAAAAUAUACAAAUUGUAAUUUAUUUCAUAUUAUUUUUGUAACUUAUUUUGUAUUACUUUUUCUAAUUUACUUUAUUAUGUAGGAAAUGUCACAUCGAAGAGGAAGAGUACAAAUAGUGUCUCCAGAAGAUGAGUUGGACAAUCUACAACUCUUAGACAUACAACCUGCUGCAACUACUACUCCUAGUAGUUCUGAUCCUUCCGAUUCUUCAGAUCCUUCAGUUGUUGGUAUGAUUAAGAAAAUUAUGUUUAACUUUACAUAUGAUAAAUUUACAUAUGUUUAAUUUCUUGAAUGAUAGGUUUUUAAUGUUUAAUUUUAUAUAAGAUAAGUAAAUUAUGUUUCUUUUAAUUUCAUUAUUACUCUUAAUAGGUUCAUCCUCUAGCAAAAAGAGGACACGUGGCCCAACACGUAACUUAGAUUUACUUAGUAUGAAACCUGGGGAAAAAAAAACUACAAGAUUCAAUACCAGAGGGCAAGUUGUUUAUGAUGGAAAAGGGGAAAGAUUGUCAAGCUAUAUGGGAACAUUGGUGCGAUCUCAACACAAUGUGCCCAUCCAAGUUCAAGAUUGGAAUCAUGUUAGUGAAGAUGUGAAGGAAAAGAUUUGGGCCUUAGUAUUGGUAUAUGCUAGUUACUAUUCAAUCUAAAUUGUAAUGUUAUUGUUUAAAAAUGAUACCUCUUAUUUAUACAUGACAUUUUAAUGCAAUACAGGAAAAAUAUGAACUAGAAGAAACAUGUAAGAGCUACAUUCUUCAAUGUUGUGGAAAUUUGUUUAGAAGCUAUAGAAAUAAAAUGAAGGCCAAGUAUUAUAACCCUUAUAAUACAGAUGAGGAGAGAUUGUGUCAUCGACCUCCACACUUAUCAGAUGAUGAUUGGAGGUGGCUCAUCCACUUUUGGGGUACACCUGAAGCCAAGGUAAAGAUAAUGAUCUUUUCUUGAUAAUGUAUCUUAUGAUACUCAUAUUCACAUAAAAUUAUAUUUAUUAGUUAUAUCUAACCUAAUACUUCAUGUAUAUAACUUUUAUUAUGUUUCUAUUAUCUAUAUAGGUGACUUGCUAUUUUUUAAUUGAUGUAGGAUAUCUCAGAAAAAAACAAGGCAAAUAGGGCAAAGCAAGUGAUAAAGCAUACAUCGGGAUCAAAAAGUUAUGCUCAAAUUCGAUAUGAACAGGUUGAAAAUUUAUUAUUAAUAUGAUUUGUUUGUACAUAAAUAAUUUAUCAUAAAUAACUCAAUUGUUUUACUUGUAAGAAUAGGCACAAAAGAAAGAGGAUCGAAGUGAGCCCAAUAGAAUUGAGAUGUUUGCCUUGACACACACAAGAAAAGAUGGGACACCUGUUGAUGAUCAUUCUAAGGAGAUUAUGGUAAUGAAGUAAAUAAAUUUUAUAUACUUGUAUUUCAAUCAUAGCCACAUACUAAAUUAUUUUAAAAGUUUAACAAUUUUUGUUUUUUUUUAUAAUUCCAGGAUCAAUUUCAGCAAUUACUAUCCCAACCUGAGGGGACAUCUUCUUCUACUUCUGCAUCAUCUGGAGCAUCUACAUCUGUAUCAUCUACAUCUGUAGCAUCUACAUCUGUAGCAUCUACAUAUGUAGAUGAGAUAUAUACUCAAGUCAUGGGUCUAGAGAGACAUGGUUGUGUUCGAGGGUAUGGAUUUGGUCCUACUCCUACCUCAAUCUUUGGUUCUACUAGUAGAAGGCGAUCAGGAGUUAUUCUUUCAACACAAAUUGAAAAUGCCCAAGAGAUGCUAAUAGCUGCAGAACAAAAGUUUACAACUGCAACUGAAGAACUCUCAAAUGUGAAAGAGGAACUCUCACAUGUGAAAGAAACAUUUGAAGAGAGGUUGAUAGAAGUUCAAAGGAAGACACGAGAAGAAGUGAAAGAAGAGUUUGAAGAAAAAAUGAUGGAAAUGCAAAGAAAAAUGCAAGCACAAAUUCAAGAACAGAUGAUGCAAAUGAUGCAACAAUUUCAGCAAAAGCAGUAGAAAUUUGAAGAUUUUGCUACAUCUUUAUAUGAUAGAUGCUCUUAACUUUUUUGAAGAUUAUGCUACUUAUUUAUAUGAUAGAUUCUCCUAACUUUUUUUGCUUUCUAUGACUAUUGUGUGAUGUUUGGUUGGUUGAUUUGUUAUAUUAUGUUAGAAUAUGAAACUAAAUUUGAAUCUCUUUGUUAUUUGUUUGCUUGGUUUUUUUUUUUUUUUUGUUAUAUCAUGUUUUUUUUUUAUUUAAUGACUUAUAUUGAUAUAUAAGUUUUUAACUAGCUUGGGAUAAUUGAUUGUAAUAUAUUGAAAUUGUUUUAAUUGCAUAUACAGGUCUAAAAUGGGUUUGUUUGGGUUUAUAACAGGUUUGGGAAAUUUGAAUUUAUAAAAAAACCAAUUUCCAAAUAUAACAAAUUUUAGUCACGGCCACAAAAAAUUUGUGACUAUAAGCGUAUUUUAGUCACGAUCAGUAAUGAAUCGUCACCAAAAUUUGGGGAUAGGGCGGCCAUCCAUGAUUAAUUUCAGUCACGGUCAUUAGUAGUCGUGACCAUAAGUGUAUAUUUUGUCAUAAUAGACCUAACAAUUAGUCACGGUCAAUUAAUUACCGUGACCACAAGGUUACAUUUAGUCACGGUCAGGGACAGUGACCGUGACCAUAAGUACUCCAACCUUAUUACAAAUAGGACAAGCAAAUUUCCCUUUAGUACUCCAACCUGAAAGAUUUGCAUAUGCAGGAAAAUCAUUGAUGGUCCAUAAUAUAGCUGCACGCAUACAAAAAUUUUGUUUUGUUGAAGCAUCAUAUGUUUCAAGUCCAACGUCCCAUAAGUCAUUCAACUCAUCUAUCAAUGGUUGUAAGUAUAUGUCAAUGUCAUUCCCAGGUGCAGUUGGACUAGGAAUAAGUAGUGACAACAUGAAGAAUGUUUGUUUCAUACACAUCCAAGGUGGUAAGUUAUAUGGAAUAAGAACUACAGGCCACAUGCUGUAUGAAAUUGACAUAUUCCCAAAAGGAUUGAACCCAUCACUUGCUAAACCGAGCCUAACAUUUCGAGGUUCUAGUGCAAAUGAAGGGUGUACGUUAUCGAAGUUUUUCCAAGCCAAAGAGUCCACUGGAUGCCUCAUCAUCUCACCUUCCAUGCGACCAUCAACAUGCCAUUUCAUGUGAGAAGCUGUCUUAGAUGACAUAUAUAACCUUUGAAGUCUUGGUUUUAAAGGAAAAUAACGCAAGACCUUAGCAGGAAUUUUCUUUUUCUUUGCUGAAUUAGUGAACUCAUCUGUAGAAUGCUCAUCACUUGAUUUCCAUCUAGAGACACCACAAACGACACACUCAUUUGCAUUUGCAUACUCUUUUGAAUACAACAUGCAAUCUGAGGGGCAUGCAUCAAUCUUGAUAUAAUGAAGGCCAAGGUCACGAAGUAUUUUUUUUGCUUCAUAAUAGUUGCUUGGCAAUGUCUCACCCUCAGGAAAUGCAUCCUUCAACAAUUCAAGCAACAUUGUAAAGGACUUAUUGCUCCAUCCAUUAAGACACUUCAUAUGAAAUAAUCUUAUGAUAAAAAACAACUUUGUGAAUUUUUUACACCUUGGAUAUAGUUCCUGCUCUGCUUCUCUUAACAAAUUAUAAAAUUUGUUUGCAUCCUCAUUUGGUUUUUCAAACUCCUCAUGCACAUGUCGACUUCUUUCAGAUUCCUCAUUUGGCAUUGGCAUUCCAAAUGCAUCAUUUAACAUUUCUUGCAUCUCAUCAUGCAUAUCAGACUCAUUAGUGCUAGUAUUUGUAGGUUCGCAAAACUCAAAUUCCCCAUGCAUCAACCAUCGCACAUAAUUUCUAGCUAUCCCAUUGUCCAACAAAUGGUCAUACAUGAUUUCUCGCUUCUGCAUAAGACAAUUAUUGCAACGAAUGCAAGGACAUGGGAGCAUUUCUUUUCCAAGUGCACUGCUAAAGGCAAAGUCUAAGAACUCCAAAACUCCUUUAUAGUAUUCACUACUUACUCUUGACUUCUGCAUCCAACUCUUAUCUAUUGGCAUUUUUCUCGUACUUCCGCAAAUUAAACCCUUCAAUCACAUAACAAUGAAUCUUCAUAUCAACUUAUAAUGAAUGUGAUAUGUUUUUUAUCAUCUCAAAUUCUUAUAUUUGGUAGUGGUUCCUAUCCCAUUUAGAAAUACAUAAUCCCUAUGAAUCAAUCACUAACAUGCUUAGUUUCAUUUUGAUAAAAUUUCGGCAGCAUUUCCCCAUAGUUCUCCAAGUACACGAAUUGGCUAAGGUAUAAACAUACCUUCUCCAAAUAUGCACCCAGAGAACAAGGGGAAUCACUGUCAAAACUUAUCAAUAUGCUAAAGCAUAGGCGUGUGAUUUCAUAGAUAUUAUGUAUUUCCAAACUGUCCAAACGGACAAUUCAAGCAUCAUUUGCAGACAAUUCUACCAAUCAUAUACAAAACACAUAGGUUGAAAACUUGAAUAUGACCACAAUAAAUAAUCAUAUCCACAAUUCUACAACUUAUCUAUUUUUAGUAUAUGAUAAAAGAGACAUUUGUCAAGCAAGGAUACUUGAACGGGAUUUCUAGGGUUUUCUAAAAUGAAAAUGAGUAAAUGAUAAAAUUAAUGACAAAUAAUAUUAGAAAAGAAAUAGAUAAAAACACACAAUGAGACUGACACAUUCGAUAAUUUAUAGAAAUGAAUAACUAAUAUUUCUAUUGCAUAAAAUCAACGAGGGUUAGUUCACAGAUAACAAUAAUAAAAUAUAAAAUCAUAGAUAAGGUCUCACAAUAGAUGCAACUUUAUACAAGUGCCAAGGAUUAAAGAUUGAGUGAUAGGGUGGAAGAUUAUAAGGUUUAUGAGAUUCUUACAUCAAUUGGAAUAAGAUCUAGGAGAUGUUUUUACUUUCAUUAUUGAUAGAUUUAGUAGUCUUGGGAUCUAGAGAACAUGCACCCUUGAUCCUAUUCCUAAUACCAUGGACAAGGUGUGAACAAGUUAAGGAAGAGUUUGAAUUAGAAAAAUAUCAAUCUAAGAAGAUUAGGGUUGGCGUGUGUUGAAAGUACGAGCAACUUGUUGAAACUUGAACUUGUAUAUUAUUAUUAUUAUUAUUAUUUUAUUUAAAAUGUAAAAAAUAUGAAAAGGAUAAUAAAGGAAUUUUAACCUUUUCUUUUUAUAAUUGUACUAUGCUAAUAAAUUUAUCAUUCUUUUAUAAUUAUUAAAAUAUUUUAGAAUAUUGAAACUUGAGGUUAGAGUUGUCAUUUAUAUUAAACUAGUAACGAAUAAUAUAAUUGAUAGUUUUGAGACAUUUAACUUUAAAAUUUUUAUUCUAUAAUAUGACUUAUAUUUUAUUAAUUUGAAAUAAAUAUUUUAUUUAUCAAAAGUUCUAUUAUAUACAUUUUGUUUGAUAACCCUUGAAAACUAACAAGUACUUAUUGGAGCCCCUAUUGCCUAUUAGCUUAACACGGGUUGAAACUUCUCGAUUCAACUUCAUAUUAGGCUUAGAAUAGAUUGGACCUUUUCGAUUCGACCUUAUAUUAGGUUUAGAAUAGGUUGGACAUAUGAAUCAAUAGAUUUGACACAGAUUAACCUUCAGACCCAUUCAACCCAUCCGAGUUAUAACCAUAGCUUAAAAAAAAAAAAAAAAAAAAAAAAAAAAAGAGGAAUUGAUUUGAGUGGCCUAUUUUUCAAAAGCUUUUAUUUUUUGUUGAUGGGCAUGGGCCCACCAAGAUUUUCUAAACAAAAAGUUUAUUUGCAACGUUCCACUUUAAGUUAAUAAGUUAACAUUGAAAUUAAGAUAUAUAAUUUCUUCUCAUAUAGAUGUAGUUACAUUUAAUAUAAUUUUAUAUAUAUCCAAUUUUUCAUUUCUUAAGAAAAAUAAUAGGACUAUUUUGGAAUAUUUUUUAAAACAAUUCUAAAAAAAAAAUUAGAAUAAUUUAAAAAAAAUAAUAUUUUAAAUAAAAAUUUAUUUUUUAUAUUUAUUAAAAAUAACUUUUAUCUAUAAUAUUUUAUCUUCAAUAUUCUAAUAUCUAUAAUAUUAGAAACAAAGUUUUAAAAAAUUUGUUUUUCUUAAUUAAAAAAAGCGAUUUAAGAUACUUUUUCGAUAAAUCUAAUGACAAAAGAUAAUUUGUACGUACCCCAAAAGCACUUCCCCGAGCUUAGGAGAAGAUAAGGAUAAGAAAAGAGGAGUAAGCAUGUUAUUAUUGAAAGUGUUUUUUUAAAAUAAAUUUUUAGUAUUAUCUAAGAGUAAAACUAAUGGUGAUUAGAAAAUAAAAAAUAAAAAAUAAAAAAGAAAGAAAGAAAUAAUCAUAACAAUGGAUGCAAUCAAUUGAGAAUCUAAGACAAUUCAUAAUUCAUACUUUUUACGGUUGUACUUAGGAGAAGAAUCACAAGAUUAACUAUUGCAAUAUUAUAACUCUAAUAUCAAGUUGCACUCCAAGAGAGAAUUUAAUAUCAAGGCUUCUCAUUUAUAAUUUCCCACAACAUAACAAAAUUCCCCUAUUUUUACUGGAAGAUAAAUAAGGAUUUCACAUAAUUCGACAUUAUCUCUAAAAAAAUAAAAAUAAUGGCUAAAACAACGUAAAUGAUUAAUUAAAUCACAAUAUAUGCAAUAUUAUAUUUGAAAAAGGAGAUUAAGAUUUUUUUAAAAAAAAAUUAUAGGCUUUAUUUUAAAUAAUUGUCUUUUACAAAAUUAAGAUAAAUAGUAAUAAUAAUAAGAGAUAUUGAUAAGUUUUUAAAAAAAUUAACAAAUAAGGAUUAAAAAAUAAAGAACUUGUUAUAGUACAAACCUAUCACAUUUUAAGAUACAUAUUGGAAAUAUAAAUUAUAUUAUAUAAUUAUUAUUUUCAAUAUGAAAAAUAUCUUAGUUACUAUGAUUUAUCAUAAUAGGAAAGUGAAAUAUUAUUGAAGGUAAAGAUACCCGAAAAAUCCUAUCUCAUUAUCAACCCUAUUCCCAAUAUUCUCCAUCUAUUCAUUGUAUUUUUAAUUAUUUCUUAAAAUACCAUAAAAAAAUAUUUUAGGCACUUUAAAUUUAUUUUUAAAAUUUUAUUUUGUUUCAGAUAUAUAUAUAUAUAUAUAUUAUAAUACGUUGAUUCUUGGAAUAAAAAAACACUAGUUUCAGCACAAAAUUCUUCCAAUGUGAUUUUAAAAAUUGAAGAACUUUUUUUCUUUUUGAAGAAUAAAAACUGAUUUUAACCCCCUUCCAAAAUGAAAGCUAAUGGUAGGCAAUUGCAAUAAUCACACAAGUUCACAACAUUCCUUAAUUGAUGCCCAGAAAUUGCACUUUCAGAUGAAAAUUAGACUAGAUUUUUAACCUCAAUUCUGUUCUGGAAAAACAAUUCCUCAACAAGAAACCCUAUGUCACGCCCCAAGACCCACUCCAAGGGCGUGACGGUCAUUUCACACCUCAAACCCGAAGGCUUAAAGUAUAAUCUGACCCAAACAGUCAUAUUGUAACUGGAUGUUACCAAUUACCAAAUACCUGCUCAGAGUAGCGGAAACAAAAUCUAAAAUCCUCAAAAUUCAAUUUCCAAAUAACUUCCAAAUACCAAAUGAUCCAAAAUAACAUAACUAAUAGUUAAACAAAAAUCCAACAUAAAAUCCUAAGUCAAAUCCUAAUGAUGACCAUUCCUCAGCCUAGCCAUCACUCCUCACCCGAACUAAGAGUACCUGAAAAAAUUUCAACAAUUGGGGAUGAGCUCACAGCCCAAUAAGGAAUAUUAAUGCAGUUCAUGGAUCAAAUAUUUUCAUUUCAAAUAGGAUAUAUCAUUUUUUUUUUCUCAUCAAAUAUCAGAGUUUCAAAAAUACCAAUAUAUUCAAAAUUCAACCAACCAAUUUCAUAUCAAAUUCAAACACUUUCACAUAAGAUUCAAUCAAAUCCAUUCAAUUUUUCAUUACUCUGGUUAUCAAAUAUCAAAUGCCCAGUUAUGUGGGACUUUUCAAAUGGGUGGCUAGCCUCAAAUUGUUCCUGGUGGACGGAACCAAACACUACUAGUACUAGUAACCUCUAACCAAACCCCUAGAGGCUGGGGUCCAAAUCAAUUACAUUCCCACCAUGAAAUGUAAAGGUCAACUAUUAUAUCCCGUUGACAGGGCCGAAUAGUCAACUAUUAUAUCCCGUUGACAAGGGCCAAAUAAACCAGAGUGAUGUUUUUGUUCAAGUAUUCAAAUUUACACAACAUAAUAUCUCCAUAUUUUGUGUCAUAAAUAAAACAAAAUAUUCCAACAUAACAUUUAGUGCAAAACAAUUUGAUCCAGCAUGGUAACAAAAUAUCAUUUUCUUUUCCACAAUUCAAAAUAACAUAUAAAAUAAUUUAAUUUUAUAAAUAUUGCAUUAACUUCCCUUACCUCAAAAGAAGUCCUUGAAAGCUUGGGAGAAAAAUAAUUCUGAAAAAAAUAUAAUCUACUCUUCACCUAAUAUAACAUAAGAGAAACAAUUAUUACUAUUUGUUUAUAAUUUAACUAAUCUAUUCCUUAUUUAAAUAAAACUAAUAAAUUCCCAAUUUGUUUCUAAUAACACAUUACCAAUUUAAUUAAAUUAUAACUUUAUUUCAUUAUAAAAUUCUAUAUAUAUAUAUAUAUAUAUAUAUUGCUAAAUCUCUUAUUCUAUUUAUUACAAAAAUACCAUUAUUACUAUCAUCUUAUUUAUUAAUCUUUAUUUUUUAUUAUCCAAUUCAAUAGCUACCUAACCAUUACUCAUUCUCGGGUACACACCAAAAAACAAGUUUUUUUUUUUUUUUUUUGCCUAAUGAUGAUUCAUUAUAUAUAUAUAUAUAUAUAUAUAUAUAUAUAUAUAUAUAUAUAUAUAUGAAAGCCUCCAUAGCCCUCUGUCACGCCCCACUUACUUUUUUUUUCUUUUUUUCUUUUUUUCCUUCCUUCUUCCUUCCAGUGUGCACACGCGUCUCUUCUUUUCUUAUUAUUAUUAUUUUUUUUUUUAUUAACUUUUUCUAAUCUCUUCCACCACAAAUAACAAUAUAUUUAUUUACUCUUUUUUUUUUUUUAAAUUAACCCUAAUCUAAAAUCAAAACCUUCCAAGGAACCCUUUUUUUUUUUUUUUUUCAUCUAAUAAAACUUAAGAUCUCCUAAAUUCCAAUACUAAAAUCAAAAUCUUAGAUUUUCACUGUUUGAUAUUAAAACAAAUAAAAAAAUAAUCUAACCCUAAUCUAGAUUUGGGGUUUUCCAAAAAAUAUAUCUAAUGUGUUUGAAAUUAAUCAAUGAAUCUAAAAUAUUAAACUAGGGGUUACAAUCUUACCUAUAGAGAUCUGUUCUUCAACCCUGAAAUCUGACUCCAACCUUACGUUCUCUGGAAUUCUGCGAACAGGAACUCUAUUCAGAAAAGAAGGGAAAUAAUAAAAUUUCUAAUUUAUACCUAGGGUAUUUAUUCGUAAAAUUACACUUUUACCCCUCUUCCACUUUAUUAAAUUAAUUAAUUAACUAAUUAAAUUAUUAAUAACAAUUUCCUAAAUUACCCUUAAAAGAAAAUGCUUGGGCGUUACACCCUAGCUGAAGAAAAAAAAGCUCAAUUUACCAACCAUUUAACCGAACCCUCAAAGAUAACGACAGAGCAGGAAUUCCUCGAGAGGUAAGUGAAAUACCUGGAGUUUCCUAACAGCAACGUCCUCGGAAUUUCGCUAUUUGAGUGUGUUUGGGGAAGUAUUUGGGACCUUCUAAUAUAAUUUGAGAAUUUAAAAGAAAAAACAAACAAAUAAUUUGAGAGAACCCUUGAAACAGGAAACAACCUUUUCAUGAAUUGAAAAUAGAAAAGAUUAAUAAAGUAUAAAUUUCAUGGGAAGAUGGCUCCAGUUCACGCUAAAACUGAACAAACACAAGUAAUUUCUAGAUCUAAAAAACUCGAAGACAUAAAAUAAGGAAAUAUCGAGAUCUUACCCAAAAAUCAAAUCAAGGCAAUAAUCGAUCCCCAAACUUCUGUAGCUUCAGUGAGUGAUACUCAGUUGUAGAACCCUACCGGAGAAAGAAAAAAGGCCCCAUUUGUUGAUUGGGGGAAAGAUGGGGAGAAGUUGUCUUGAAAGGCUUUAAAGGAAGGUGGUGUUUCCGCAGUCUGCUGGUAUCAUAACUCAUCACCUUAUGUGAGCUUUUUCAUUUCUCUGUUGAAAACGUGCGAGUCCGAAGGCCCCAUUUGACAUCCGUUUCCUUUAAAAAAGGCAUUUUGGAAAAUAAAUAAUAAUAAUAAUAAAUCUCACAUCUGAUCUACUUAUGAUGCAAGGGUGACUUAUCUUAAAUUCUUGUUCAGUAGGAUGUAUAUAUAUAUAUACAUAUAACUGUGAUUAUCGGAAAAUACUAAGAAAAAAAAAUAUUUUAAAAAAUAAUUUUCUUAUGUUUUGAUUGUGCUAUAAAAAAUAUUAAAAAAAAUCAAAUAUAAUUAAAACUACUUAAAAAAUUAUAUAUUUUAAAAUUAUUUAAUAUGAGUUAAAAUAAAUAAAAAUAAUUUAUUGGAUUUUAAUCUAUUUUUUAUUUUAAUUUUUUUCUUUAUAUCUUCACUCAGAAUUUCUUGGAACCAAAUAUAAAUGAAGAAACCUUUAAAAAAAUAAUAAAAAAUAAAAAAUUUACCCCUUGAGAAUUUGAAUUUUUAAAAAGUAAAAAUUGUUUUUUAUUAAAUGUUAUUGAAAAAAAAUAAAACAUUUACUCUUUAUAUUAAUAUUUUAUGUUAUUUUUAUAGAAAAUUUAGUCUUAUUUAAUUAUUUAUAGUGUUUAUUAUUAUUUUUAAUCACGAGAGAUAAUAUGAUAUAAUAAAAUAUUUUAAAUUAUAAAUAAUAGCUAAUCAAACUUCUAUAAACUACUCAUAUUUUAUUUUAGGUUUUGAUGAUUAUGACAUUAUUUCUAUUUGGUUAUUUUUGGAAUAUAUAGUUUGAAUAUAUGUAUUAUUAGAGAUUAAAAUUUUGUUGCUUCAAAUAAAGUUUUAUAUAUAAUAGAAAAUAUAUGCUAGAAAAUUCAGCAACAUCUCUUCAUGCAAUGAGAAUUUUAAUUAAAAUAUUAAAAUAAAAUAAAAUAAAACUCAAGACCUUAAUUGCGGCCAAGCAAUGUCCACUCAUAGAUUAAGUAGCAGCCAAGGAAAAGUGGCAUCAAAAGGAAUUAAAAAAAUUUCUCAAGAUCUUAAAUUGUGGCCAAGCAUAAACUGUCCACAUCAGAGAUUAAAAACGACUUUUAAUAAAGCUAUAUAUAUAUAUAAUUUUUAAUAAUACAAUUAUUAAAAAUAUAUAUUAUAAAAUUAAUUAAUUUUAUUUAUUAAAUUUAAUUUAUAAAUAAUAUACUAAAUUUAAUAUAAGAUAAACAUUAUUUUUUAAAUAACACUAGAAAAUAUAGAUAUCAAGAAAGGUAAAUUUUAUACAAUAAUUUGAUUAUUAUAAAUAUAUAUUAUAAAAUUAAUUAAUUUUAUUUACUAAAUUUAAUUUAUAAAUAAUAUACUAAAUUUAAUAUAAGAUAAAUAAUAUUUAUAUAUUAUGUUUUUCUUUCACUUUGGAAUUAAAAAAAAAAAACUAUUAUCAAUUUUAUAUGAAAAUUGAGUUUAAAUUUUAAAGUUAAAAAUAUAAAAAUAAAACAUUAACUUUUGGCUAAAUAACACUAGAAAAUAUAGAUAUCAAGAAAGAGUUGGAAAUACAAUAAAAGUCAAUAUUUUAUUUUUAAAAGUUUUUUGUCUUAUUUAUAUUUAAUUUUUUUUUUAAUUGUAUUUAACUUUUAAAAUUUCUCAUUUUAUUGUUGAUGUUUUUAUUCAAUUUUAUUAAAGGAAAGAUGAAUGUAUUUAUAUAAAACACUAUAUAAAAUCAUUAUUAAUUAAAAAUUUUAAAAAUUAGUAUUUAUGACUUGAGCAUCUUAAUGAAUUUUUUUCAAAAUGAUUUAUAUAUAAUAUUAUAUAAGGAAAAAUUAGUAAUAUAUUGAUUUAUAAAAUACUUUUAUCAAAUUAAAAUAAUAAAUUAAUUUUUUGAUAAUUUUAUUUAAUAUUAUCAAGUAAAAUGAUAUUUUUUAAAAAUGUAUAUAUUUUAAAAUAUUUUUAAAUAGAUAAGGAUAAAACUGAUUUAUAAGAUUUUUUAUUUUUUAUUUUUUAUUUUUUCAAAUUAGUGAAUCAAAAUCCCCUUGUUUUUUUCGGAUAUAAAUCAUAUUUAAAAAAGAAUCACGUUCUUCAAAGUAAUUAAUGGGCACUGGAACCUAAUCGCCACCAUAAUUAGAAUUUGGCUUUCCACUGCCUCGUCAUUCCCAAGAUUCGCUUUCACAUGAUGGGAAAAAAAAAAUCAUUAAAUCUAUUUAUUACAAAAAUAAUGCGAGUUGGGCGGCCACAUGACAUUGAAAAAUGCGACAAAAAAGAACGUUGACCAACGUAUCAUAUGGCAAAAACAAAGAAGUAUAUAUAGAUAUAUAUUUUUAACUUUAAAAAAAAUUUAAACUCAAUUUUCAUAUAAAAUUGAUAAUAGUUUUUUUUUUAAUUCCAAAGUGAAAGAAAAAAAUAAUAUAUAAAUAUUAUUUAUCUUAUAUUAAAUUUAGUAUAUUAUUUAUAAAUUAAAUUUAGUAAAUAAAAUUAAUUAAUUUUAUAAUAUAUAUUUAUAAUAAUCGAAUUAUUGUAUAAAUAGAAUAAAGAAUGAAAAAAAAAAAUUUUAAGGUUUUUUUUUUUUUUAAGUGAGAAUUUCUCACUUUUUUUUUGUUGUGAAAAUCGUCUGUUGAAGAGACGAUUUCUCACUUACAAAUUUCUUCUCUCUCCUCGUUGGACAAAACUACAUAGAUUUGAAAUUAUUUUUUUUACCACGAUAAUUUAGGCAUUAUUUUUAAAAACUGUCAUACUCUUAUAAAAAAUCUGGUAAUUGAUGAAGGGUCGGAGUUAAGGGCUAUGCUACAAUUUGCUUGAAGGGAUUAAAGUUAGAGGGUAGAGGUGGCCGAAGUUUACCUAGAUUGGAAAAUGAAGCAAAUAAUAAUAAUAAUAAUAAUAAUAUUUAUUUUGGCAUUGGGUCGUUCGGUUCACCAAAACAUGGCAAUUUUAUUUAAAAUUUAAUGGGAAAGAAAUGGGCCACGGGGGGAUUCACUCAAUAAACAAUAUUAUCCUCUACAUUUCCAAUCAAAAAGUUAGGUCAAAUGCAGCUAAGUAGAGAUUAGGCCCCUCCUCCUCCCCCACCUUCUCAGACUAAGUUAAUAUUUUGGCUUUGGUUUUUUAAAGCUAAACUCAUAGACUUGUGGAGUAAAUGUCACUUGCAUUUAAAUUUUUUAUCAAAUAAUAUCAAAUUGAACCAUCAUAUUUUUAAAUUAAUAUAUAUAUUAAACUUUAUUUUACUUUUCAUUAAAGCAUUAAUCAUAACAAGGAAAUUAAAUAAUUUUAACUAAGGAAAAAUUAAUAAGAACUAUUAUUAUUACUAUUAAUAAUAAUUUCUAUGAUAUAUCUAUAUAUCUAUAUAUAUAUAUAUGUAUAUAUUAUCUAAAAAAUUAUAAUAGGUAACCCAAAAAUGGUUUAAAAUAAAUAAUAGACUUUGGUCACGAUUGUGUGAACCCCGUGACCAUAGGUUCAAAAUAUUUCUCUAUGUAUUUGGUCACGGUCAAUGUGAAAUUUGUGACUAUAAGUUCCCAUACAGUCACGGUUAAUCAAUAGCGUGACUAAAAUUCACAAAAAUAUAUAUAUAGUGACGGUUUCACAAAAAACCGUGACUAAAACAUCAUUUGUUACACUUUUGGUCACGAAUGAUAAAAUUACCGUGACUACAAGUAUUGGCGCCAAAAUUUCCCUCCCUAAAUUUACAAAUAGUCACGGAUUCAAAUAAAUCCGUCACUAAAAUACCCUCUCAUCAAUUCUUUUGGUGACGGUUCAUAAAAUCUCCGUGACUAAACAUGUUUUUUUUUUUCCACCAUCCUUGAUUAACACAUAUAGUCACAAUUUUACUCUGGCCGUGACAAAAUAAUAUCUUUGGUCACGAAAUUUGUGGCCGUGACUUAAAAUUCGUCAUUAAAAACCUAUUUUUUUGUAGUGUAUAUAUAUAUAUAUAUUAUGGUAACUCCGUCUUAACAUACUUUAUUUCUAAUUUGAGCUUUAUGAUUAAAUCUCGAUAAUUAAGAAUUCAUUUGGCAAGAAGUGCUAUUAAUCAGAAAAGUGUUUUUGAAAAACAAUAAAAAGUGUGUUUGCUAGCAUUUUUAUUUGAAAUAUUUUUAGUGAAAAUGUUUUUAAGAAAAUCACUUAUUAAGUAUUUCUCUAAGAAAACACUACAAAUAAUUUUUCAACAUUGUAAAUGAUUUUUCAGAUUUUUAAAAGUGUUUCUUAAAAUUUGUUAAACGUCUAAUUUUUUCUAAAGGGUAAAAAGUAACAUGUUUGUUUUUCUUUACUUUUUAAUAUUUAAUAAAAAUAAAAUAUUAAAAAAAAACAAAUAGCCUAAUACUUAACACUAUUAAGCAUUAAAGUUCUAUUCAAAAUUAAGAAGAAAAAAAACACUACCUAAGUGUUUUACAAAAUUUUGGAAACACUUUUAAAAUUUUGAAAAAUCACUUAGUGGUUUUUUUUAAAAAAAAAAUCAUUUUAUAUUUUUAAAAAUACUUUGAAAGUAUUUCUACUAAAAAUACUGCAAAUAAAAAUACUAUUAUAUACACUAUAAAUAAAAGUAAAGGAAAAUAUGACUUAGUUAUCUUUAAGUGAAAUUAAAUAUAAUAAAUAUGAUAUGGAACGAAGAAAUGGAAUUUAGAAUAUGCAAAAUGUUAAAAUUAUUUUUUAAGUAAUGACAAUUGUUCUUCAAUUUCAUAUGAAAAAAUAAGAGUGUCAAAUUUUAGUACAAGACUCCAAUACUAAAUACUAAAUAGAAUACUAUGUUUUUAUUAUUUAAAAUUGGGCCUAAAUAUGUAUUAAAAAAAAAAAAAAUCAAACAAACAUCAUCUAGAGGUUCAAUCCCCAACCAGCCCUGAGUUGCAGUAAAGUUAGAAAUGGGACAGCUUGUGCUACCUAUCCUAUUCAUUGGUCUUCACGGCAUCUUUAUAGAAAUGCUUAAAAAAUCUAGAAGAAAGAAUAGAUUAAUCUUUAUAAUGUUAAUUUUCAUUUGACUAGUCUAAAACGCGUAAACCAUUCCCUGCUCAGAUCCGUUAAAAAAUCUACAAGAAAGAAUAGAUUAAUCUUUAAAAGUCCUUCUCUUUGACACCCCAAUUUCUCCAUUAGAGUUCACAUUAAUUACUUUUCUGCCUUCAAAUUGGCUUAGGGGUUGGAUCUGGAUCUGUUAAACAUCCACUUCUGCUUCCAAAUUGCCUGCUGCUUCUUUUUCCUCUUCUUCUUCUUUAAUGGCUGCCACUUCUUCAAUGGCUGCAAAGACUGCUGCUGCUGCUGUUUCUUCUUUCACGGCUCCUUCUUCUUCUUCUUCUGAUUGGAAGUAUGGUGUGUUUCUGAGUUUUAGGGGGGAGGAUACUCGCAAUAAUUUUACCGGCCAUCUCUAUAAGGCGUUGGACCAAAAGGGAAUCGACACCUUUAUGGACGAUAAGAAGCUUAGAACAGGUGAAGAGAUAUCUCCCACACUUGUUACAGCAAUCCGAAGAUCAAGGUGCUCCAUCAUUGUUCUGUCAGAAAAUUAUGCAUCCUCCAAGUGUUGUCUAGAAGAACUUGUGGAGAUACUGGAGUGCAGAAGAACCAAAAACCAGAGGGUGGUGCCCAUUUUCUAUAACGUGGAUCCAUCACAUGUUCGGUACCAAACUGGAAGUUUUGGAGAAGCCUUGUCUAAGCAUGAAAAGAACUUGAAGAUCAAGGAGAAGGUGCUGACGUGGAGGAAGGCUCUAACUCAAGUUGCUAACUUAUCUGGUUUGCAUUCCUUGAAUAAGUAAUUCUCUAAAACUAAACUAUUUUUUCAUUGAUUGUUUUUAUUAUUCAUUUGACGUUUUGAUCAUCCCGACCUUAAACAAUCAGAAAAAGGGAAAUUAAAAAAAAAAAAAAAAAAAGUAAAAAAAAGACAAAAGUAAUUGCUGAAAUAAGCUAGCUAGCUUUAAAUAAAAGAAAUAUGUUGGAUGGGUUUUUGCCUCUAUCUAAUCAUUCAAAUUCAUGAUGAAAUCUGCCCAUACCUUAAUGGUCUUUUCCUUCCUCCUUUCUGCUUUUCAUGAUUGGAAUGAUGCCUAGGACCUAGUGGAAAAUCGCAAUGUGUCAAAUUGUCUUUGGUUCGCCCAAUAUGUACAACUCUUGUUAAAUGUAUUAAAAAGAAAAAAGAAAAAAACAUUAAGCCAAGUAGUAAGGUUUGGGCAUCCCAAAAGAAGACAAUAAAUAAGAGUAAAAUUAAUAGAAAAUAUAAUUUUAAGUUAUAUUAAUGUUUGUAGAGCAACUUCUAGGAGGGAUUUCCUAGAUUCAAAGAGUUGUUUUCUGUUUGAACCUUAUAGUCCAUUUAAUCAAAUUAUAUCAUAUCAUAUCAUGCUCAAGAUAAAUAAAAACUAGGUUUUAGAUACAAUAUAGUUAAGUUGGUUAUUUUAUAACAUUUACUCUCAACAAAGUACAUUAUUUAUUUUUGUGUGAGAAAUCUAAUCAAUUAUAUCUUAACCAUCAUAGCAUACUUGAUCGAUCAUGUUUUUUGUUUUCCUUCCAAAGUUGCAAUAAAUAUGACUAAGUAUCCACGUGUUUCCUCCGAAGUUGUCAAAUUUACUACUUUUUAAACCAUGUAUGUGUUACCAAACUUACCAUUAUUCCUUUUCCAAAUUCAAAAUUGCAGGCCUGAGGCUCAACUUAUUGAGGAAAUUGUGGUAGACAUUUCCAAAGAUUUAAAAUGUGUUCCUUCAAAAGAUACCCAGUUUCUAGUAGGAGUGGAUUCUUGCAUAAGGGAACUAGAAUCACUAUUGUGUCUUGAGAGAUGUUCUCAUGGUAGGGAUUUGGGGUAUGGGUGGUCUAGGUAAGACUACCCUUGCUAGAGCUAUUUAUGAAAAAAAUUCCGAAAAAUUUCAAGGUUGUUGCUUUCUUGCCAAUGUAGCAGAUUUGAGAGUAAGAAAAGGUGAAGAUCAUUUAAAAAAGCGACUUCUUUCAAGCAUAUUGAAGGAUAAAAAUAUUGAUGUGACAACCACUUCGUUGAAGGCAAGAUUACACUCCAAAAAGGUCCUUAUUGUUCUUGAUGAUGUGAACCACCGAUCAAUAUUAGAAAUUUUAGCGAGAGAGCCUAAUUGGUUUGGUCCACAAAGUAGAAUCAUUAUAACAACUAGGGAUAAACAUUUGCUAGACACAUAUGGUGUGAAAGUUGUAUAUGAGGUCCAGAAAUUAUAAGAUGAGAAAGCUAUUGAGCUCUUCAACCAUUAUGCCUUCAGAAAUGAUUACCCUUCAGGAGAUGUUAUGGAGCUUAUUGACCAUGUCAUUGCUUAUGCUCAAGGCCUUCCAUUGGCUCUUGAAGUUUUAGGUUCUUCUUUAUGUAAGAAAAGCAAAGAUGAAUGGGUGUGUGCAUUGAAUAAACUCAAAAAAAAAUCCCUAAUAAGGAAAUUCAGAAAGUGCUUCAAAUAAGUUUUGAUGAGUUAGAUGAUGACCAGAAAAAUCUAUUUCUAGAUACUGCAUUUUUUUUGGAGGGUUGGACUAAAGAAUUUGCCAUGGAUAUACUAAAUAGUUGUGGCUAUUUCCCCAUUAGUGGAAUAAGAACUCUCAUUGACAAGUCACUCAUAAGUAUUAUUGAUGAUGAAGAGCUAUGUAUGCAUGAUUUACUUAUAGAAAUGGGUAAGGAAAUUGUUCGCCAAACUUUUCCUGACGAGCCUGGCAAACGCAGCAGAUUAUGCAUGCAAGAAGAUAUCUGUUAUGUAUUAGAAAACCUUAUGGUGAGGAUCAAAUAUAGGAACUUAUUUUUCAUAAAAAAAAAUUAAGCUUCAAAAAUAUCAUUUUCAUUUAACCAUUUGUACAUGUAUAUAGUUUUAAUGAAUGUUUUUUUUUUUUUCUUGCAUGCUCUUGUGUAGGGAACCAAGAAAGUUGAAGUUAUAGGCCUCAACUUGUCUGGCAUAAAGGAAAUACGAUUUACCACUGCAGCCUUUGCCAAGAUGACUAAACUUAGACUUCUUAGAAUUGAUGACACUCAAAUGCAAUGUGAAGUACACAUUCCUCAUGACUUUAAAUUUCAUUUUGAUGAGCUGAGGUGUCUUGUUUGGUGCCAUUAUCCUCUGAAAUUAUUGUCAUCUGAUUUUGAGUGUAAGAAUCUUGUGUGCCUCAGCAUGCCUAAUAGCCACCUUACUCAGCUAUGGGAAGGAAAUAAGGUAUGGUUGAUUUACUCUCUUUUUUUUAGGGGGUGGGGGAGAGGGAAUAAUAUGUUAUGUAUAUAAUCAAGUGCAAUUAUUUAUAAUCACUUGUCUUUUGUUACAGGUUUUUGAAAACUUAAAAUAUAUGGAUCUUAGUCACUCUCAAUACCUGACGGAAACUCCAGAUUUCUCAAGGGUCACCAAUCUUAAGAUGUUGAUUCUGGAUGGUUGUACACAGUUGUGUAAAAUUCACCCGUCCCUUGGAGAUUUGGACAAACUCGCUCGCUUGAGUUUGAAAAACUGCAUAAACCUUGAGCAUUUUCCAAGCAUCGGUCAGUUGGUAUCCCUUGAAGAUCUCAUUCUCUCUGGUUGCUCAAAGCUAGAGAAGUUUCCGGAUAUCUUUCAGCACAUGCCCUGCUUAUGGAAGCUCUGUUUAGAUGGAACUGCUACAACAGAACUCCCUUCCUCAAUUGGUUAUGCCACUGAGCUUGUUAGAUUGGGUUUAAAAAAUUGCAGAAAGCUCCGGAGUCUUCCAAGCAGCAUUGGUAAAUUGACACUUCUUGAGACCCUUUCUCUUUCUGGCUGCUCGGAUCUUGGAAAAUGUGAAGUGAACUCAGGGAACUUAGACGCAUUGCCAAGGACUUUGGAUCAACUUUGUAGUCUUUGGAGGCUUGAGCUGCAAAAUUGCAGGAGCCUACGAGCAUUGCCAGCGCUUCCAUCAAGCUUGGAAAUUAUAAAUGCAAGUAAUUGCGAAUCACUGGAAGAC